GAAGACAAAUGUAUCUCUGCCAAGAUGAUGAGAACUUAAAUCAAGUUGACAAGAGGACAGAUGUAUCUCUACCAAAGAAGGGAUCGUGUUAAUCACCUCUAGCCAAUUAGACGCUGUACUAAGGUCCACGCCACUCAUGUCUAGGUGCUCCAGAUUAGAGAGACCAGCCAACCAUUGCAGGUUAUCAACUUGAAGAUCGAACCGAUGGCCUCCUAUGCUUAAAGUGCGUAAACUUGAUAGGUUUCCAAGCUGAUAGGGAACCAUUCCUUGAAAUCCAGCUCCAGAUAAAUCCAGAUACCUUAGACUUCUGAGAGACCAAAAAAACUGGGAAUUGGAAUUCCAAUGAAAUUAUUUUGACUUAGAUCAAGGUAACGCAAGUGAGUCAAAUUUUGUAACGAAUGACUGAUUUUACCGCUUAAUGGUAAGUUAGGAGCAACCAACACCUCAUCACCUUCGGCCACGACAUAAAUUUCAGGAUCAGGACUCUGAAGGUGAAGUUGAAUCACGCGGCCACUUCGGUUGCUACAAACAACUCCUUCCCAUUUGCAGCAAUCAACGUCGUGAAUCCAAGACGAGAGUCUGCCAUGGGGAUCUUUCAAGUCUUUCUUGAAGUCCAUAAGAGCUUGUUUCUCACUUGCAUAGCAAGUUGCAUUUACAGUUUUGCUGGAAGAACAGUGUAAAAUUAUUGCGACGAGUAAGAAAACAGAGAAAUGGGUUGAGCCAUCCAUGAUCAUGUGAAAUGUCGGAAAAAAUACAUUGCAUUCGGCUAUGUUGCAGGUAGAUAUACAGAGCUGGAUGGAAGAAAUGCACCGUUGAUGUGACUAUGAAUGUCAGGCUUGGAAAGCAUAUUUCACUUUUGCUGCGUUUACAUUGACAAGGCAACAAUGGAAGACUCAAGAAUCUGAUUUCGAAAAGAAUUUAUUAUUCGUUUUUUUGCUUCAUCAUUGAGAAAUUUUAACCUCAGAAAUGAUUUGAAACAAUUUACUAAGAAAAUUACAUAAACAUAAAAUUAACAAGUUAAAAUGAGAACUGGGAUUGGGGGAGAGGAAAGUUCUUCUUUUGUCUUUUUUUUUAUUAUAUAGUUUUUGUGUAAAUUACGUUGUUCAAAACCAAAUAUUGCUACGAUAGACAAAAUAUAUUAGGAUUAAUAUUUUUGUGGUAACAGUGCACUAAAAUUAGUAAAGCCAGAAAGUUUUAUAGGAAAGCCAAGGAAUUGCCUUACACUAACACUAAACAGAAUAGCAUAGAGUCGAAUUUCCACAUUUUUCUUUAUACAUUGUUUUUAUUUUUUUUUAUUUCUUGCAUCUAAUUAUAAUCUAUCGUGCUUUCAUUUUGCUUUUAAUAUGCUUUAUUUGCUAUAAUAUCAUUGAUGAUUCGUGCCCACUAAACUUUUGAAUUCGUCACUGAUGCUGAUGCAUAUUUUCAAGGGUAAAUACAUCAACAUAACCUACAUAUAAAGACGAUUAAACAUAAGAAACUUAAUAAUUCUGUUGAUUUAAAUCUACAUAUAAGAUUGUUAUACAAGUCAUUGAAAAUAGUUUAUUGAAACUUUUUAGUAUAGAUGAAAGCCGUCAAAGUUUAUCAAAUAUAUACGUGUCUUUAAAAAAAAAAAUACAAAGAAGAAGACGUCAGGGAAACACCUACAUGCUAGUGAAGAAAAUCAUAUCAAAAUUGUUUUAAAGAAGCCAAAAAUACACUAGAAAUAAUUGGUACUCUUUCACCUUGGCGGCUGACGGGAUGCUGUCUCCUCAAAUUUUCAAGCAAAGACAUAAUACUUCACCGAAGUAAAGAAAUAUCUGAUUGAAGCCUCAGAGAGACUUUUGCUGGGUUACAUUGACAAGUCAACAAUCGAAAACCAUUGAAAAAUCAAGUUUGAUUUCUCAUUUAUGAUUUUAGGCCAUGAUGUAACAGGUCUAGGCAUUAAUUUGAGUGGAAUCUGAUUAGGAUAAGAAUGUAUUCAUUUUUGGCCUGAGUAGUGACAAAUAAAAACUCGACUUUUAAGAAAUCUUCUUGUUCUCAUUCAACUUCUCAAAUUCAAAGUUUUUUUUAAUUAAUCAUCUUGUUCUCAAGCACCGCAGUAAGAACAGUUUUGCUCGGUUCGCAUUUCAAAUUUUCUCCAAUAAUUGUUCCUUUUUUAUUAUGUGGUUUAGAGCUAGAAAUUGGCCCCACAGGUUAAAAUCACUCCAAUAAUAUGCUAGGAUUUAACUCUUAUUGCCAUCACUAAAGCACUCAUUUAGUAAGAUUUUUUUUUUUGUUGCACAAUGUAGUAAAAUUAGUAAAGCCAGAAAAUAUGAAAAAAAAGAAACAUUAAAGUUGCUUUGAUUAUUCUAAUUUUGUAAUUAUUCUUUAAUACAAGUUGUAAUACCAAAACAAUUUAACGCAAUCUCAUCACUUAAGCAUAGACUUUAAGCCUCUUGCCAAAAAAUUCAAGUAUAUUUACUCAUAUAUAUAUGCACACUGUUUUUUCCCUCGGAAUAUUUUGUUUGGAUUGUGAAUUAUUAGAGAUAUUUUUACUGUAGCACUUUUUGUGAUGUGAUGUAUGUGAGAUAAAAAAGUAAUUGGGAAGAUAAAAUGGUGUGUUGGAAAUUGUAAUGAUGAUGUAAGCAAAUAAAUUUUGGUAAAUAAAUUGCAAUCCAAAAUGGAUACCCAAUGUUCGAGGGAUACCCAAAAUUUUGGCAAGUAUUGCGAUUUACUUUUACGAGAAAUUCCAAUUUGGAUACCCAAUGUUCGAGGGAUGGAGACCAAAAUGGUCUCUUUUGCAUACACGUUAAACAAAACAAAUUUAGCAAUCAAAGUUUGGAAGGUGAAAAAAUUUGAUUCAAAUAAUAAUUCUUUUUCUUAAGUAAAUUAAAAAAAAAGGAAAUUUCAGUCUGCACAAUGUUUUCUAAGAAUCGUAGUAAUUUAUUUAUUUAUUUUUUUGCAAUGCAGAAACUUCCAUUUCAAGUUUAGGAUGGAAAAAAUACUGAAAUGGAAAAUAAAAUUGAAAGAAAUUGAUUUCAGUGCACACAUGCACAAAAGCAGUGGAAAGUGCUGAAAAUACUUGAUUUUGGAAGCACAUAUAAUGCUGAUAUGUACCUUAGGCAUAAGUAUAUCAUCACAUCCUAUGUGCAAAGUAGAUUAAACAUAAGAGACAAAAUAUUUUUCUUUCUGAUCUACCUUAUUUUUUGACUAACUUUUCCUCAUUUCUUCAUAUUUUAUAAAUGUUCGUCCAAUGAAAAGUUUGAAGAUAAUUACGUUUAUUAUGAAAGUCUUUGAAUGAGGGGCCGAGUAAUUUUGUUAUUAUUCUAAAGUUGAACUAUUCAUUUGUUCAUUUAUUUGCAAAUUAGGAUUUAGGUUGCAAAGGUGCACAACUUAAUAUUUUGAGGCUAGAAAAAAAAAAUCGGUGAUAUUUUGUGACGACCCCACCUUCCCCUAAGGCGUACCAAAGGGUUCGGCGGACCGCCUGCCCAGCUCUCGCCAGGACUCACUCACUAUCUCAAUCGAGUCAUGUACACACAUCCAUGAACCAUAAAUAAUAUCCGCAAUUCAAGCUUAUAAUUUACAUUGAUAGAAAUCGAGGUACAAAGCCUCAAUACACCAAACUAGUUCAAAAUGUAUACAAUCCAAGUACAACAUGUUCCAUUCAAGGAAUAGCGCGAGUACAAGACCAAAAGUCAAAAGUCAAAACAAAAGGCUACGCUAGUCUUUUACAAGUCUCACGCGUCACUCGUACCCCCUGUAAGGAAAACAAAUAACGUGGUAUGAGCUAAAAGCCCAGUGAGAUUCCAAAUAGUAAAUUGACCAUUAUUUAUAAGUACAAGUUUUCGAUAUAGCAAAGUAACGAGCAUGAAGAGUUCAUAAAUGUGAGCAAUAACACGUCAAGUAGAAAUCUCAAAAUGAGCGAGUGUAAAAGUUUUUCAAAAUCAACAAUAAUCCAAUAAGCAAUAAUCAAUCCAAAGCAUAAGGAUACGGAUGGCCCUCAGGAGCCAACUUCCAUUCAUCAUCAGGAGCUUGAUCACGUAGUAGUUGACACUCCGUCAACUUUCAAGUAAAGGAACCAAUCCAGUAGAGCACCACUUACACGACUCUCCGUCCACCAUUCACACCCCCUACUGGGCCCAAAAUCCUCAAUAAACAUGGGUGGUAAUACUCGAGUAUACCGAUUAGCCGAGGAGGUAUCACUCCACUCGACAAAAUAAGAGACCCAGGGUUCGUUACCCAAUCGACCAAGCCCUUGCCGGCUCGACUAGAGUAACUCGCCACAGGGUUUCUGGAAUUCCAGGAAGUGCGCACAUCAAGUAUAUCAAGUCAAUUGCAAUCAAUAAACAAGUAUAUCACGUAAGGGCAAGUGCGAUAAAGUACACUCUUGCCCUGUCAAUUCACGUAUAUAACAAGUACUCAUAUUGGUCACGUAUCCAGUUCAAGUAUCUAGUGCAAUUCAGUAUUUGAAAGCACUCACCACAAGAUAUAGUGCCUUUACUGGUCACUUUCAGGUUAUACUCCGAGUUCGGAGUCCAAAUCUGCGAUAAAACUCAAUUUGAGAACUUUGAAACAUGACUAGAGUUCGAAACUUAGACGUUUCGUUCAAUAAGAAUCAAGAAAUUGAAAUUCACUUGGACAGUAGUCGUGAAACACUUGCUCGCCUUUUUAAACAGUAAAACUUUGUAAUAUUUAUACUUGAAAUUGUCUUGCGAGUUGAAAGUACAAGGAAAACAUAUUUCGAGCAAUCAUUAUUUCAUUUCUCAAGGGUACAAGUUCGUCCAAGUCCUAACGUAUAACACUCAAGAAACAUAGUGGCCAAGGUUCUCGCUAGUUCAAGUAAUAAGUACUUAACCUUCACUCAAGUUGCUAAUAUAGUUUUCUAGUCCUCGAGUAAAAAUUCGGGCAGCAUGCCCUUUGUGUUUACCUAAUUUUCCAGCCUUUUAGGCUUCAUGGUUUUUCUCAAACACAACCCAACAUUAUACAUAUCAGCAAUUCAUGUCAAGAGCCGUUCCAUAGGCUCACAAUAUCAUAAUAACAAGAAUUAUAACAAUCACAAGUGCAGAAAUUCAACUUAGCACAAGACAGAUUUGACAUACGAAUGCGGAAAUAACAUAUCCAAAGCUACGCUUAUCGGAUUGAGACAAAACCUAUGCCGUUUCGAAGCUAAGACACAGAUCUACAACAUUCAUGAAGGUCACUUAGUCCAGUUCCUAAUGUAACUCAGUCAAAUUCUCAAAUUACUAAACCAGAAACCAAUUCGUCGGCUGUUUAAACGCAGAACACUGUAAUGGACAUAUCUCAGAGUACACAAGUCCGAAUCAGGUGUUCUUAGAGGCAUUUGAAAGCUAAUUCAGAAUACUACAACUUUCAUGUUUUGGUAAAAAGCUAAAUCAGAAUGGAUCCUAGUCGAAAAACGGGAUAAACUGGACUUAACUGAUCACACGGACUGCUUGGGAAAUACUUAAAACAGUAAGGGUAUUUUGGACUUUUCACAUCCUACGUUGCUCUGAUUGAGCUGAAAUUUUGUAGGCACCUAUAAAAUGUCAUUCUCUACAACUUUUCUUCUUUGACCUAAGGCCAAAUCAGCCUCUAACACACAGAUACAAAUUCGGACAGAAUGUAAGCAAGAAUUUCCAGAAAUCUGAAAUCUUUAGUUUUUAGUGGAACUUUCCUAAAUUUCUUGGUCUAAUCACUACCACAACACCUUAUGAAACCUCAAUUGCAACAUAUAAGCAUCUUACAACAAUUUGGGCAGAAUUUCCAUAAGCCCUAGUUCAUCAAAUAAAUUGGGGAAAAACCUCUAAAACAUGCUAAUCAUCCAUGAUUCCACCACUAUAAUCAACUACUAAACUUAAUUUAACAAAAUUAAAACUUAGAGAGAUAAGCUCUCUUACCUUGAAUAGAGAUUACAAAGAGCAGCCCAAGCCUUCCCUUUCCAAACUUUCACCACCAAACACUAACUAACCACUCAAGGACAAGAUUAAUCGGUUUAGUUCUUUGGUUUUCUCACUUUGUAGCUUGAAUCAAGAAGAAAUGAAGAAGUUUUUCUCUUGGUCUUUCCCUCUCUCUCUUAUUUCGGUUAUGGAGCAGAAAAAUGAAGGAAAUGGAGCUUAACUUGUCUUAUAAGGAAGUAAGAAGAUUAAGGCUAAUUGUGUCCACAAUUUUUGGCCAACACUUGGACUAAUCUUGUCCACAAAUUUUUCUCUUUCUUCCCUUACAUUUCUAGCCUUAUAAUUUCGGUCAAACCAGCUGCAAAUUAGGAAGAUAUUUUGUGCAAAAGUCAAUAAGCUUGUUUGGUAAGAAAAAUGGUGGUCAAGCGGUGCGUUCAAUCGGUAGUGCGCGGGACCCGCCGGUUCGCGCCGUUUUUCUUAAAAACUCACGUACUAGGUUUUUUUUUCUUCCCAUUCACUAUCCUUAUAUCAUUGCUACUACUCACACAUUAUUUUUCACUUAAAAGUCACUUUUAAUCCCCAAAUUGAUCCCUGGCCAGUACCGAAAAUUUAUCCAGCGGAAAUCGCGAAAACCCUAAUUUUGCUCAAAUCUUGAAACCGAAGUGUAAAACCCUAUUUUCCAGGUUCAUCUGCACUUAUUGUUGAACAAUUGGGUAGUAGGGCUUUAAUAAAUAAUAAUUUUCAAAUAAAAGGAAAUUUUUAAGAAAACGUGAGGAAUUUUCCAAUUCCAAUGAUUAAAUUUAGGGUUUCAAUCAAAAUGUGAGAGAUUUAAGAGAACCGGUUAGUCACAAGUAAACUAGGGUUUUUGACUAAAAUAUUAGGGUUUCUAGUCUUUUAAAACAAAAUAAGGUUUUAAAUCAAACCCGAAGAAAUAUACUUUAAUAUUUUCUUCACAACCAACCUCCUAAUAUUCGGGAUGUUACAAUCUCCCCUCCUUAAAAGAAUUUCGCCCUCGAAAUUCCAACGGGUACUAAGAGUCGUUCAAAGUCAGUCAGGUACUAGAAAUCACUCCAAUCCCUUCUAUAUGACCUUAUCAUUUAGCAAAAAGCUAAGAAAUAACCAAAUAGAACAUGCAAAAAGGGCUCAAUUCACAUAACUAGCACUGAGUUGAAAGUAAAGUCUCAGAUAUUCGAAAAGCUUAGAACAUGGCUUAGCCUCAAGUCGAAAAUUUCUCAAGUCGAAAAUUUUACCCCUGGCGGUGCUUGGAAACACAACAGGCAAAGCCUCACCAGAGAGUUUUAGUUCAACCGCUACAGAGGAGUAGUAGCUGGUCUACAGUCACACAAAUACGAAUAAGUUCAAAAGCAAGGUCAAAACAGGGUUCAAACAUAUAAGUUCAAAAGUAGAUUCAAUUACUUCAAGUUCAAGAAGCACGGGUACGAAUAGGAACUCACUCGACUAGCCUAUACCCAGCAAUUCACAUUCUCAAACAGUCACCGAAUUCAAAUCCACAUAUAGGUCAUGUUACUCAAGUGUAAAAAUCAAAUCAGGUCCAUUACAUGUACGUAAGAGCACACUCGCCAAAACAAGUUCAAGUCCCAAAUGAGCUCAUUUUAGUCUGUCUCAGACAGUUCAAGUACUGCAAACCCCUUUGAUCAGUCCAAUAACAAGGUUAAAUGUUAGAAUCAUCCACGCUUUAACCUUUUCCAUCAAAACUCACCUCAAGUGCAAUCAAGAUACAGACCUUUAUUGUCGCGCCCCACUUUUCGAUAAGAAAAGUGUUGUGGAGUGGUGGUGUGAGUGUGUGUGAUAUACAUGUGAACGUGUGCGGAAUGAAAAGUAAAAGGCCAUGGGACUUAGAAUGCGACGAUUUGGCCAAGUGAAGUUCAAAAGGGUUUUUUGUAUCAAAAAUGGAGUCGCCACUUGGUAUAGAGUUAGGGUGUACCAAGUCACCCAAAAAGUGUUUUUGUUUUUGAAUAAAAAGUAAAUAAACCCUUUUUGAGAACUUUUGGGUCUGCGUAACUAAAAGAGGGAUCGGGGGUCACAUUUGACGAAGGGGAAGGCAAGGAUAAAAAUCCAAGGCACCCCUUCGACCUAGCCAAGGCUAGUUGCGUGACUUAAGCCAAUUUUCCUAAUUUUUCUACCCAAUGUAUGUUCGCACGUUGGAUAUAACUGAAUGCAAAACGGAAAGAAAAAUGCAAUCCUAGACUCUAAAAUGUCUCUUGUAAGGUUUUUGGUCCCAACCACAUGAGUUGUGGCGGCCAAUGAAGGAAAACCUUAUAGAGGUCGAUUAAUGCAAAUGAUGGCUAAAGUGCAAGUGUGCAUGUGUGCGAAAAGGUGCACGUGUGAAAUUGUAUAAAAAUCCAAGUGUUUGUGUGCAAGUGUAUGAAAAGGUGCAUGUGUGAAAUUGUAUGAAAAAUCCAAGUGUUUGUGUGCAAGUGUAUGAAAUAUAGUGAUAAGUGCAUAUAGGUGUAAUUAAGUGCAAUUUUGUGAAGUAGAAAUCAAAAUGAACAAUAAGGAAAGAAAAAUGUGAAUUGAAAAGGAUGAGUAAGUGAUAAAUGAGAAUGAAUGAACCUAAGGGAAUGCAUCAGGUCGGGUAUGGGAAUGACUCCUAACUUUUCGACUUCGAUUUUCCCUUUGAUUAGAAGGCGAAACUAGCGUGCUAAGGCUAUCGAAUAGCCACACUCGCUCGUUUCCCUUAUCAGAAGGGGACUCUCAGGCAAAUGAACCCUAUAACUAGCAUGAAAUGCAAAAAUCCUAAAAUGAGGGGAAGGGGGAAUCGAGGAGCAUGCCAGAUGAUAAAACUAAGGAAAAAUGCAUGAUAUGUAGUGAACAGGCAAAUAAUGCAUUAAUGAAAAACAAAGGAAAAAUCCUAUUGGGUCUAGCGUUGGACUAGCCCUUUCUAUGAAUUCCUAAUGAAAUAAUGAGCCACAACUAGCAUUGGACUAGUGUGGUGACGUACAUUCAUCCAUCACAUUUAUUCAGGCUAUGGAAAGCGAGUAGACAUGCCAAACACUUAUAAACACAUAGCACAUAACAUUUUGCAUGCUCGACUAGAUGCAAGGCCCUAACAAAGCAAAUUAACACGUAGCAACUAAGCAUGCAAGGCACAUGAGACAAUUAAAGCCCUAACUAUUACAUUUGCUAGCUAGGCACAAGUCUUCGAUAGGUCUUCAUUGAAUGCUCCUCCAAGCCCUAUCUAUUACAAGCCAAGAGGUGUACACAUACCCCAUUAAAAAUAACUUAAAUAAAAAGCAAAAGUAAAUGACAUAAAUAAAAGAAAUUAAAGAAAGGCUAGGAAAGCAAAGUAGACAUGUAUUUCUCACAUAACACGUAGGAGCACGUAGGAAAAAAAAAAACUCAAGAAUAUAGAAGUUACCUCCCUUGCAAUGGAAAUCGAGUAAAUGAGAUAUUAGCUUCAAAACAAUAAAAAGAGUCAAAGCACCAAUUUAUUUAACAAAUAAUCACAAAGGAUAAAAUAAACAUGAAUUUGAAUCAAUUAAAUCAUGUCAACAACCCACAUUUAAGAAGUCAAGAGAAGAAAGGACUUGAUUGCAAAGAUUGGCAAAAUUUUGGGGCCAAAAUUAAAGAAAAUAGAGUCCAAGGACUUAUUUGCAAUUAAAGUAAGGACCGAAUUAAAAGAAGUUAAAAAUGUCUAGGGCCACAGUACAGUUAAGGAGAAAUUCAGGGACUGGUUCGCAAAUGCAUUUUCUGGUUUCUUAGUGGAUCAAGCCACUUGGGCCAUUUCUUAUUUGCUUGGGCCACAACCUUCCAAGCCCAACCAAAGCCCAAAGCAAAACAAGCAAGCCAGCCCAUCUUAAGUCUAAUCAAAAUUCCACUAAAAACGUAUGGGCUUUAUCUCUCAAGCCCAUGUCAACAACCCAGAAAAAUCAAUCAUUAAUCCAUUUGUUAAACCCGAACAAAAGGUCCAGACCCAAACCGAAUUAUAUCUUAUGAGAAGCCCAACAAGAUAAAACCCAACUAAAAAAAUUGCAUUGAACCCCAAAAUUAAUCUAUCCAAAGUCACAUAAAGCCGUAUUAAAGAAGAAAACGUUUGGAGGGACAAAAUUGGUUAAAUUAUUUGAUUCUCUGAUUCAAGACAGAACAAAAGGCAGCUUGAGGGGUUCAAAUGCAACCAAAGCAGGGACUUAAUUGGAGGAAUCAUGAAGACUUUGGGGUCGAAAUUAAAGAAAAGCAACGUCCAGGGGUCAAUUUACAAAUUUCCAGAUUUUUGCAAACAAAUGGUUCACUGAAUCCUUUUUCUUCAACGAAUUUCACCAGAAUUUCAUCUCCUUUUAUUUCAAAAGAAACAAAACUCACACAAACUCAAAUCACGCAACAAAGUCCAUAAGUAAAACAGAAAAUCAAGAACCAAAGGAAAAAAAAUGAAACAAAAUCUAAACCAGAAAUUUCUGUAAAACACUCUUGGCCCUUGGUUCCUCACCAGCGAACUCGCUGGCUAUCUUCUGGCAGGCAUUUGCCAAAAUUUUGUCUCCCUCACACGCAGAUGGGCAAGUCAAUUUGCCCUUAGAGCUUUGUUUUUCAAUUGGGAAAUUUCAUCAAACAUUACAUGGGCGUAAGAAAAAAUCCAGCAGAGCUUUGUUCAAUUGAUGUCAUAAUCAGCCCCAAAACGUCAGAAACCAAAGAAAUUUCAACCCCAAUCAAACCAUACAGCAUACGUAUUCAAAAAUCAUGAACAAACAACCCUCUCACGCCAAUUCAAGAUGGAACGCGAAUUCAGAAAAGGCAAACACAAGCAUAUUAAAAUCCCUCAAAAACAGCCCAUUCGGCCUUAAAAAGCAUUAAACCUGCUGAAAAUCCAUUUUUCUUCACACAUUAAAAAUGCAAAUGAAUUGUCUUCAAAUGGAACGUUCGACUAAACAUUUUAUCGAACAUCAACUGGGCAUCAAAAACAUCACCAAUUCUCAACUUAAUUGAUAUCAUAAUCAGCCCCAAGAUGUCAGAAACACAAGAAAUUUCAAUCCCAAUCAAUACAGAGAGCAAGUAUAUUCAAAAAUGGCGUAUAAUUACAGAAACAUUGCUUGAACAAGUUCACAGAAGAUGAGGUUUGUGAUUUCCAGCUUUGGGCCUUGAAGAAAAACUGAAAUUUAAGGGAAGGAAAAGAUACCUUUUCAGCAAGCACUUUUUCUGAUGAAAUUCUCAGGCGAUGGUGGUAGAUUCUAGCGACGGCAAUGGCAGCUCCGGUUGCGGCUUCUUCCAAAUUCGUCUUUCCUCUGGUUCUUUCGCCUCUGCCCCAAACUCCUCCUCCAAAUUCCAGAUUGCAGCCGCGGCUUACUCUGUUUUCUUUCCUCUGUUUUUUCCAUUAGUUGCCGCCUCUGUUCUUCUUUUCCCUCUUAUUGCUUUCUUUGUUUUUGUUCGCCGAGACCUCCUUCCCAAUUUUUCCAGUUUUUCUUUUUUCAGUUUCUCCCCUGCUAACAGCCGCCAACUGCCUUUUCCUUCAGCCCAGCCAUCCACUCUCUGUUUCUUAGCCGAAACCAUUCCUCCCCUUUUCAUUUGCUUGCCCGACAGUUUUCGCUUUCUUCCCCCAAGUUCGCCGUAGCCCUUUUUCUUUCUUUUUGAUCCCCUCAGCCCUUGCCGAAGACCCCCUCUCUGCUAUUUUUCCUUUUUUCAUUCGGCCAAGCUCUCUGUUUUUUUCUUCAUUUCCUUCGCCGUCUCCUCUCUUUAGUUUUGCCCUGCUUUUCUUUAGCCGCCCCCCUUUUUCCUUUUUUUUCCAAUUCCUUCCAACUUCCCCCCUGUUUCUCUACAGCCGUAUACCCUAGCUCCCUUCUAGAAUCCUCCUUCCAGGUGUCCUAGACACCUGGCCUUUAAAGCUCCAAAUUUCAUCCCAAGGCCUUCCUCCCAUUUCUCUUGCAAGCUGCGGCAAGAAACGCAGCCUUUGCUGCAUACGCGACUCUUUCUCUUUUUUUUUUAUUUUAAACUAAUUAAUUAAAACAAAAAUUGAUAAUAAAAAGAAAUGACAAUUUAAUCGUAAAUAAAAUGUACAAAAUUCGCAACAAAAAGGUGAAAUAAAAAACUAAGAUUUUCCUGUAUUUUCUUUUUCUUUUUUCAUUUUUUUCAUUUUUUUCAAUUUUUCAUUUUUCCUUUUCAUUCUUAAAUAAUGAAACUAAAUCUAAAACAACUAAAACAUAUUUUUUUUUGAACGCUUUUUCUUUUUCCUUUGAGAAAUUCUACGCUAAAACUUAAAAAUAAAAUAACAACAUAAAAACUAAAAAGUGAAUAAAACGAACACAGACUAAAAGAUAAAUAGUAAAUGAAAUUACACCAAAAUUUGGUGUCUAUAGUUUGCCCCUCUUUGUCUGAGUUUUGAAAAAAACUUGAGACAAAGAAGUAGACAUCAAAUACUUACCUGUGUUAUUUGGCUGUGAACGACUCGAACGAUGGGGAUUGACCCCGGACAGGAAAUUAAACGGGACUGACCCGAACAGAAAUUUAAACGGGAUAGACCCGAAACGAAAUGUAAAUGGGAUAGACCCAGACAAAAAUGUAAAUGGGAUAGACCCAUGGGAUAGACCCGAACAGAAAUUUAAAAUAGGGAUAGACCCACGGGAUAGACCCGGACAGAAAUUUAAAAUUGGGAUAGACCCACGGGAUAGACCCGGACAGAAAUGUAAAAUUGGGAUUGACUAGAGAUUGGAAAUUCAAAUCAUGGGACUGGCCCGAACAAGCUUUAAUCACGGGACUGACCCGAAUAAGCUUUGAAUUGUGGGACUGACCCGAAAAUGCUCUUGAUCGUGGGACUGACCCGAAUGAGCUUUUGAUCAUGGGACUGACCCGAAAAUGCUUUUGAUCGUGGGACUGACCCGAAUAAGAUUUUGAUCACGGGACUGACCCGAAAAUGCUUUUGAUCGUGGGACUGACCCGAAAAUGCUUUUGAUCGUGGGACUGACCCGAAAAUGCCUUCGAUCAUGGACUGACCCGGAAAUACUUUCAAUCAUGGGACUGACCCGAAAAUGCCUUCGAUCGUGGGACUGACCCGGAAAUGCUUUCGAUCGUGGGACUGACCCGGAAAUGCUUUUGAUCGUGGGACUGACCCGAAAAUGUUUUUGAUCGUGGGACUGACCCGGAAAUGCUUUUGAUCGUGGGACUGACCCGGAAAUGCUUUUGAUCGUGGGACUGACCCGAAAAUGUUUUUGGUCAUGGGACUGACCCGGAAAUGCUUUUUGAUAAAAUUUUGUCAUGAUAAAGUGAGGUUGGCGGCACGACAUCCAGGCCCAACGUGAUAAAGUGAUGUUGGCGGCACGACAUCCAGGCCCAACGAGAUAAAGUGAAUGGUCAGCGGGAUAAGACCCAGUCCUACCAUCCAAUUGGUCAAGAACUUGAAUUUGAUUUGUCAGGAAUCAAGAAAUUUGAUUUUCCAAGUAACAAAAAUUUGAAUUUGAUUUUUGAUUUUUUGACUUUUGAAUUUUCUGAUUUUUCGAGAGAAUUUUUUCAAAAAAUAAUUUGCCCCAGUGUAGGGCCUUCUCUUUCCCUUCUUUCUUCUCUUUCUUCGGCGUCGGCCUUCCACAUCGCCAGAUGCUCUUUCGUCGAUUUCAACUAUGAAUACCUGCACAGGGGGCUUUCAUGCAUUCAAAUUUUCAUGAAAAGGGCAGCGUGAUUGACUUGAAAAAAUACAUUAUUUGAUUCUUGGACGAAAUCCUCAAUUGGAUUACACAAAUAUUUGCCCCUGUGUGGGCUUAUUUUGUGAAAUCUCAUAAACAAAAAUUUGCCCCAGUAUGGGCCCACUUGACUUCAAAAAUUUUGCUUGGAUGACGCUCCAUUUGUUUGAACAAAGUAAGCAUAGCAUGUGAAGAAAAUUGAAAUGUCUUGCUUAAACUCAUAUAGCAAAAUUCAUGAUGAAUAUUUCCAAGAUAACACCAAAUUCAAGAAGAUUUCUCCCUCACUUUUAGCAUCGGUGCUUUGGGUAGUGGGUGACCCUUUCUUGUUGGCUCAUCUGUCAGGACCAAUCAAGUGACUAUAUUUUUGAUUUGGAAAUGGCUAAAGGAAGAUGGGAGGUCAAGAUUUGUCUCAUUUUGUGCUCAUUCGAUAUCACGUCUUCAUGAAAGCAAAAUAGUUUGUCACCCUUAUAUGCCAAGAAAACUGAGUCAACAUACAAGCUUGACAGGCUUGCAACAAAAUGGGUAGAAACGAUAGCUAAACCGGUGAAAACUGGUUAUACUCCCAUGAUCACAAAUGAUUGAUGGAUUUCUUACGAGCAUAAUCGUCACUUUGGAUUGUCAUGAAGGAAUAAGUCAACGAUGGACUUUAUUAGCUUGUAAUGUGGCUUGAACACGAUAGUUAAAGAAAUAAUUUUCAAGGACAUUGCACCAAAGAUCGCAUUUUUUCCAAAAUUGCCCCUAUUUUUGGACUCCAAGAUCUUGGACUUCGUUUGACUUUUUAUCAUCGCUUAACAGGGUCUUUCAGCAUCAAAUCUUUUUGCAUCUUUCUUUUGCAUUCAUUUCGCUCAUUUUUCCUUUUCCCCAAAAAUGCCCUCGCGGGGUUUCACAUGAAAAGCAGUGUCAACCUCACACCUAAUCAAUUCAGAAUACAGCUAAAAUUUUCCGACAUCAGAAAUUUUCUUGACAGGGCCAUUGCAAAGAACAGAAGUCAGGACUUUUGGCUUUUGUAAUGGGGUCAGGCGGGGUGUUUAGGCAAGUUAAGGCUUGAAGGCAGAUUUCAAAAGCAGUUUGAAAAAUCUGAGAUCGCAUUGUUGCCAACCCUAUUUUAGGGUUAAACCAGAAUUUGCCCCAAUUUAUGCUCAAUUGAGGCUUUUCACUUUCAUUUUCUUUUCUUUUGCCUUUUCGGCUUUUUGCCAUUCUUUGAAAUUUGCCCCAGUUUAUUUUUGAACUGAGGUUCUCUUUUCUUCUUUUGAUUUUGAUUUUGAUUUUGUGACUUUUCACUUUUUGAAAUUUUCUUUUUCAACACAAACUUGCCCCCAGUGUGGGGUUUGCGAUUCUCAGGGGUUGCCAAACGAAAUAUUUUAUUCUGAAGGCUCAAAAAGGAUAGCUAGGGAUAGAAUGUUUGAUUGGAAAAGAAGAUGGCCUGACUUGUAUUCCGUUCCUUACAAUAACUCCGAAAGGAAACUUUCGUUAAUGGGAAAUUUUUGGCAUGUAUCUGAAUUAACUGAUUGAGGAAGACCCUUGUUCAUCCAUAUUUGUGAAACGUUGGCGAUCCACGCGGACAAAUCUCUUCCCUUUCUUUUUUCCCAAAAAUUGAAACCCAGAUAGAUUCAAAUUUCUCCAAUUUGUGAUUCCCUCUUUUCUUUCCUUUUGGCAUUUUUGCUUUUCUCUUUUCUCUCUUUUUUUUUUUCAAAAUUUCCCAAUCUCCUUCCCCAAUGUGGGGUGCGAUCAUAUGUGCACUCGAAAAGAACCACCAAUUUAGCUCAAACGAGGAUGCAAGGGAUGAUCAGUGUUUAGAUUGUAGAAAUGAUGGCCAAAGUAUCAUUCUUACACCUCAUGACAAUCAAAGUAAUGCAAUGCUCAUUAAGAACCCAUUCCCUUUUGAAAGUUUUUCCAAUGUAGGGUAGAGAUCAUUAAGGCACUUAUGUGAAACGAAAUUAUUCUUCCAUAGGCUCAAAUGGAAGAGCAAAUGAUAAAAAUCUGUAUAGGCAGCGAAAAGAAUGCUCAAAGUAUCAUUCCAAAUUUUCAAAACAAAUAAGAAUAACACACAUUUUUGCUUUCACUUAGAUGUGAUUGAACCAGAUUAGACACCUUGAACAUUUUCAAGCAAAAGUUGCCCCAAUUUAUCAGUCAAUGUGACUGACUUUAUUUCGGGAUUAAGUGAAGGAGAAAGGUAUCUCAUGGGCCUUCUGAAUGACCUCUUUCAAAAAAAUUUUUUUUUUUUUGAGCACUCUCAUUGUGUAACUCGGAUCAACAAUCUAGUGUACACAAGGAUUUUUGAAAGCGUACACUUGUGAAUUUUCAGGUUGGAGGUUGAAAAAUCUUAAUUUGGUCUUAUUUGUCAAAAUUCAUCAUGAAAUCUCCAAUGAGUAAGAAUAAAGAAUGAAAUGUACAUAAAUAUACACAAAACAAUAAUUGUCCAAAAAUUUUAUUGCUGAAAAAGUUUGAAACAAAAUUCCUCAUUCAAUUAUGAUACGAAUGAGAAAAGAGAAACUUGUAAAAGGCUCCACAUGUACACUUUUCAUCUCCUUUUCUUUUGACACAAAAAUAUAUUAACAAGUCAAAUAUACAGAAAUUUCUUUGAAAACAAUUAUGAACUCUCUUAGAAACUCUUAGCCUAGAGCUUUCAGAUGGAUCUUUCAGGUUUCCAUUGUUGGAUCUGCCCAAGAAUCAAAUAAUACUUUCCAAACUUUAUCGGAUCAAAAAUUGUUAUCCAAUAUAGGGAAAUAUUUUCAUCUUAUUGCAACAUUUUUAUGAAUGCAGGGGAGGGGGGAAACAAAAGAAAAAUACCCCGAGUUAGUGAACAAGAAUAUAAAAUCGGUAUGCAUGUCCUAUGGGGGAACCCUUUUAUGCCAAGAGUAGGCCUAGCAUGAAAAUGCAAUCCGUUAGAGUAGGCACCAUACUAUACCUGAUGGAUCCAAUCAGCUUAUGGAGUGAAAAAUAAUUUGAAAAAUUUGGCCAUUGGAGUGACGAGAGAUUUGUCAAAAUGAGGACAACGUCCGAAUAGAUUGAUCACCUUUGAUUUGCAAAACGCAUGGGUUUAACCUUGACGAACUCCUAUCGAAGAGAUUGGAAUUCGUUGACAAAUUUCCUCAGUGAAGCAUGAGUCAAAAACCCAACUGAUUAAAUAGUUGGAUAUAAUGGAUGGUUUUCUCAAAAAUUGACUAGAUUUCCCAAUUUGGAAUUUGACAAUGAAACCCUAAUAGGGCGAAUGGAUUGAAUGAAAUUGAUAAUUUAUUUAAAAUCGACCGAAUUACCCUAAAAAGGGAAACAGGUCAAAUGAAUUGAAUGAAAUUUAUCCAAAAUUAAUCAGAUCACCCUAAAAAGGGUAAAUUGAUCAAAUAGAUUGAACGAAAACUUGAUUUAUUCAAAAUCGGCUCGGUUACCCUAAAAAUGGGUAAAUUGGUCAAAUGAACGAAAUUGAAUUAGGGAUUUAUUCAAAAAUCGGCCGAAUAACCCUAAAAAGGGUAAAUUGGUCAAAUGAAUUGACGAUUUAUUCAAAAUCGACGGAAUGACCCAAACAAGGGUAAAUUGGUCAAAUGAAUUGAUGAUUUAUUGAAUGAAUUGGCCAAAUGGACUGGUUGAAAUGUCCAGCCAUUGGUUAUUUCAAAAUUAUUGAGGUGCAUUAGUCUAUGACCUUCUAAAAAUCAAAUUUUGGCCUCAAUUUAUUUAUCGUCUCAAUAGAAGGAAUCAUUUGUGAAUUUUCUUCGAAUUAAUGUCCUUUUACGCAAGGGAAUUUUACCAAUUUUGAGAAAAUGGCCAAAAAGUGAUUAUUAGAUGCUCAUAUUCCAAAAAUUGCUUCAUGAAAAUGAUCGGAUCUUUACCUUACCUUGUGCACUACCCCUUCGGAUGGUACGAGAAAGGUAAACGUGCAAGUCUCAUUUGGAUUAUAUAUCCGAGACAUGGGGUGGUUUAUUCCUAACGCGGGAUCCCCUAAAUGGCAUUCCCUUUCUAGGGUUUAUGCAUGAUGCCAGUUUACUAAAGCAGUAAAACAUGCAAUUUGAAAUGAAAUCAUGAUCUAAAAGGACCUUUUAUACUCCAAGGUAGGCCUAGAAUGAUAUGCAAUUACUAAUCUAUGAAUGCAACACACCAAAAUAUUUAAACGUGCAAUAACCUAUCUAUAAGGGUAGGUUCUAAAAGGAGGUCGUACCAGACCUCUUAUUUGCUAGAGUUUGUGAAUGCGAUGGGGACACAAAACCAAGAAAAGUUAGCUCAGCCAGCUAAAUGCACAUAACACAUUGUAACAACAAGAUAAAGCAAUCAAAGAAAUAAAGCAAUAAAAAGGAAAAAGGGGUUGGACCCCUCCCCUCGUGAAUAGUGUCCCUAAUUUAGGGUAAGGUCGACUCUACCCUAGGCAAUUCUAAUAUGGAUGCAUGAGGUUGGGGUUCGCUAAUGCAUCUAGACUCGAUAAGCUCAGGUCCCCGAGCCUUUAGACUUAGAAAUCAAGGGUCAUCAAUCCCAAGGUUCUUUGUCGGUGGCUCGAGCGAUUCCCCAAACACCGCUACGCACACAUCGUGUCGCGGCUACGUGUUUGAGUGAAUCUAUCAAAACCUCAAUCUUCGACCAAAAGCUAAAGGCUAUCAACCAAUAGCUUUAAGUGGAAGAUUGAGUGACCCAUUGGAACAUGCUACACACACAUCGUGUCGUGAUCACAUGUCCAAAUGAGUCACCUAAUCCUAAUAGGGUAGAGUCGCGUGACAAGCCACUAAAAGAAAAAUAAAGGGAUAAAAGAAGUAAAGCGUAUGCUCGUAUGCUAGUGCUCGUUUGGAGGGGAAGGGUCAAGAACCAACGCGAGGCUCUAGGGUGACCCAUACCUCCCAAAAUGCAAUGCAAGCGCGAGAUAACAAGUAAACAUUCAUUCAAACAUACAUUCGUGAGUCGAGGGAUUUAAUUACGUACAUAAGACAAAAUGUCCUAAAAAUGAAAAAUGCAAUCCUAAUAUCCACAUGCUAUACAUAAAAAGGGUAGAAAAAGGAAACGAAUGGCUAAGUCAAAUGCUCGGACCCACUUAGGAAGUCCCCAGUGGAGUCGCCAACUGUCGCGCCCCACUUUUUGAUAAGAAAAGUGUUGUGGAGUGGUGGUGUGAGUGUGUGUGAUAUACAUGUGAACGUGUGCGGAAUGAAAAGUAAAAGGCCAUGGGACUUAGAAUGCGACGAUUUGGCCAAGUGAAGUUCAAAAGGGUUUUUUGUAUCAAAAAUGGAGUCGCCACUUGGUAUAGAGUUAGGGUGUACCAAGUCACCCAAAAAGUGUUUUUGUUUUUGAAUAAAAAGUAAAUAAACCCUUUUUGAGAACUUUUGGGUCUGCGUAACUAAAAGAGGGAUCGGGGGUCACAUUUGACGAAGGGGAAGGCAAGGAUAAAAAUCCAAGGCACCCCUUCGACCUAGCCAAGGCUAGUUGCGUGACUUAAGCCAAUUUUCCUAAUUUUUCUACCCAAUGUAUGUUCGCACGUUGGAUAUAACUGAAUGCAAAACGGAAAGAAAAAUGCAAUCCUAGACUCUAAAAUGUCUCUUGUAAGGUUUUUGGUCCCAACCACAUGAGUUGUGGCGGCCAAUGAAGGAAAACCUUAUAGAGGUCGAUUAAUGCAAAUGAUGGCUAAAGUGCAAGUGUGCAUGUGUGCGAAAAGGUGCACGUGUGAAAUUGUAUAAAAAUCCAAGUGUUUGUGUGCAAGUGUAUGAAAAGGUGCAUGUGUGAAAUUGUAUGAAAAAUCCAAGUGUUUGUGUGCAAGUGUAUGAAAUAUAGUGAUAAGUGCAUAUAGGUGUAAUUAAGUGCAAUUUUGUGAAGUAGAAAUCAAAAUGAACAAUAAGGAAAGAAAAAUGUGAAUUGAAAAGGAUGAGUAAGUGAUAAAUGAGAAUGAAUGAACCUAAGGGAAUGCAUCAGGUCGGGUAUGGGAAUGACUCCUAACUUUUCGACUUCGAUUUUCCCUUUGAUUAGAAGGCGAAACUAGCGUGCUAAGGCUAUCGAAUAGCCACACUCGCUCGUUUCCCUUAUCAGAAGGGGACUCUCAGGCAAAUGAACCCUAUAACUAGCAUGAAUGCAAAAAAUCCUAAAAAUGAGGGGAAGGGGGAAUCGAGGAGCAUGCCAGAUGAUAAAACUAAGGAAAAAUGCAUGAUAUGUAGUGAACAGGCAAAUAAUGCAUUAAUGAAAAACAAAGGAAAAAUCCUAUUGGGUCUAGCGUUGGACUAGCCCUUUCUAUGAAUUCCUAAUGAAAUAAUGAGCCACAACUAGCAUUGGACUAGUGUGGUGACGUACAUUCAUCCAUCACAUUUAUUCAGGCUAUGGAAAGCGAGUAGACAUGCCAAACACUUAUAAACACAUAGCACAUAACAUUUUGCAUGCUCGACUAGAUGCAAGGCCCUAACAAAGCAAAUUAACACGUAGCAACUAAGCAUGCAAGGCACAUGAGACAAUUAAAGCCCUAACUAUUACAUUUGCUAGCUAGGCACAAGUCUUCGAUAGGUCUUCAUUGAAUGCUCCUCCAAGCCCUAUCUAUUACAAGCCAAGAGGUGUACACAUACCCCAUUAAAAAUAACUUAAAUAAAAAGCAAAAGUAAAUGACAUAAAUAAAAGAAAUUAAAGAAAGGCUAGGAAAGCAAAGUAGACAUGUAUUUCUCACAUAACACGUAGGAGCACGUAGGAAAAAAAAAAACUCAAGAAUAUAGAAGUUACCUCCCUUGCAAUGGAAAUCGAGUAAAUGAGAUAUUAGCUUCAAAACAAUAAAAAGAGUCAAAGCACCAAUUUAUUUAACAAAUAAUCACAAAGGAUAAAAUAAACAUGAAUUUGAAUCAAUUAAAUCAUGUCAACAACCCACAUUUAAGAAGUCAAGAGAAGAAAGGACUUGAUUGCAAAGAUUGGCAAAAUUUUGGGGCCAAAAUUAAAGAAAAUAGAGUCCAAGGACUUAUUUGCAAUUAAAGUAAGGACCGAAUUAAAAGAAGUUAAAAAUGUCUAGGGCCACAGUACAGUUAAGGAGAAAUUCAGGGACUGGUUCGCAAAUGCAUUUUCUGGUUUCUUAGUGGAUCAAGCCACUUGGGCCAUUUCUUAUUUGCUUGGGCCACAACCUUCCAAGCCCAACCAAAGCCCAAAGCAAAACAAGCAAGCCAGCCCAUCUUAAGUCUAAUCAAAAUUCCACUAAAAACGUAUGGGCUUUAUCUCUCAAGCCCAUGUCAACAACCCAGAAAAAUCAAUCAUUAAUCCAUUUGUUAAACCCGAACAAAAGGUCCAGACCCAAACCGAAUUAUAUCUUAUGAGAAGCCCAACAAGAUAAAACCCAACUAAAAAAAUUGCAUUGAACCCCAAAAUUAAUCUAUCCAAAGUCACAUAAAGCCGUAUUAAAGAAGAAAACGUUUGGAGGGACAAAAUUGGUUAAAUUAUUUGAUUCUCUGAUUCAAGACAGAACAAAAGGCAGCUUGAGGGGUUCAAAUGCAACCAAAGCAGGGACUUAAUUGGAGGAAUCAUGAAGACUUUGGGGUCGAAAUUAAAGAAAAGCAACGUCCAGGGGUCAAUUUACAAAUUUCCAGAUUUUUGCAAACAAAUGGUUCACUGAAUCCUUUUUCUUCAACGAAUUUCACCAGAAUUCCAUCUCCUUUUAUUUCAAAAGAAACAAAACUCACACAAACUCAAAUCACGCAACAAAGUCCAUAAGUAAAACAGAAAAUCAAGAACCAAAGGAAAAAAAAUGAAACAAAAUCUAAACCAGAAAUUUCUGUAAAACACUCUUGGCCCUUGGUUCCUCACCAGCGAACUCGCUGGCUAUCUUCUGGCAGGCAUUUGCCAAAAUUUUGUCUCCCUCACACGCAGAUGGGCAAGUCAAUUUGCCCUUAGAGCUUUGUUUUUCAAUUGGGAAAUUUCAUCAAACAUUACAUGGGCGUAAGAAAAAAUCCAGCAGAGCUUUGUUCAAUUGAUGUCAUAAUCAGCCCCAAAACGUCAGAAACCAAAGAAAUUUCAACCCCAAUCAAACCAUACAGUAUACGUAUUCAAAAAUCAUGAACAAACAACCCUCUCACGCCAAUUCAAGAUGGAACGCGAAUUCAGAAAAGGCAAACACAAGCAUAUUAAAAUCCCUCAAAAACAGCCCAUUCGGCCUUAAAAAGCAUUAAACCUGCUGAAAAUCCAUUUUUCUUCACACAUUAAAAAUGCAAAUGAAUUGUCUUCAAAUGGAACGUUCGACUAAACAUUUUAUCGAACAUCAACUGGGCAUCAAAAACAUCACCAAUUCUCAACUUAAUUGAUAUCAUAAUCAGCCCCAAGAUGUCAGAAACACAAGAAAUUUCAAUCCCAAUCAAUACAGAGAGCAAGUAUAUUCAAAAAUGGCGUAUAAUUACAGAAACAUUGCUUGAACAAGUUCACAGAAGAUGAGGUUUGUGAUUUCCAGCUUUGGGCCUUGAAGAAAAACUGAAAUUUAAGGGAAGGAAAAGAUACCUUUUCAGCAAGCACUUUUUCUGAUGAAAUUCUCAGGCGAUGGUGGUAGAUUCUAGCGACGGCAAUGGCAGCUCCGGUUGCGGCUUCUUCCAAAUUCGUCUUUCCUCUGGUUCUUUCGCCUCUGCCCCAAACUCCUCCUCCAAAUUCCAGAUUGCAGCCGCGGCUUACUCUGUUUUCUUUCCUCUGUUUUUUCCAUUAGUUGCCGCCUCUGUUCUUCUUUUCCCUCUUAUUGCUUUCUUUGUUUUUGUUCGCCGAGACCUCCUUCCCAAUUUUUCCAGUUUUUCUUUUUUCAGUUUCUCCCCUGCUAACAGCCGCCAACUGCCUUUUCCUUCAGCCCAGCCAUCCACUCUCUGUUUCUUAGCCGAAACCAUUCCUCCCCUUUUCAUUUGCUUGCCCGACAGUUUUCGCUUUCUUCCCCCAAGUUCGCCGUAGCCCUUUUUCUUUCUUUUUGAUCCCCUCAGCCCUUGCCGAAGACCCCCUCUCUGCUAUUUUUCCUUUUUUCAUUCGGCCAAGCUCUCUGUUUUUUUCUUCAUUUCCUUCGCCGUCUCCUCUCUUUAGUUUUGCCCUGCUUUUCUUUAGCCGCCCCCCUUUUUCCUUUUUUUUCCAAUUCCUUCCAACUUCCCCCCUGUUUCUCUACAGCCGUAUACCCUAGCUCCCUUCUAGAAUCCUCCUUCCAGGUGUCCUAGACACCUGGCCUUUAAAGCUCCAAAUUUCAUCCCAAGGCCUUCCUCCCAUUUCUCUUGCAAGCUGCGGCAAGAAACGCAGCCUUUGCUGCAUACGCGACUCUUUCUCUUUUUUUUAUUUUAAACUAAUUAAUUAAAACAAAAAUUGAUAAUAAAAAGAAAUGACAAUUUAAUCGUAAAUAAAAUGUACAAAAUUCGCAACAAAAAGGUGAAAUAAAAAACUAAGAUUUUCCUGUAUUUUCUUUUUCUUUUUUCAUUUUUUUCAAUUUUUCAUUUUUCCUUUUCAUUCUUAAAUAAUGAAACUAAAUCUAAAACAACUAAAACAUAUUUUUUUUUGAACGCUUUUUCUUUCUCCUUUGAGAAAUUCUACGCUAAAACUUAAAAAUAAAAUAACAACAUAAAAACUAAAAAGUGAAUAAAACGAACACAGACUAAAAGAUAAAUAGUAAAUGAAAUUACACCAAAAUUUGGUGUCUACACUUAUUCUAACGCUCUUCACUAUAUGAUACCCAAGUACAAGAACCCACAAUAAGACAAUUCACAACUCGAGCCGGCCGGUCCCAAAAGUAAAUCAUCCAUAUUAGAGAUUCCUACCUGGCAUAAUUAACUAAGGUCUCCAACAAUAGACAAUUGUUUCACACUUAACAAGUCAAUCCCCACAGUCCGAGAACCCUCUCCCGGCACGAGCUCAAUAGGAGCUCUGAUACCAUCUGUGACGACCCCACCUUCCCCUAAGGCGUACCAAAGGGUUCGGCGGACCGCCUGCCCAACUCUCGCCAGGACUCACUCACUAUCUCAAUCGAGUCAUGUACACACAUCCAUGAACCAUAAAUAAUAUCCGCAAUUCAAGCUUAUAAUUUACAUUGAUAGAAAUCGAGGUACAAAGCCUCAAUACACCAAACUAGUUCAAAAUGUAUACAAUCCAAGUACAACAUGUUCCAUUCAAGGAAUAGCGCGAGUACAAGACCAAAAGUCAAAAGUCAAAACAAAAGGCUACGCUAGUCUUUUACAAGUCUCACGCGUCACUCGUACCCCCUGUAAGGAAAACAAAUAACGUGGUAUGAGCUAAAAGCCCAGUGAGAUUCCAAAUAGUAAAUUGACCAUUAUUUAUAAGUACAAGUUUUCGAUAUAGCAAAGUAACGAGCAUGAAGAGUUCAUAAAUGUGAGCAAUAACACGUCAAGUAGAAAUCUCAAAAUGAGCGAGUGUAAAAGUUUUUCAAAAUCAACAAUAAUCCAAUAAGCAAUAAUCAAUCCAAAGCAUAAGGAUACGGAUGGCCCUCAGGAGCCAACUUCCAUUCAUCAUCAGGAGCUUGAUCACGUAGUAGUUGACACUCCGUCAACUUUCAAGUAAAGGAACCAAUCCAGUAGAGCACCACUUACAUGACUCUCCGUCCACCAUUCACACCCCCUACUGGGCCCAAAAUCCUCAAUAAACAUGGGUGGUAAUACUCGAGUAUACCGAUUAGCCGAGGAGCUAUCACUCCACUCGACAAAAUAAGAGACCCAGGGUUCGUUACCCAAUCGACCAAGCCCUUGCCGGCUCGACUAGAGUAACUCGCCACAGGGUUUCUGGAAUUCCAGGAAGUGCGCACAUCAAGUAUAUCAAGUCAAUUGCAAUCAAUAAACAAGUAUAUCACGUAAGGGCAAGUGCGAUAAAGUACACUCUUGCCCUGUCAAUUCACGUAUAUAACAAGUACUCAUAUUGGUCACGUAUCCAGUUCAAGUAUCUAGUGCAAUUCAGUAUUUGAAAGCACUCACCACAAGAUAUAGUGCCUUUACUGGUUCGGAGUCCAAAUCUGCGAUAAAACUCAAUUUGAGAACUUUGAAACAUGACUAAAGUUCGAAACUUAGACGUUUCGUUCAAUAAGAAUCAAGAAAUUGAAAUUCACUUGGACAGUAGUCGUGAAACACUUGCUCGCCUUUUUAAACAGUAAAACUUUGUAAUAUUUAUACUUGAAAUUGUCUUGCGAGUUGAAAGUACAAGGAAAACAUACUUCGAGCAAUCAUUAUUUCAUUUCUCAAGGGUACAAGUUCGUCCAAGUCCUAACGUAUAACACUCAAGAAACAUAGUGGCCAAGGUUCUCGCUAGUUCAAGUAAUAAGUACUUAACCUUCACUCAAGUCGCUAAUAUAGUUUUCUAGUCCUCGAGUAAAAAUUCGGGCAGCAUGCCCUUUGUGUUUACCUAAUUUUCCAGCCUUUUAGGCUUCAUUGUUUUUCUCAAACACAACCCAACAUUAUACAUAUCAGCAAUUCAUGUCAAGAGCCGUUCCAUAGGCUCACAAUAUCAUAAUAACAAGAAUCGUAUUAAGUACAAGUGCAGAAAUUCAAUUUAGUUCAAAACAGAUUUGACGUACAAAUGCGGAAAUAACAUAUCCGAGGUUACGCUUAUCGGAUUAAAACGAAACCUAUGCCGUUUCGAAGCUAAGACACAGAGCUACAACAUUCAUGAAGGUCACUUAGUCCAGUUCCUAAUGUAACUCAGUCAAAUUCUCGAAUUACUAAACCAGAAACCAAUUCGUCGGCUGUUUAAACGCAGAACACUGUAAUGGUCAUAACUCAGUGUACAAAAGUCCAAUUCAGGUGUUCUUUGAGGCAUUUAAAGCUACUUCAGAACACUACAACUUUCAUGUUUUGGCCAGAGUAAAUCAGUAUGACUCCUAGUCAAAAAACGUGAUAAACUGGACUUAACUGAUGAAACGGACUGCUGGGAAAUAUUUAAAAUAGUAAGGGUAUUUUGGACUUUUCACAUCCUACGUUGCUCUGAUUGAGCUGAAAUUUUGUAGGCACCUAUAAAAUGUCAUUCUCUACAACUUUUCUUCUUUGACCUAAGGCCAAAUCAGCCUCUAACACACAGAUACAAAUUCGGACAGAAUGUAAGCAAGAAUUUCCAGAAAUCUGAAAUCUUUAGUUUUUAGUGGAACUUUCCUAAAUUUCUUGGUCUAAUCACUACCACAACACCUUAUGAAACCUCAAUUGCAACAUAUAAGCAUCUUACAACAAUUUGGACAGAAUUUCCAUAAGCCCUAGUUCAUCAAAUAAAUUGGGGAAAAACCUCUAAAACAUGCUAAUCAUCCAUGAUUCCACCACUAUAAUCAAACUACUAAACUUAAUUUAACAAAAUUGAAAGCAAAACUUAGAGAGAUAAGCUCUCUUACCUUGAAUAGAGGUUACAAAGAGCAGCCCAAGCCUUCCCUUUCCAAACUUUCACCACCAAACACUAACUAACCACUCAAGGACAAGAUUAAUCGGUUUAGUUCUUUGGAUUUCUCACUUUGUAGCUUGAAUCAAGAAGAAAUGAAGAAGUUUUUCUCUUGGUCUUUCCCUCUCUCUCUUAUUUCGGUUAUGGAGCAAAAAAAUGAAGGAAAUGGAGCUUAACUUGUCUUAUAAGGAAGUAAGAAGAUUAAGGCUAAUUGUGUCCACAAUUUUUGGCCAGCACUUGGACUAAUCUUGUCCACAAAUUUUUCUCUUUCUUCCCUUACAUUUCUAGCCUUAUAAUUUCGGUCAAACCAGCUGCAAAUUAGGAAGAUAUUUUGUGCAAAAGUCAAUAAGCUUGUUUGGUAAGAAAAAUGGUGGUCAAGCGGUGCGUUCAAACGGUAGUGCGCGGGACCCGCCGGUUCGCGCCGUUUUCUUAAAACUCACGUACUAGGGUUUUUACUUCCCAUUCACUAACCUUAUAUCAUUGCUACUACUCACAUAUUAUUUCUCACUUAAAAGUCACUUUUAAUCACCCAAUUUGGUCCUUGCUCCGUACCGAAAAUUCAUCCGGCGGAAAAUCGCGAAAACCCUAAUUUUGCUCAAAUCUUGAAACCGAAGUGUAAAAUCCUAUUUUCCAGGUUCAUCUGCACUUAUUGUUGAACAAUUGGGUAGUAGGGCUUUAAUAAAUAAUAAUUUUCAAAUAAAAGGAAAUUUUUAAGAAAACGUGAGGAAUUUUCCAAUUCCAAUGAUUAAAUUUAGGGUUUCAAUCAAAAUGUGAGAGAUUUAAGAGAACCGGUUAGUCACAAGUAAACUAGGGUUUUUGACUAAAAUAUUAGGGUUUCUAGUCUUUUAAAACAAAAUAAGGUUUUAAAUCAACCCGAAAAAAUAUACUUUAAUAUUUUCUUCACAAACAACCUCCUAAUAUUCGGGAUGUUACAUAUUUACACUACGUCCUUCCCCUAUUCAAAUUGACGGCUAAUAGGGUACUGUAUUGACAAAGGACCUCAAAUUUUCCAGCAGACACAAAAGGACCGAGACCUCAAGAUCUCAGAUUUUCUGGCAAAUAAAGAGACUUCACUAAACUGGAGAACUAUUUGAUUUAAAGUCUUUACGUGUGGAAUACGUGCAAAUUUUAUUCGUAGUCAUGAUCUGGACUGUGACAAAUAUGUGAAAUUAGACAAAGUUGGUGGGAAUGCUUUGACUUUUUCAUGCAUAAUUAUAUCUUAUUACUUCUUCUAUUUCUUAUUUCAUCUCUUUUGACACUUUUCUUAUGCUAAACUUGUUUGGCUUUAGGUCUUUAUGAAAUUUAAAAAGGAAAUUUAGUCAGAGGAGUGAACAUUUUAAAAAUUUGAAGGGGAACAAUGUGGUUAUGGAAGGGAUUAUACAAAGUUGAGGAGGGGCAAAUAAGGUGCAAAAUGAAAACAUAUUGUAAAAUAUUACCACCCUGAAUUUUUAAAAUAUAUAUUUUUCCCACUCAAAUGAAUUAUGUUUAUGCUUUUACUUUUGAACAACCUAUGUGCAUAUUUUUCUUCCUAGAUUACCCCCAAUUUUUCAAGUUUCUCAACGGUCAACUUUUAGAUUGUUGCAUUUUCUUCUUAUGUUUUCAUCAAAAUAUUCUGUUAUUGUGUGCUAUGAUGUUAGAUUAUAAUAUAAAUUAAAUAAAAAACUCCCCCUACCUCAGCCUUUUUCCCACCCCAUCCCACUUUCUUAGGAGUGCUCCCAUAGUGAACAUUACUAUUUUUUAUUUGACCUAAUUUUUUUUAAAAAAUGUAUAUAUAGCACCAAUAAAAAUCGCAAUUAUCAAUCUUUUGAAUUAGCCAAAAAUUCAAUGUUAAUUAUCACAUUUGAUACUAUGCGAAAUCUAAAUCAAUACCCAUUAAGUUUUUUACAAACAAUAUAUAACAUGUGACAAAUAAAAGUCAAAUAAAUUAAUAUAACAAAAUCUUAAUUUUGCCACAAACAUAAUAAAUGCCAAGAAAUGAUAUAUUAUUUUAUCACAAUAAAAUACCAUAUUGUUUAUUUUAAAUUUGACUUUUCAUAUACAUAUUAGUACUACACUACAUAAAUUCACUUAGAAUAAUUCACUUUUGCUCCGUUACAUUGACAAGUAAACAAUGAAAAAAAAAAUGGAAAGCUAUUGAAAACCCAAGUCGUGCUUCUCAUUUAUGAUUUGAUGUUACAUUGACAAGGAAACAACGGGAAAAAAGAAUGGAAGGAUACCUUUAUGGUGGGAACCUGCCUAUGAUAGGGAGACGGAGACGUUAAAUUGUUGUACAAUGCGUGGAGAGGAUAUAUACGAGAACCAUCUGCGGAUGCAACCAAAAAGCACAUUGACUUUCGUACGAGUUGGGGCAGGAAGUGUUUUUGCAUGUUAAAACCAGAGGCAUUUAUGUAUUUGUAAAUGUACCCAUUACGACUGGAAAAAUGUUGCAAAUGCCUUGGACAAAAAAUGUGCAUAAAGAAGGUACCGAAAUUUUAAGAAAUAAUAAAUGAUUAUCCCACACGCGUGGGGGAUAAUAAUUUGGAAAAAGGAAAAGUGGAGGUAAACGAAAGGAUUCAAGCCUUCAUUAUAUUUAUAUACAUAUACAAAUUUAGUGACCAAGUGUUCAGCUUAAGCAUCCGGGAAAAUGGUCCCAUGACUAUCGUUAUGGUAAAAAACUUAUUAUAAUCGGUUAUAAUAAAUUUAGCAAGCAUUUGAUUACCUGUUGGACUUAUCCACUUGAAUAGGAUUAUGCGUAAAAAUAAGGAAGUAAGUUUGUCAUCUAAAAUAGUAAGUUAACGUAAUAAACUAGUAAUUUUUGCAGCCCAAAACGUGAAUUGAAAGUAUUACGAAACAUACUUUUUAAAGAGAUAAAUUACAAUUUUUAUCCUCAAUAUACUUUUGAGGGAGUAAGUUUAUUUGAAGUAAUAGUAUGUUUUUAUACAUAAAUAAUCAUUUUUACUUAUAACAUAGUAAAUUUGAUUAAUGACAAAAACAUACUAAUUUAUGGCAAAAAUUCUCUAUUAUGCUUAAAAAACUUAUGCCAAGCCCAUAUUUUAUUGUUAUUUAAAAUAACACUAAAAUGUUUUAUUAAUGAUUAAAACUGAGUACCUUACUUAGUAAGUAAUGUUAAUAUACUUGUAUAAAUACUUGAUCGUAUGUGAAAAAAUUAGUAUUUUUGAAAUUUAUACAUAAUUAAAUUUUUUCUGUUGCAGUUUAAAAAAAAAGUAAGCGAAAUUUUUUUUUGCGCAAAGCACCAAAAUUCACAAGUCAAAAUAGUUGGUCUGAAAGGGAAAGAUACAGCUGAAUAGCAUUGUUUAAAGUACCAAAUAAAUAGAUGUAAAAUGCUGGUUAAAAACUGGUAGUUAGACAUAUAACAAAGGAAAGUCAUAAAAAUCAGGCCAUUUAUGGAAAAAGUUUUCAUUAAUAAAAAUUCCAGCUCUUCACGGCUUUCUUACCAGUCCUCCAAAGCAUGAGCAAAGUGCCAAUAUUUGAAAUAGUAAUCUUUUCGAUUUAUACAAAAUUAAUUUAUUUUUUACAAAUUAAAAAAAUAAUUGAAAUUUUUUAUCAGAAAGCAAAUAAGUCAAAAGGUUGGUCUAAAAGGGAAAGGAAUAGCAGAUAUGUACAGUACUUGUAUUUCAUGUUCGAAGGACUACAGUGUUGUUUUUUACAAUACCCCGAAAAAUAUGCAAUGCAAACGGAACCGAUUCUUCAUUAUUUAAAAUACCAAAUCUGUGAUUGUGUUUUAACUGUUAUCCAUUGGUAUUCUAAAGUAUCAUUUUUUCAUCCAAUACCACCUCUUUAACACUCGUUUCCCCUUAAAAAAAUUAUUUAUUGGAUGAAAAAAAUAAACCUUUUAUGCAAUAAAACAUUAACUCUUUAUGUCUUUCCUCCAUUAUAAGAACAAAGUACUCAUUUUUCCCUAAAAAAUUAAUGGAUAAAAUAAAAUAAAAUAAAAUAAAAAAUCGAUUUUAGGUUAAAACACUAGCUCUUUAUGACUUUUCUCCAUUAUAAGAGCACAGUACCCAUUUUCCUCAUCAAAAAUUUUAUUUAUCGGAUAAAAUAAAAAUAAACCCAUUUUCCCAUAAAACACCAGCUCUUUAUGACAUUUCUCCAUUAUAAGAAUAAAGUAACCAUUUUCUCACAAAAAUUUAUUUAUCACCUAAACUUAAAAUAAACCCAUUUUUUAAUAAAAUACUAACUCUUUAGCACUUUCCUCCAUUAUAAGAAUACAGUACCGAUUUUUGCAUAAACAAAAUUUAUUUAUUGACUAAACUAAAAUGAAAUCCGUUUUCCAAUAAAACACUAACUCUUCUUUAUAACUUUUCUCCAUUAUAAGAACAAAGUACCCAUUUUGUCAUUAAAAAAUUUAUUUAUCGGCUAAACUAAAAAUAAACUCAUUUUUCAAUAAAAUACUACCUCUUUAUCAUGUUCCCCUGUUAUAAGAACACAGUACCCAUUUUUGCAUAUAAAAAUUUUAUUUAUCGGAUAAGAUAAAAUUAAUUCUGUUUUCCAAUAAAACACUAGCUUUAUGGCUUUCCUCCAUUAUGAGAAUAGAGUACCCAUUUUUCAUAAACAAAUUUAUUUAUUGGAUAAAAUAAAAAUAAUUCAGUUUUUCAAUAAAGGACCAGCUACUUGUGGCUUUCCUCCAUAAAUUAUCUAUUUUCAUACGUUAAUUUUUUAGUUAGAUAAAAUCAGAAUGAAAUUAGGUUGAACAAUAAAUUACCCUUUACAAUGAAAUUGAAAUACAGAAAAGUAACCCAUAGCAAGUUUUAACUCCAUUUCCAAUACAAAAAUAUGCUACAAAUUCUUUUGGCAACCGCAAGACACCUCAUUCAUAAAGUCUCAAGAAAACUUUCCAACCAUUAUGCAAAAGCAACUUAUUCAUUCUAAAUUUUUAGCAUUAAUUUGAUUAUCAAUUGGACGUAUCCACCUAAAUAGGAUAAUAUGUAUUUUCUGGGACACAAGACAUAAUAGGAAUUAAACUUGCAUUAAUGUAGACCUAACAAAAUGAGAGAAAUAGCAUAACAAUUAAUACAAUAAUAAGAAUAACAGAGUUGGUAUAACAAAAUUAGUUUAGUCUACAAAUUUAUUUUUUUCUGCAGAUAGUUUGCGAAUAUGACAUUCAACCACCAAAAAAAAGACAUCUAUAUCUGUCUAUAUGUAUUGCAGAGAGAAUUUUAGAUAAGGAGCUUUUCAAAUUGUCAAAAGUUCGAAUACUAUUUUAUUACAAUUUUACAUUUCUAAAAUUAAGAAAUGUUUAUCUCACAACUAAUCCUUUAAUUGCUCGUACAAAUCCUAUAAUCAUGCUCAUGUUUUUCCCACAUUUCCCUCACAUUUUCCCCACUAACCAAUAAAAUUAAAACUCCCGAAUUUUAACUAACAGAUAAUAACCAAGCAUGUCAAAUUAAUAUCUGCAAAUUCCAAUUAACAUCUCACAUUUACUGCUGACUUUACUGAUAGUAUUAACUAACAGUUAUUACUGACAUUCACAACUCACACUUACCACAUUACUCAUAAUAAUAACUAACUGUUAAUUUAAGAUAUUCGCAACAGUGAAAGUCACAUAUCCAAAAUUUAGGAGCAUGUAGAAAUAAUAAUUUUCACAAUUCAAUGUAUUUUAUUGCCAUAAUAUAGUUUACUCUCAGAAUCAUUCACAAAACUGCUGCACACUAAUCCAAUUGACCCAUUUAAUUUGCCAUCAUAUAAAUUCAAUACAGUGAAAAAAUUAUGUAUUAUACAUUUUUUCACUAAGGAUAAAUCUCAGUUACAAACAUUUCAAUCAGUGACAAAGCCAAGAUUUUUUCUCUAGAGAGGCUAAAAUGGAUACUCAGUUUUUAUAAUGGAGAAAAGUCAUAAAGAGUUAGUGUUUUAUUGAACAAUGGAUUUAUUUUAAUUUCAUCCGAUAAAUGGAUUUGUUUAUGCAAAAAUGGGUACUCUGUUCUUAUAAUGGCAGAAAGCCAUAAAGAGCUAGUGUUUUAUUGAAAAAUCGAAUUUUCAUGUAUUUUAUCCGACAAAUAAAUUGAUUUAUGGGGAAAUUGGUGUUAAAGAGGUGGAAUUUUUGUAGAGGGGCUGAAAUGGGUACUCUGUUUUUAUAUUGGAGGAAAGGCAUAAAGAGUUAGUGUUUUAUUGAACAAUGGAUUUAUUUUUAUUUCAUCCGAUAAAUAAAUUUGUUUAUGCAAAAAUGGGUACUCUGUUCUUAUAAUGGAGGAAAGCCAUAAACAACUACUGUUUUAUUGAAAACCGAAUAUCAUGUAUUUUAUCCGAUAAAUGAAUUGGUUUAUGGGAAAAUUAGUGUUAAAGAGAUGAAAUUUGAUGGGAAAAUGAUACUUUAUGAUACCAAUGAAUAAUAGUUACAACACAAUCACAGAUUUGAUAUUUUAAAUAGUGAAGAAUCGGUUCCGUUUCGAUUACAUAUUUUUCGGGAUAUUUUUCAAAAAUAGCACUACAGUUCUUCGAACAUAAACUAUAGGUACUGUACGUAUAUGCUAUUCUUUUUCCUUUUACACCAUUCCUUUGACUUAUGUGCUUUCUCAUAAAAGAUUCUCAUUCAUUUUUUAAAUGGAAAAAAAUUAACGAAAUAUGUAUAAUUCAAAUAAAAUACUAUUUUAAUUAUUGCCAUUUUGCUCAUACGUUGCAAGACUGAUAAGAAAAUCGUAAAGCGUUGCUAUUUUUAUGAAUGACAACUUUUCCCGUAAAUGGCCCGCUCUUUAUGUCUUUUCUUUAUUAUAUGUCAACGCACCUGCUUUUAACGAGCAUUUUACAUCUAAUUUAUUUAGUACUAUAAACAAUGAUAUUCAGAAUGUUUCUUUCCCCUUUAGACCAACAACUUUGACUUGUGGAUUUUUGUGCUCUGAGAAAAAAGAUUUUCGCUUACCUUUUUUUUUUAAACUGCAAAAGAAAAAAUCAAUUUUUCCCCAUAAAUCUCAAAAAUGCUUAUUUAUACACAUACCAUCAAGUAUGUAUACAAGUAUAAUAACUGUACUGACUAAGUAACGUACUCAGUUUUAAUGAUUAAUACUACAUUUUUGUGUUAUUUCAAAUAACUCUAAAAUAUGGGCUUCGUAUAAGUUUUUUAAGCAUAAUACAAUAUUAUGGCCACAAAUUAGCAUGUUUUUGUCAUUAAUCAAAUUUACUAUGUUAUAACUAAAACUCACUAUUUCUGUAUAAAAACAUAUUUUUACUUCAAAUAAACUUACUCCCUCAAAAGUAUAUUUGGGAUAUACUAUUGUAAUUUAUCUCUUUAAAAAAUAUGUUUCAUAUUAAUUACAAUUUACCUUUUCGACUGCAAAAGUUACUAAUUUAUUACGUUAAUUUACUAUUUUGAAUGACAAAUUUACUCCCUUAUUUUUACCUAUAAUCAUAUUCAAGUGGAUAGGUCUAACGGGUAAUCAAAUGAUCGUUAAAAUUUUUAGAACCUAUUAUAUCAUGUCUAAAACUGUGUUGUUUACCGUAUCGAUAGUUAUGGGACCAUUUUCUCGAAUGCUUAAGCUGAACACUUGGGUACUAAAUUUAUAUAUGUAUAUAAAUAUAAUGAAGGCUUGAAUCCUUUCGUUUACCUCCACUUUUCCUUCUUCCAAAUUAUUAUCCCCUAUGCGUGUGCGAUAAUCAUUUAUGAUUUCUUAAAAUUUCGGUACCUUCUUUACGCACAUUUUUUGUCCAAGGCAUUUGCAACAUUUUUCCAUUGGUAAUGGGUACAUUUGCAAAUACAUAAAUGCCUCUGAUUUUAACAUGCAAUAACACUUCCUGGCCCAACUCGUACGGAAGUCAGUGUGCUUUCUGGUUGGAUCCACAGACGAUUCUCAUAUAUUUCCUCUUCACGCGUUGUGCAACAAUUAAACGUCUCUGUUUGGACUGUAUAUAACGUCAACACGUGUCACUCUCUGCCGGUCUUCCUACCAUAGGCAUGUUCCCACCAUAAAGGUUUCCAAGAAUGGAAAGCUACUGAAAACCCAGGUCUUGCUUCUCAUUUAUGAUUUGAGGUCAUGAUGUAACAGGUCUAGGCAUUUGAGUGGAAUGUACAUUGGAAUUUGAUUUGGAUAAGAAUUUAUUCAUUUUUUGCUUGAUUAGUGACAAAUAAAAACUCAGGUCUAGGCUUAUAAUUUGGAUGAGAAUGUAUUCAUUUUUUUCGAUAAGAAUUUGUAAUUUGGAUAAGAAUUUGACAAGUAAACAAUGGGAAAAAAUAAUGGAAAGCUAUUGAAAACCCAGGUCUUGCUUCUCAUUUAUGAUUUGAGGUCAUGAUGUAACAGGUCUAGGCAUUUGAGUGGAAUGUAUAUUGGAAUUUGAUUUGGAUGAGAAUUUAUUCAUUUUUUUGCUUGAUUAGUGACAAAAAAAAAACUCAUAUGGCUUAUAAUCACUCUCAAUCUGAUUUCAAUAAGUAUAUUUAAUGUACAAAUGAAAGAGUAACAAAAAAGAAUGAGAAAAAAUCUUCUAGUUCUGUUGGACUGAAACUAAUAUUUCAUGAUUCGCGUUUCAGAUUUUUUUCCGAAAUGAUUUGAAAUGACAUGGGAAGAAAUCACAUAAACAUAAAAUUGACAAGUUAAAGAGAUACUUGGGAUUGAGGGAGAGGAAGGUUCAUUUUGGUCGUUUAUGGUUUUUUGGCUUGUGUAUACACUACGUUGUUUAGAGCCGAAUAUUGAUCCAAGAGGUAAAAUUCACCCUUUCUAAGCACAUAUGUUGGGAUUUAACUCUUAUUGCUAUUGUUGACGCACUCAUGUAGUAAGAUUCUUGUUGUAACAAUGUACUAAAACUAGUAAAAACCGAAAAUAAGACGAAGGAAAAAUAAACAUGAAAGUUGUUUUGAUCAUUCUACUUUUGUAUGAUACUCUAACAAAAGUUCUAGUACCAGAAUAAUUCAUCAAAAUCUGGUGUUGUAAACACGCACUUCAAGCCUCUUGCCUAAAAAAGUAAAAAAACACCAACUGAGGAAUUACUCCGAAUUUUUUUGUUUGCAAAUGUCAUGAUUUAUUUUUACGAGAGAAUUACUAUUUGGAUAUCCAAUUUUUCGGGGGGAUAGACGAAUGUAGCCCUAGAUAAUUUGGUAAAAAGAAAAAAAUAAUUCCUUUUGUUAAGUAAUACUUAAAAUUUUUGUUUAAAUACAGCUUUUAAAGCAUCAUAGUAAUUUUAUUACAAUGCACGGAGGAAUUUCUAUUUCAAGUUUAAGAUGGAAAAGAACUGAAUGAAAAAAAUGAAGUUCGACCGAAAUAGAUGUCAGCCAACAAGCUCAAACAAAAAAAAUAAAGGAUAAGCGUCUUUGAAUGAAAAUACUUGACUUUGGGAGCACACAUAUUAUGCUGAUACAUAUUUUCAAGUGUAAAUAUGUCAUCACAACCUACAUAUAAAGAUGAUUAAGCAUAAGAAACUUCAUAUUCUUUUAUGCUUGCAAUUCAUAGAAACAUUCAUGCACUAACAAGAAGUUAUUUAACCUUAUUUUCAGCUUAAGUUUUUCUUUCUUCAAAUUCUUUAUGUUCGUUUAAUGGAUACGUUUUCAUUAUAAAAACCUUUUAAUGAUUCGGGACCGAGUAAUUUUUUGUUGUUGUUUUAUAGUUUAAGAAGUGAUUUAGUUGCAAAUUAGCAUUUAGGAAGCCAAGGUGCACAGCAUAAUGUAUAAAACCUUUUGUUGUUCGUUUGAUAUUUCUAUUAUACCCCUAGAAUUGGCUAAAAAUUUUGAAGGCAAAAUAAGUAAAGAAAAACACAUUUCCCAACCUACCUUUUUAUAUUUCCAAUCACCUUUUUAUCUCACAUAUAUCAUAUCACAAAAAGUGCUAUAGUAAUUAUUCCAAAUAAUAUUUCAAAUAAUACACUAUCCAAACAAACUGUAAAAUUAACUGGCUAUAUCUCAAGGGGAGAUUUUGUAAUUAAUUCUAAUUUUAAUUAACAUUCCUAGAGAUAUUUGAAAUCUGUCCAUGAAGUUGAUUGUGGGAAAAAAAAUUUAAGAGCAAGAGUUGGAUUGAUAAAUUCUAAAAGGAAGGUGAUAUGGCACGUAAAUUUUUAGUGAAGGAAAAUUCCAAAGAGUAAAAUGCUUUCUGUCACAGAACCCACGUAAGAAUCCGGUACUCAAGUAAUGCACUUAUAAAAUAUGGCUAAAAUCGAUCACAAGUUAAUUUUGUAGAAGAAUGUUUCAUCAAAUUCUGAUGCAACUCCAUUUGAUGAUUAAAAUUUAAAUAUUGUAACAUAAACUAACAAUCAAUAUUAUGGAUUUUUCUUUUAUUUUGUAACUGUAAUUCAAAUUUCAAACUUCCAGAAUUUAUACAUGAAUAAAUUAAUUGUACAAGUUGGUUUUUUUUUUCACUUUAGCGGCAACUUCUAGCCUAGUCUAGCCUACUCCUACUCCUAAGGGGGGGAGAACUUACUUUUUAAGGGAAGCGACUCUAGGGAGUGGGUCAAUUGAGUAUGGGGAACCAGACGGGGACUUAACCACCAUCUGACCAGACGGGUGCACCACUCACCCGCAUGGAUUUAAAACACUCCUCAUAUUGAGGCACGUUGAUGGGAGGCAAGAUUUGAACCCUUGACCUCCUAUCCUACUAUAUACAGUGGUGGCCAACUCCUCUAUUGGGAGUUGGUUAUUUGUACAAGUUGGUUGAGAAAGAAAAUUUUUUGAGUUGCCAUAUAAACGGCAGACUUGCUAUCAAUACUUGAGAAACGAAGCUUUUCUCUUGAUUUCUCAAAACACUUGAUUUCCCCUUACAGAUUUGAAGCAUAGUUAUUAAACUCAGAUCAGCCCGAUGGUCAAAUUGGUCAUCCCGCUGAACAAGUCGUUGCAUCAGGUUGGGUCUCUAAUUGGAUCACUUGAGCACAGAUUUCGUUGACUGGUUAAUGCCAGCAAUUAAAUCGAAUUAGACUGGAAUCCGACCGAUUUUGUCAAUGAGCCGGAUUUUAUGGAAAAGAUGUUAGUAAGCUCUUAUCAAGAUUUGAACUUAGGACUUUAAGCAUAAAUGUAUGGUAUACUCACCACCAUACCACUUGACAUAUGUAAGUUGAAUAGCAUUCUUAUGCUAUAUGAAUGUUUUGUCAAUUCUAUCUUUGUUUUUUUUUUAUUUUUCCAAACCAUUAUUUGAAAUCUUUUAAUAAAAAUUUAUGACCCCCCUCCCCAAACAUUAUAAGUUAUAAAAUGGAUUUUAAAAAUAUUAUAUUACAUAAUCUAUUUUAAAGACAAUUAUUGUUUCAAGUAAUUAUUUGCACUUAAGAUUUGUAAAUAAACUCGAUAAUUACACUAAAUACGAUAAAAUUUUAUGCUUGAAGUUUGGUGGAUUAUUAAUUAAAUUUAUGUUUUGUUGAUUCUUAUAUGAAUUAAUUAUUCUACAAUGAAUUAAAUUAAAUAAGCAUUUACUAUGGCAUUUUUUAUUAUAGUUUAUAACAUAUAUCUCAUAUCAAAAAUUAUGAGACAUAAUAUUUAAUUAUAUUUAGUGACCCACUGGUUCAACCAUUUACUAACUGGUUGAACCAAUGAUUCGUUGACCCACCUCCUUCGUCAAAUUCCUUUGUGGGCCGGGUUUAAUAACUAUGAUUUGAAAAGUUAUUUUUGUGUUUUAGAAAAUGGAUAAUAAUAAUUACAAGUAUUAGAGUUGGGAUGGCCCAACAUUUGAGUUCAAACGCGCCAUAGCAUCCAGAGAGCUAAUUGUUAAAUCUGGAAACAUUUCGGACUUCAAAACACGUAGUUUGGGCCGCCAACGUCCACUUGCACAGAUUUGUGUAGGUUUUCUAAACGACUCAACAAUCCCCCACUAAUUUGCAAAACAUGUGUAUCCUAAACCAUGAACUCUUCAAUAGUUCAACUUUAAUGGAUGAAUCUUAAGCAUAAUCAGAAGUAUCUCUUGAUAAUUUAAAAAAAAAAGAAGAAGUUUCUCUUGAUUUAAACUUCUAACUGGUAUAGAUGAUUUAAAUUUAUAAUGUAGUUGUUAGUGUUCUUAAAUUAGGGAAGUUCUACGGUCUCUUUAGAGCACUGUGCCGACGAAAUUAAAUUUAUUGUUGGAUAUAAAAUAGGAAUUAUCAAUCUUUAGAUUAUUUUAAGAGUUUAAAUUACUAAAUGAUAUGAUAAGAUAUGAAUAGAUUAAAAUUAUAGGUACCGUACCAAAAAAGGACUGUAGCAUUUUUCCUUAAAUUAAACUAUAUCUCUUAAAUGUCAAAGACUAAGGCUCCGUUUGAUAACACUGAAUCUGAAUUCUGAAUUCUGAAUUCUGAAUACUGAAAUAAUUAAUUUGCUGAAUUUUAAGCACUGAAAAGAGAUAUAUGAAUGUCUGAAUCUUAAUGCUGAAUCUAUUUAUACUGUUUGAUAAAUAUUCAUAACUUAAUGCUUAAUAAGCUAAAUUGUACAAUUUUGCCCUUCUAUCUUUUAAUCCAAAAAGGAAAUAGAACCUAUGAUUUAAUUAGCUUAAAAUUGUUAGGUAUGAAAAAGACAAUAUUUAUUUUUAAAUCAAAUUAAUAUAAAAGAAGAAAUAUAUUAUGCAAAACAUUAAAAGAAACAUUACAAUCCAAUAAUUCAUAUAACAUAUAAAUUCGACCUAAAAAAUUUAGAAAUGAUUGUUUGAAUAGAGAAUAUCAGAUUGUUUUGUUUAAUUAGAUAAGGAUUUUGAAUAGAGAAUAUUAGGUUGUUUAAUUAGAUAAGGAUUUUGAAUGUAAUUAACAAAUAGGGAUAGAUUUGGUAGAUAAGAUAAAGUAGUUGAAGUAAAUCUCUUGAUUCUUAUCAAAUUAAGCAUUCAGUUACGAUUCUUGUGCUGAAAAAAAUACAUACAAAUUUAGCACCACUUAAUAAGUUCAGCAGGUGAAUUUUUAUUUAUCAAACACCCAAAAUCUCUUAAUGUCUGAAUGAAUUCAGUUUCAGCACUUUUUUAUGUUAUCAAACAGGCACUAAAACACAGCACAAUUAAUGAUAUAUACUUUUCUCGAGGUUAAUAUUAGCUUUACAGCUAUUUUACCCACGUGCUAAAGUGUGAUUACAGGAUGAUAAAGAAGAUUAUGGGUCGUCAUGGCGGAUUUUAUGGAGAGUAAUGCCUUGUAUUCCGGCAUUCAGGGUGUUGUUGCCGCAAAGGCAGAAUGGAGUAAGAAGAACUGAAAAAGAGGAGGAGAGCAAAACGCAUUUUCAGUUUGCGUAUUGGGGUAUUUUGUGUGCAUGGGAUUUGGGAACAAGAAGAGUUUGAUAUGUUGACAAAGGAACGAUUGAAAACUCGAGUUUUGUUUCUUAUUUAUGAUUUGAGGUCAUGAUGCAAUAGGUCUAGGCAUUUGAGUGGAAUUUACAUUGAAAUUUCAUUUGGAUGACAAUAUGUUCAUUUCUUGGUUCAUUUGUGACAAAAUAAAACUCGUACCAUUUGAUAAGUAUACUAGUUUUGGGCAUAAGCUUAAAUUAGUUAUUUGUUGCAUUUGAAGAACCACAAAAUUCUGCUUUCUAGAGCUGAUUGGACAAAAAUUUUACCAUACAACUCCAUAAAAUUUCCACCAAAAAAAAGAAAAUCAUCUUCACAUAAUGAAAAUAAAGAUAGGUACAUUUGUCAACUCAAUUGCCAGUGAAGUAUUUAUAAAGGAAAUUUUAAUCUACUUUUCCAUUUCCUUUGCCUUGAUUCUUUUUCGUUUCAAACUUUACAUGUAUGUGUGCAAUAGUCCCCACCGCAGUUUCCUCCUUCCUCUACUCUUCUCCUCUUCUUUAGUCGCAAUAGCAAGCUUCCUCUGUUUUUUGAGCUCCCUAAUCUUCCGAAGAGGAUAGGAUUAAAUUUUUGUCUGAACCUCAUAUUGAAACCAAUUCCAACUAUCAACAGGAAAGAAACAGUAAAUAUUUACUAUUAUCCAAACAUUAAAUGAAGGCAGAACUAACAAGAAAGUACAAAGGAGAUUUUAAGCAUAAAGUGUGAUUACCAAAUUCCCAAUUCCCGUGAGAGAUAGUUGAUACUCACCUGCAUAUGCACAAAAUGUUCAAAUGCAGUUUGAAAUUCCCAGUUCCCGUGAGAGGUAGUUGAUACAUGUCUGUAUAUGCACAAAAAGGUUCAAACGCAGUUCAAACGCAGCAAGAUAAAGGAUCAUUCUCCUUGUCUACAAGUAUGAUCUUUUCUCUGCAAUGUGAGUAGGGAAGGCCUGCAACGUGCUUAGUCCCUUCAAUAUAUCAUAUUUGCAAUAGCUGCACAAAGUCAAUCAAGAGCUUGAAUCUCACACUGCAAAUCCCAUCACCAAAAUUUUUCUUUUGACUAGGAAAUUACAUUUGAAAGUUUCUUAUCCUCUAAUCAUGACUAUAGUAAAUUCCAAUUCAACACAUCAUCUUUUAGCUACUAUUAGAAUCCACCACAGAAAAAGAGGAAGUAACAAAACUUCCAACAAAUUAAUGUAAAAUUCCUCUAUUUCAAUAACAUUCUUUUCCAAAUUUCCCAAAAAAAAAAUUGAGAAAAAACCAUAGAAAAUCUCUCCAUACAACCUGGAUAAGCAAGUAAGAGGAAACCUGCUGUGCAGUUAUAAAAAAUUCUCAAAAAAGGCCCAGUUUGUAUUUGAAACAGUGGUUGUAGAGCAUUGAAUCAUCUCUAAUGUCCUAAAUGACUUCUUUCUGAAAUCCAAACAAUAUCAAAAGUUCAUCACCUUUUCUCUUCUAAGCUAACUACUAAGCUAAAAGCUAAAAAUAAUAUGCAAACCUAGUUGGUUCAAUGAUUUUUUUUUUUUCCAAAUUUGCAAUAACUUGAACUGAAUAUAUCAUAUUUCUUCAACAAUACAGAGGGUAUAUCAUUAUAAAGCUGGCCAGUCAUAAAAUAUACAAUAGCACAGAUGCUUUCCUCAAUGCAAAGGCCAUGUUUUUUCUACUUUUGUUUUUAUUCAGAUAUGAAAGCUCUCAACUUGCACACUGCCCAUGCUUUUUCAACUCUUAAUACCAUAAGAAACAGAAGAGGAAAAGAGAAUGCAGAGCUAUCCUAAGUGAUAACUUAUCAUGGUUGAAGUUCAAUGAUCAACUAACUUCAAAAACUCCAGCAACAUUAUAACAGCAGAAAAGCCAAAAUGUGCCUAAAUAAAUCCGAAAUUGCUGUAAUUUAAAACAAUUAUAAAGCUGCGACUGAGCUCAUGUUGGUACUGAACUUGACUGGUAUAAGUUCACUUAAUUUUCAUCGAUGGGAAAUUGCAUGAGAAGUAUAGCAGUCGACUCUAAUGAAAUCAUAUGACCCUUUAACCAAUUGUUCUAUUCAUGCAUGAAUCUUAGAAGCACAGCUCUCACAAAAGCCGCAAUGAUGAACUGAUAGUCACCAAUAAUUUUGCAAUCCUAUUAUUUAUAUUAAAAAACAGAGUGAAUUUAAUAAUGGAAAAAUCCUACAAUUACACCACACCUUCCCUAAAAAUCACGAAUACUGAUUUCUAGUUGCUGGACAAAAACCAAUAACAGCAUCCAUUACAACCAACCCAAAGAAAGAAGUUGAUCAUAGCUAAACUUUCGGUAAAUAGCAUUUUUGUGGAUAUAUAACCCCAAGCGCAUCACUGGGAAGGGCUAUCCGAAAUAAUCUAAUGUAGAAAAUUGCAAGAAAAAGCAAUACCUAUUCUGUGAUGUCAAGGCCCAACAUUGAAUAUCACCACAGUAUUAGAUUUAGAAAUUAAUUUUGAUGCCCAGUAUCCUAUACCGCCUUUGAUUUUUAAACUUCAUCAAAAUACCAAAGUAAAGUUGGGAACUUAGCAAAAUCAUACGUGAAAAGGCUCAGUAUUCAAUGCCAAGAGGGAGGAAUAGUGCCAUGGCUGCAACCCAGUUGCGUGCAAGCGAGGGGAACUAUUAAAUUUGUUCCCAUCUGAGAUCUGCCAUUCGAGUGGCCCUGCCAUGGAAUGGGUCCACAACCUCCAUGCCGAAUUCAUAAACCACUACAAAAAUAACAUCAUAGCCGGCAUUAUGAAUUUUGCUAUAACAGAUUCCAUGGGAGGCGGUUUGGAUAUAGACUUUAGGUUGGAUUAGGAGGGUGAAAGGGAAGAAGGAAAUUUCUCAAAGGGAUAAGCUCAUUAAGAGGAUAGAAGGACAGAGUACAGGAGGCGGUGAAAGCAAGGGGUGGGCGCUCGACAGAGAAUGCAAAGAAUAUAAUCGCUGCCAUCAGGUACUGUAUCUGAAAAGUGAAAAGUGCGAAAAAACACGUGGCAUCUCAGCCCAUGACAGCAAGAAUGAAAUGGGAAUAUCAAAGCAAAUUUCUUUCCUAUCCACGUGGAAAGAUCGUGGGGCAUUAGUCUCUGGGUUUAAGGUUUAUGGAUGGCCGGUUCUAUCAUCAAUUAGCUGAACUUGGUUGCUUUGUAGGUCUCACCUUAAAUUGCUCGUUUGGGCUGUUUUUUGAUGUUCUCCAAGUGUUUAAUCUAAUUGUGUGCGUGAAUUCUUGAUCAUUUGUGAGAAAAAAUCGUUUGGCUGUUCGUUGAUGUUCUCCGAGUGUUUAAUCUAACUGUGUGCAUGAAUUCUUAAUCAUUUGUGAGAAAAAAUCGUGGGGCAUUGGUCUCUGGUUCAAGGUCCAUGAGUGGCCGAUUCUGUCACAAAUUGGCUGAACCUGGUUGCUUUGUGAAUCCCACCUUAGAUUGUUUGUGCCUUGGUUCUUGAUCAUUUGUGAGAAAAAAAAAGAAGCAAAUUUCUUUCUGUUGACCAAAAGACCCUCAAUUAAUGGAGCAGAAAAUCGAGAACGCCCUUUAAAACCACGGAAUCACGUUGAAACCCGACGAAAUUAUUGCCCCUCAAAAAGUCAAUAUUUAUGUUGAAAUCGGACGAAAGUCACUUUUCAAAAGAAGCAUUGACGCUUUAUAUGUCUGUUAUGAUUUAAGGAAUAUGGGAAAGCGCCCCAAAAAAAAAAAAAAAAUCUUGUUCUCUUACGCUUUUUCAAGUUCAUAUUUUUAGGUAGUAUCCCACCGAGAAAACUAAACUUUCAUCGUUCAGAAGUCAGAUUUUCUCCGAUAACUAUUGACAAUUUUUAAUUUGUUUCAGCCCGGGGACUGAUUUCAGACAAUUUAGGAAUAGAAGUACAUAAGCAUGAAUUUCACAAAUUAAACUGAGUAUUGGGAUUGAGGGAGAGGCAAGUUCUUUUGUGUCCUUUUUUUUGUGUAUAUUAUGUUGUUUAGUUUAGUGCCAAAUAUUGGUCCAAGAUGUUAAAGCCACUCUUUCUAAGCAAAGAUGCUAGGAUUUAACUUUUAUGCUGUCUUUGAAGCACUCAUGUAGUAAGAUUUUGUAGUAACAUUGUACUAAAAUUAGUAAAGCCAGAAAAUAAGAAGGAAACAUAAGAGUUGUUUUAUUUAUUCUGUUUUCAUAAAUAUAAAUAAUAGCACUAAAAUAGUUUAAUAGAAAUUGGUUUUUUAGAGUUUGAACGUCUUGCCUUAAAACCACCCAUUGAGAAAUUAGUCACAUAUAUGCACACCUUUUUUUCCUCAAAAUACUCUUUUGUUUCUUCAUUGCAAGUGUGGCAGUCCUGUUUGGAUUGCUAUUUUUAUGAUUUUUAUAUAAAAAUAUAUAUAUAUAUUAUAGUAACUUGAUAUAUGUGAGGCAAAAAAGUGGUUGAAAAAUGUGUUUAAAAAAUUUUUUUGAUAGAAAACCAUAAUCUAAACACUUUUACAAGACAAUUACAAAUUUGAUACCAAUGUAUGUUGGAGGGGUGGGCAAAAAUGGUCCCUUUUAGUGUGUAUUUUAUGCAAAAAAAAAAAAAAAAAUGUAGUCCCAAAGUUUGAAAGAUGAACCAAUCUGGACCCUUAUAUUUGGACACAAAUAAUCUAGUUCCUGAUUUUCCCCAAAUUUAAUCAUGGGUAGAUUUCUAUAUGCUCCCAUUGUGGUUUCACAUUAUACCACUUAUUCCCUUUUGUUCAAUAGUAUUAUUCAAUUUCUCUAUAUUUUAUUAAAAGUGAACAAAAAAAGAUGUAAAAGCAAUUCCAAUUAUAUUAAGGGAUAAUUUUAGAAACCUUCCCUGAGGUUUCUAACGAUUUCACUGGUCUCUCAUGAGAUUUGUAAAAUUACACUUAUCUCCCUUAGUAGAAUGGUGGGCCCAGUUAUAUCACAUGGGAAAAAUUGCUCAUAUACCCUAAGACAUUAUGUCUUAUAGAAACUAAUAUCUAAUGAAUGAGUAAUUAGAUCACUAAUUAACUAUAAGUAACUAAUUAAUGAAAAUAAUUGUUGAAAUUUUCUUUAAUGAUGAAUAGUGACUUGCAAUUGUAAGAUAAGGCCAAUUGAUAUACCAGAUGGUGAUAUUUUGUGAUUGAUAGAACUUGACAAUAAUUAAAAUCUAGUUAUACACAAUGUGAGAAGAAGAGCUUUGGUAAAAGGAAAAACAUAUGGCAAAAGAAGAUUGUUCAUGGAGAAAUUUUUUUUUGAAACUCUUAAAACUAUAAUAGUUAUAAAGUAAUUUCAUGGAAAUAAAGAAGAAAUAAGGGAAAAGAAAGGCGAAAUUUAAAAUUUUUUUCUGUUCAUAAUCACAAGAAUUAUAGUAAACCUAAUGUUAAGAGUGAUGACCGGUCUAUUUUACUAAUUCUUAUUAUCAUUAGUAUAGUUUUAUUGUUUAUUUGUGUUAUCUAAUGUGUUGAAUGUGAACUUUUUGAAUAGUGAAAUGUAUGUAUUAAUUAUUUCUAACUUUUAAUUUUUUUAUGCUUUUACUAAUGCAGCUUAUAUACAUGUAUAAGGGGUAUUUAUGGGAUAAAAGUUUCAUUUUUCUCCUUAAAGUAUUUUUAAAUGUUACGUUUUGUGAUUUGGAUUAAUUUGUUACUAAAACAUUAAUCUCAAGGGAGGUUUGUGCAAUUUUACAAACGUCAAGGGAAGUAGUGAUAUUGUCAGAAACCUUAGGGGAGGUAGGGGAGGUUUCUGAAUUUAUCCCUCAUAUUAAUUGAUGCAAACAUAUUUCAAAAACUUGUGUGAGGCAUGAAAUAUAGAAUAUCCACCCACCCCACAGUGAUUUCACAUUCGAUCACGUGAUCUUCCUAUGAUUUUAGGUAAAGUGGUUAGGAUCUUGUUAUAUUUCAUAUUUAAAUAAGAACUUAAUUGAAAUUUUAACGAGUGCCGUUACUAGAUGUGCUUUUUUUUUUGUUAUAUGAUUAGAUGUGCUUCGAAUCAAUUUUACAUCUAAAACUACAGGGGAUAAGUAUAUGUUAAAACAUAACUAGUGGACUGAUUAUGUGGUCGAAGGCGAAACAAAUGGGGGGUAAAUAAUAAUUUACAAUUCAAUUAAUGUAACACAAACCAACCCAACAUGGUUGUAACUAGUGUUUAGCUAACUUGAUAACUAGCUCUCGAAUGGCACUUGUGAAUUCUUAAAAAGGUGCUUACACCAAGGCUAUUGAUUGAAUUAGGGACUAGAUUCCUCUUUAUUGUGUUGUAGAGAACUUCUCUAUUACACUAAUAAAAUUAAUUUAGAACUUUUAUUUUUGAAAGUUAGCACCAUUUAUAAUGUACUUCAUCACUAGUAGUUAUAUACAAAAAUUGGUUUGAACAACAAAGAAUAGGUCAAAAUCCUAACAAAAUUUGUAAUGAUGAAUAAUAAGAGACUUAAUAUUUGAAACAAAAGUGAGAUUUUAGUCAAUUCUCUAAAAAUUAGGGACCAAACUCGCAAUUCUCCCUUGCUUUUAUAGUACUACAACUCCACAAGGGUUAGUGUUAAGCGAAGAGAAAUUGUACGCAAAUAAAAAGAUUGAUAAACGUCACAAUCUUAUCUGCACAAGGCAAAGCAAAGGUAAUAUUCAUCCACAAUUCAAUAAAAGAAACUCGAUAUUUAUAGUUUCAUAUGUAUUUUAAAUUUUUCCUGUCACUGUAAACUGCUUUUGUCCUUGACGGGUCACCAUUUUAUUCCACGUCAACAUAUGUCAUGGUUAAAAUCUGGAAACUUUCUAUAGCCUUUAUCCAUUAUCCAAAAAAAAAAUAUAUAAUUAGUAAAAAACAAAAAAGUUUACAUUAACUAAAAUUUCCUUUAGUGAUUAACAAGAUAGAGAGUGAUUAAAAAAAAUGAAAAAGAUAGAGAGUGAUUAAAACUCUCACAAAGUUUUGCAUAAAUUGAUCUCUCACGAACAUCAAGGUCGAUUCUUAAAUCACUGAAAGUAUUCAACUCUCACAAAUUUUUAAUAUCACCCAAAUUGCUGAAAUUUCAACAACUGCUUGAAUCACAAUACAGACAUGCAUAAGAGCCUUCUAUUUGUUUCAUAGCAUGUGAUUGGGUAAUAGCAACAAAGUUAUUCCUCAAACACUUCCCGGGGCACUGCUUUAUUUUUCUUCAAGUUUUUCGAUAUAUAUUUCUUUUUAAAGGCAUUCUCCCAUGAUUUAGAGUCGAUCGGAUUUUAGAAUUUCUAAUAAGAAGAGAUUCAAAGGGAGUUGAAAGUUACGCUCACUAGACAAUUAGAUUGAAGGGGGUAAUAAAAAUUCGUUGGAAGAAGUAACUGCAUAUUAAGCAAUAAUGUUUCAAUGAAAAUUUACAGCAAGCAGCGCUUCUCAUAUUGUUAAGCCUCAGAGACUUUGACUUGGCUGCCAAAAAUCAGGCUCGGAAAGAAUUACACACUUUUGGUCUAUUACACUUACUAGUCAGCAAUGGACAACGACGCAAUAUCAGGCUUUUUUUCUGAUUGAAGAUUUGAAGUUUCGAUGUGACAGGUGUGAACUAUUCGUUAAAACUAGUAAUCUAGAGUGGGGGGUAGUUAUCUCUUAGCAGCAGGACACCCUGUAGGAUUUUCCAUCUCACAUCGGAUUGGGAGGAUUGGGUGUUUGGGUAGAUAAGUCCCUCGCAGGACUUCAAAAGUUGCCGGCUUUUGAAGUUACUGUGGGGAUUAGGUUUAUUUGCAAAAACAAUCUUACUUUCGUAAGAAAAUGUUGGAAACAAGUAAUCUAGAGUGGAAAAUAAUCUCCAAAAUUCAUAUAUAUACUGAAUUUUGAUCUGUGUUAUGCACAGAUUUAUAUUUUAAUUCAAAAAAAAUGUAUACAUAUACAUUGAAGUUCUUGAUAGAGGAUAUGAAAAGAAUUACAAAUUUCAAAGAAGUUGUGCUUAACAUGUUCAAAAAAAUUACUUCGUGAGUACAAAAUGGACUUUCUUGAUUUUAACAUCUUAAAUAAAUUGAAAUCAAAAUUUUUUUACACAUUGUCUAUCAAUAUAAGAUAAAAAUUUGAAUAAAAUAAAAUAAUUUAUAAUAAUUUACAUGAUAGAGCAAUUGAAAACCUAUUUAUCAAUAGCCGACGAAAGAUAUCAUGUUAUAUUGACAUAUCAAAAAUUAUAAUAUAAAAACAUAAAUUAUAACUAAUUCAUUUUUCUCGAUUUUAGAAAAAAAUUUCGCCCAUCUUGUACCCUUAAAAUUGUUGAGUGCUUUAUAGAAUAGUGUUUUUCAUGUAGUUUAAUAUAGAUUACAAAAAAAUCUUUGUAAAAUACAAAAGCAAUUUUUUAAAUUAUUAAAAACUAUUACCCUUUCUGUCCUUUUUUAUUUGCCAACUGACUAUCCGCUGCCUCCUAUGACUUUCGCAAGUCCUAUCGCAAUGUCAUCCUUCCUAUCGUUUUUUGUCAUCUUUGUCAUAUUCGCGUAAUUCCCUUAUUUCUUCCCUCCUUUCUUUGCCCAAUCUUGUUAUUCACUUUCUUUUUUUGACUUUUCUCAUCAUUCUUUAAUUCCUCACCAUUUUCUUUAUGUCUGCCUCUAACUUCCUAUUCUCAUAACUUAAUUUUUUAUCCCGUUCCCCUUAUCAUUCUCCCAAACACUUGGAUAGGCCCUAACCUCUAUCCUGCAUGGCCAACCUUCUCCAUUCCCACUUCCUCUGCUUCUCCCUUUUUCUUUUACCCGUCCAAUCAGAAUAAAGUAAUAUCAAAGUUUUUCAUUCUAGAUAUAUUACGUUAUAAAAAAUCUAAAGUUUUCUUAUACAUUUAUAAGAAUUACAUAUGUAUAAAUGUAUAUAACUGCUCUAUGUGUGUUGAAAUUUUCCUUUUGUAGUAAUUGUGAUUAGCAUUUUUCACAUCUAUUGGUCUGAGAGUCCAAAUUUUUUUUAUUUUUAUUGAAAAUAUAACUUAACAUAUUGUCAAUGUUACACUAUUGCAAAGUGAAUUUGGUGAGUAAAAUAUAAAAAUAAAAAUUCAAUACAAAAGUAUAAAACACCAAAUUUAAUUAUUUUCAUAUACAUUUUGAAUUGAAUAAUUUCAAAUUUUAAAGGAGAAGUUGAAUCCAUAUUCUAUUGUUAUGUUUUUUUUAUUUUUGGUAGAAUUGGUGUUGUUUUUAUUUUUUUUGUCAAAAAUAAAGAUUUCAAACAAAAUUUUCCAUAUCCAAAUGGUAAGUAGUACUUUGUUAAUUAGUUAGUGAUUUCAUAAUUUAGGUUUCAUGAAUGGUAUCAUUCUUGAAUUUUUAAAUCCAUGAACAAUGAAUAUUAUUUUCUUUUCAUUUUCUAUAUAAUUUGCCCUCUUAGUUAGAAUUACGAAGUUGAAGACAAAAUAUUAUUAUUUACUUUUUACUUUUAGUUGUUUUGGUGAUGUUUCCUUUUUAUUUAGACUUACAUUAAUAGAUUUCAAACCAAAUUCCUAUAUAAGUGGAGCCACUUUUUACUUUUUAAAUUCAAAAAGCAUGAAAGGACAUAUAACAAUUUUUAAAAAAAUAAAAUUCUAUAAACAAAACGAAAAGUUGGAAACAUUUUGAUUUAACCAUACUAAAAACUUCUUCUCAAAUUUAUAUAGAUAUAGAUUCUCAAAUACAAUUAAAAAAUAAAAAUAAAAAUAAAAUAAUUCCUACCACUAUCCACUGCUGUCUAACACUAUCACCACCCUCUCCCUCCUCUCUCCUCCCUCUUUCUCUUUCUCUUCAUCCUCCCUCCUUCCUUCUCCUCCCUUCCCCUUCCCUCCUUUCUUCUUCUCCCUUUCCCUACCCUCCUCUCCUCUCCCUUCUUUUCCACUUGCAGAACCUUCUCCCUCUUUUAUAAAAGGGUUGAGACCUUCGAUAGCAAUCAUAUCUCAUUAGAUAGGGUUGGUAGCAACUUAAGCAUCUCAUCGUAGAAAGGGGAGUGGUCUGGGUUAGGGUCACACUUGGAUAAACCAAUUUUUCAAUAAUUCAAUGACCCAAAUUGUGCUAUACCAUCUCACCAAAUGAUGUGGUACAAUAUAGAUCAUUGGGUUUUUGAAAAACGGGUCUACCCAAGUUUUGACCCAAGGGUGAAAACAGGGAGGGGAGGGGAGGGAGGAGGAAGGAGGAGGAGAGAGCGGGAGAAGAGAGAAGAAGGGAAAGAGUGGUAGCGAUGGUGGUGGGUGAUUUUUAUUUAAUAAUAAAAAAAACCCUGAGAAUUUUAAAAUUUUAAAAACACCUCAACAAACAACUACAAUAGAUGAUGAAAACAGUUCCAAAAAUACCUAAUCCAUAUAGAUUUUUUUUUUUAAAUUUCUCUUCCUCUCAACGUUCACAGUGGCCCGUCCUCCUCCUCCAUAAUCUCCUUUUUAAUAUUAAUUGCCAAUUACCAAACUUUCUCUUGACCUCUUUCACACAAACCCAAAAAAGAGAUCCAUCAUGUUAUUUGACGUUUUUGAUAUGUCUUUAUUCAAAUAUGUCUCUUUGAUUUGUCACUACUUUGAUCAAUGGAAUUGGAAUUAGAGAAGGGAUCUAUGGAAAACUAUAAAUAGCGACAGGUCAGGUAGGAUGGUAGAAUAUCUUCUUGUUUUUUGCUAUGUUUGUUAUACCUGGGCAUUUGAGCCCAGAAAAUGUAUGUCCGUGAGUUCUAAAUUUACUAUCCCUUUAAUCCAUUUGAUUUGGCAUGAGUGACAAACUUUUAGCCGGAACAAGUUGCCUUACUUUAUUCAAGGUGCAAAAGCGAUCAUGUGUGCAAGAAACUUUCUCUUGACUUCUUUUUUUUUUUUUUAAUUAUACAUAUGAAAACGUAGUGGACAAAAAGUCCCAGUGGUGAUUUGAUUUUUCCUAGAAAGAAAGUCUCGGAACUAUUUGGUGCAUUUUUGUAGAGAUAUUAUAUUCCAUUGAGUGAUUAGCUUUAUAAUUUCUUGACAGGUUUUUAAAACUUUUUAAGUUUUUUGAAUGAUUUAUUAAUCGAAGAAUUUUUUAUACAGUUUAGGAAAUUUUUAGGAACAGGUUGAUGUUUAAACAAGUUCACAAGUACGAUAAGACUAUAUGGAUGCUAGCCUCAAAAUUUUCCUCCAAACAUUACAAAAGAUAUUAGAAAUUGGCUUUAAGUAGAUGUGGUUACAUAUGUGACUUUCGAUGUGCGAAGGUAUUACAACUAGAGGUGGCAAAAUGGGUUAUUUGGGUAGAUUUGGGUUGGGUAAAAUGGGUAAUGGGUAUAAGUGAGUCAACCCAUUUAUAUCCAUUUAAUUAGAUGGGUAUAAAUGGGUAUGUCAAAAAAUGAGUUGGGUAACCCAAUUAUCCAUUUAUAACCCAUUUAUUCUAAUUUUUUACAAACUCAUAUAAAUUCAUUUUGUAAACUAAAUUAUCAAUCAUCAUUAAUUUUAAAUAUUUACUUAUUAUGCCAAAUAAGUCUAAUUGUCAAUUUUUUUUCCAUCCGCGUGCUAUGUUGCAAAAUUAUAUAUUAUUUAAUAAUUGAACAAUUAGAAUCUAAAAAUUUGGACUAAAUAAUAUGAAAGUUCACAUAAAAAUUUAAUCCAAAACUUUGAACACCUAGUAUUUUUUCGUGUAUAAAUUUAAAUUUUCAUUUUGAAAAGGUAAAAAAGGAGGCUAAAAUUUGUCAUAAAUUAGUAAUGCUAAAAAAUGAUCACAUUAAUAAAUUACGAGGAAAUAAAGCGAUAAGACAAAACCAACAAAUAAAUAAAAUAAAAAUAGUUAACAUAAAAAAUGGUUAAAAAUCCUGAUGAGGAUUAGCAAUCACUUCAUUUAGCAUACAAACAAAGAUAAAUUUUCAAUAAAUAGGAAUAAAUGAUAGAACGGUGAAAGGUUACAUGGCCAAAACUUCUUGCCAACCUUCAGUACUAGAAUAAACAAUAGCUACUUGAAUUCCCACAAAUUGGUAGACGAAAUAAAUACAAUUACAAUCCAUGAAACUUUUACAAUUUAAUACUCCUACCAAGGAUUGUAACAAAAAGACUUAACAAGCAAGUUAAUACUUCAAAUUUGCAACAAAAAAUCCUCUUCUCAGUUUUCAAAAUCCAGGUGGAGCCAACUCUAUCAAAAUACUUAACAAACAUUCAGCUUCUCAAGCUUCGUACAACUGCAUAGCAUAAAACUCCUCUAGCUCACUGUUGGAAUCCGCCAACAAGUUUGCUGCUGGCUCAACACAAAACAGAGAAGAUUCCUGACAAUCAAAACCAAAUUCAAAGUUUUGUUUUUUGUUACUUAAAUUUCAUCUAGACAGAAAGAUAAAAAAAUUUUCACCACAUUUCUAACAAUCUCCAUAUAUCAAGACAAUCAACAAACAAAAAUUUGCAAUCAGGCUCAGAAUUGUGAAGUGUGAACGGACAGGGAAGGGUUGAUACUGCAAAAGUCAACUCUAAUCUACUAGCAUAUUUCCUUAUGCAGCUAAACAGAACUUACAAACAAACAUCAAAAAAUCCUUUUCAUACUAAAUCAUCAAAACUUCUUGUUGUGAUGAUCAUAAGAAUACAAGUUACCUAAACAUGAAGGUUAGUAAGUUUAGCAACUAAAGGUGCAAAGUCAAUACUCAGUCUUUCUCUAUCUUCUUCAUCUUCAGAAGCUGAAAUCAAAAGUAAAGUUCAAUAAGUGACUAAAAAAGUAAAAUACAAGAUCAUGUGCACAAAAAGGUUAAGUAUAACAUACAUGUUACUCCAUAUAACCAGUCCCUAGUACAUAACAAGACCUCCACAUUUUCUGGUAGGAGCGAAGUACGAAAUUUACCCACAAUUCUACCACCACUACUGAAAGCUGAUUCCGAGGCCACUGUAGUGAUAGGAAUACUUAAAAUAUCCCGUGCCAUCAAAGAAAGAAUAGGGUACCGAUUUUUGUUUUCUUUCCAAAAAUUGAGAACAUCCAGUUCUUGAGUUGAAAGGAGUCGAGUAUCAUCCAAAUAAGAGUCUACUUGUGACUUAUUCCUCUUGUUUGCAUGUUGUUGACUCUCAAAUUCAGCAAAAUCAUCAUUGUCAUUGCCCAAAUCACCACUAGAGCAGCCCGCUAUUGAUCCAUCCAGCAAAUCACCAUCAAAAGUAUUCUCAUACUCCUCAAAUAGUAAAUAAAAUUUAUCCCAAACUUCCUUAGCACGUUCUUCAUAAUCAAAAGGAUACAGCUUCUUAAAAGCAUACACCACAUAAUCCAUUUUGAAGCGCGGAUCCAAAAUGAUAGCAAAACUCAAAACCAACCUAUAACAUUCCCAAUACUUCUCAAAUUUCAGUUUCAUUUGCUUGGCCAUUUCACUCUAAAUUAUUGACCUCUUCCGUGAUAACUUUUUGAAUUUUCCAGACACCAUGAAAAUACAAAUUUGCAGUUGGAUAGUUAGUCCCCGAAAAAAGGGUGGUCAGGUCAUAAAAAGGCCUCAGCAGUGUUGUAAAUUUCUGCACCCUAAGCCAUUCUUCUUCAGUUGGGUAAAAUCUGCUGAAGCUGCGAUCAACCACGUGCAACUGAUGAAAGGCAAGCUUAUAUUCAAGUGCACUAUCCAGCAUCACAAAUGUAGAGUUCCAUCUGGUUGGGACAUCUUGAUGCACCCUCUUAUUGCAUGGCAAAGAAACUUGAACAAUACACUCUGCAAAUUUCAACUUUCUUGAUUCACUAGCUCUGAUAUAUUUCACACAGUCUCGGAUCUUUGAGACUGGUUUGGAAAUAACUUUGACACCGUCUUGGACAAUCAAAUUUAGCACAUGUGCACUGCAUCUUACAUGAAAAAAUUCACCCUCACAAAAUAGUGUAUUUCUUAGCCUCAAAUGCUGCUUCAACAGAUUCACCAUACCAUCAUUGUAAGAUGCGUUAUCCAAUGUGAUAGUAAAAACUUUUUUUUCAAUAGCCCAAUCUCUCAAUAAAUCUAUGACUUUUUCAGCUAACAUUGGACCACCAUGUGGUGGUGGCAUGUGGUGAAAAUUUAGAACCCUCUUUUGUAAAAUCCAAUCUUCAUCCACGAAAUGAGCCGUCAAUGCCAAAUACCCAUCUGUUGCAAUAGAUGUCCACAAGUCUGCAGUAAGGCAAAUUCGACUUGAAAUUGAAUUUAAUUCUGUCUUUACUCUCUCUUUUUCCCUUUUGUACAUCUUUUCAAUAUCAGCCUUUAUUGUGUUUCUCGAAAUGGGUAAAGCAUCUGAAUUUAAGUACACGCACAAGUCUCGAAUUCCUUCUUGCUCCACCAAUCUAUAAGGAUGGUUAUGCUUAACAAUAGCAAUUGCCAUCUUUUCCCGAUAAAUUCCUUGGUCAAUUGGAGACCGUUCUUCAAAAUCAGAUUGUCCACGCUUAGUACAAUUUGAAAGAUGACGCCAUAAGUUGCUUGUUCCGGUUGUUCUACCACAUGCAUAAUCACACUUGCACCAUUUACAUUGUGCUCUUUGUGAACCAUCUGGUUCAACAUACAAUAUAUCAAAUUCCUUCCAAAUCAAUGACGUGAGCUGUCUCGAACGCUUAGAAGAACCUUGGAUCAACUCAUCUGUAUUGGUAGGCUCAUGGCUUGUAUAAGAACAUUGUUCCUGAAUGUGCUCUGACAACUCAUCUGUUGGAUCAUGAAGGGAUAGCAUUUCUGUUAUCUAUACUACCAACUUUGUACACCUCAUCUGAUGUUUUCCUGUCUAAGACUCUCAGCCUUCAUAUAACUUGUCAUGACAUUGUAGCUCAAACUCUAAUUUUCUGAACCUUUUGACAAGUGCAGCUGAAGAAACUACUUCAAAAGAAACUGAAGACAGGAAACCUUCACUAGCUAUGCAAAACUUGAAAUUUAUUCAGCAUGUAAAGUAAAGUACUACCUACUAGUAUUUUGAAAAAAUAGUAGUAGUGCUACUAGUAUUUUGACAAUAAGAUGCAGAAUAAACCACGGCUGACUUUACAAAUCAAAUUGAGCAAUCAAUCAGCUACUCAGACGCGUGCUAUGCAACGCACAUCCAUUUAAACUAUUUUAGAUUAGUAAUAUAACCAUGUAGGAUGAAUCCUGAAUACCAGUGAUUGCUGUCCAUUUAGAUUAUAAAGAGUACUAAUGAAUGGUUUUAUGAGAAACAAGACAAUUUUAUAGUAGAUUCAGAAAUCCUAGAAUUUUCUGAACCUUUUGAUUUCCCGAUAUAAACUACAAAAUUUCUUCUUAUAAAUCUUAAUUAGACUGCCGGCUGCCCUCGUAGUAAAGCCGCAUCUCUGACCAUAAGCAAGAAAAUAUGUGAAAGAACAAUUGAGAACCCCAACUUGAUUGACAACCUAUGGUUCAGCACUUUAGCCAGACUCCAAAUCUUCUACAAAAAUAAGGAUCAUCAGGAAGUGACAUUUGGAAUGCAUUACAACCAUGCCAAGUUAGCAAAGACUUCACGUAUCAAUUUCAUGAUUAGUCAGAGACCCCAUUUUGCAUUUUUGUGCCUUCAAAAUUCCAAAACAAAUCGCUUCAGUUUAUUGUUACUUUGAAAUAGUCUUAAGAGUCCCGACAUCAGAUAAGAGGUGGUUGUGUUGUGGGUACCUGUUUGCAGAGGUGGUGAGCAGCGGCCAGACUCUUAACAUUCUCCAGGAAAAUCUUCAAGACACCGCGAAUUUAUUCAUAGAUUAGCUCAGGAAUCGGACAUGGAAGGGGCAAAAACCUUCUAUUAAGCAGAGACGGGGAGAAGGGAGAGGGGAAUCAAACACUGGAGGAAGAGGGGGGGGAAGCAGUGGGCUUGCUGAUGGGGAGGAGAAGAAGAUUGACGGUGAAAACUGAAAAUACAAAGAAGUUUGGGGAUGUAAGUUAAAUGGGUUAAUUGGGUUUGAUGGGUUACCCAAUUAUACCCAUUUAAUAAAUGGGUAUAAUUGGGUAACCCAUUUAUACCCAUGUAUAAAAAUUUAAUGUACCCAUAUCCAAUUAUUAAUGGACGGGUAUAGGUAAAAUUAAUUAAAUGGGUUUAUUUGACACCUCUAAUUACAACCUGUCAUGGCAAUGUAACGUAAUGAUUAUCUUAUUGUCUUAACUUUGUAAGUGUAUAAUUAUUGAUUAUAAUUUUGGGCAUGCCUCGCACUUUGUGCAUAAAUUAUUGCAAUACUUGUGGACAUGUGUUUGAAAUGCUUUUAGUUAAAAAUUGUGGUUAAAAUAACUAAUGAAUGUAAGUAUCAAUACGACGUACUUCUAUGGAUUCUGAAUUUUUUUUGUGCCUCCCCUUCAUAUUAGAACCUAAUUUCCAAGAAUAAGUGAUUAAUUGUUAUAAUGUUCAUGUAUGUAAAAAAUUUUAUCUCAAAAUCUAAAUAAUUUUAUAUAAUAGAUAUUUCAUUUCGAACUGGAUUGAUAAUCUGUUGAAAUGUACAAAGAAAAAAAGAAAGAAAAUAUAUGUUAGCUUGUCAAUCUAAUUUACAUAUAAUAUAAUUGAGUGUUUAAUAAUUAAUAUAUGUGAAAUAAAGGGAAAGAACUCAAUUUGAGACCAUGUAGUAUGCCCAAUUUGAGACCAACUAUAAAUCCAAAAGAGAAGAAAGAUAUGAGAAACUAGUGGCAUUAUAAAACAAAGAAAAUAAAAAAAUGAAGUAAAAGAAAUUUAAACAGUAUUUGUAAUACACGUCUAAAAACAAUUUUGAUCUAAUUCAUUUAUAUUUUUAUCUAAAACUCUUAAUAAUAUUACUUAAAACUUAAGAAACUAUAACAAUUCAAACUCUAAAUAGUGGGGACAAAAAUAAUGCAAAGUAAAAACUGUUGGCUGAAGGUAAAUUGAUUUUGACCAUGAGAAUUAUUGAAUUCUUGUCUAUUGUCCUAAAUUUGGAGAAAAAAAAAAGGAGAAAUUUUGGAGGCCAAAUUUAUUUUGAUCAAAACAGUUGGGCCUAAUACUGGAUCAGAAAACUGAACUUCUCCCAAUAAAGUUUACAAUUUGAUAUGCAUUUUAGGUGAUAUUGACUUUUUCUUUUGUUCAUUUCAAGAGGACGGGGUGCAAAUGUCAUUUCCUAUUGUCGUCAAAUGUAUAAUAGAAACCAUUACGUGGAAUCUGACAAUCAUAGCUUCAAAACACUGGUGAAUCCAUUAACGACUGUUAAAAAUUACAACAUUUUCUAUAUAUGAAAGAUUUGGGAUUGCAGCUUGACCUGCAAUUACAUCACCACAACUCUGCUGGAGGGUUCCGAAUUCCAAACUUAUUUAUUCAAAGUCAAAGGUUAUCGAACCAGUGAGGCUGUUAUUACCCAAGCCUAAAUAGUCCAGACCUUCCAAAUGAAACAAUGACCUUGGAAUGCUUCCGGUGAAGUUAUUGCUGUUGAGGUUGAUGUGUCCCAAGCUUGGGUAAUUCAUCCAACAGUCAGGAAUUUCUCCUGAUAGAGAAUUCUCCCGAAGAUCCAGAUACAAAAGAAAUUGAUUUUCAUUCUUCACUUCACACAAAAUGUGAGAGAUGCCUCCUGAAAAUCAAUAGUUGGAAAUUAAGUUCUAAAUAUGUCAAUCAAUGAUAAAUUAAUUGGGUGUGUAAGCAAUUGAAUAUCUUUGAUUGUUGUGUGCAUAUAAAUCUUUUAACAGUUUUAGAGAUAUUUGAACUUUUACUAUAAAAUUAAUUGUGAGAAAUGAUGGGUUGAAUAAUCAAGAGGGAAUAGCCAUUGAAUGUGUUUGACUAUAAUGCACAUAUAAACCUUUAACAAUUCAGAGACAUUUGAACUCUUACCCUGGAGUUGAUUGUGAGAAAGGUCUAUGGUUUGCAAUGAUGAAUUGAACAACCAAGGUGGAAUGGUAUCUGAAAUUCCUGUGAAGGACAAGUUCAAAUCCUGAAGGAAUUUUUGUGAUCUGAUCCAUGUAGGAAAUUGGGGAUCCAGCUUCCAUGAACUCAAUCCAAGUACAUAAAAUUGGACAUGAGGAGUCCAACUUGCACUUACUUUUAAGGUCAAGGAGUUUCCAGAUGCAUAAAAAAUCCUUAAAGCUGUCAGAUUGUCCAGGUGGCUCUCACUCACAAUACCUUCUAUUAAAUUAUCAGCAAUACCAAGCUCUUCAAGUUUGGAAAGUUGCCAAAGACUUUCAGGAAGAGUUCCAGUGAGUUUGUUCUGAGAUACAUCCAAGUGCUCCAAGGAUGACAGUUUUCCUAAAUUUGAUGGAAUUGAGCCAGAUAGAGCAUUAUCAUAUAGCCAAAGGUAUUCUAGUUUGGUACAGCUUCCUAAAUUUGAUGGAAUUGAACCAGAUAGAGCAUUAUCAUUUAGCCAAAGUAGUUUGAGCUUGGUACAGUUGCCAACUGUGCUUGGAAUUGAACCAUUUAAGUGAUUACCGCUUGCACCAAGUGUAAUCAAGUCCUUCAAUGUGAAUACUUCACUUGGUAAAGAGGAGCCAAGGUUGUUAUAAGACAGACGAAGAUAUUGAAGGUUGGAAAUGUUGGCAAUAGAGCUUGGGAUAGAACCUCGAAAGUGAUUGGAGCCAAGAUUUAGUGAAAUUAGGGCAGGUAAAGUGGAUAAUUGGCUUGGGAGGAAGGUAGCGAAGUUAUUCACUGAACUCCAAUUCCAAAUUCCAUCCAAAGAGCCUUCGAAUUGAUUCCCCCCAAGGUUGAGAGAAAUGAGGUUGUUAAGAUGAACAAGCUCAUCUGGCAGUGAACCAUUCAGAUGGUUGAAAGAAAGAUCCAAGUGCUUGAGGGCAGUCAAGUUCCACAGAUCUCUGGGCAAUGGGCCUUCAAACGAGUUCUCACUUAAAUCAAGGGAAGCAAGGGCAGUAAGACCGAAAAUCCAUCUAGGGAUGAGGUGUUCAAGAAAAUUUCCAGAAAGAUCUAGGACAGUAAGAGAAGAAAAGUUGGCAUGGAAGACAAAUGUAUCUCUGUCAAGAUGAUGAGAAAUUAAAUCAAGUUGACAAUAGCGCAGAUGUAUCUCUACCAAGGAAGGGACCGUGUUAAUCACCUCUAGCCAAUUAGACGCCGUACUAAGGUUCACGCGACUCAUAUCUAGGUGCUCCAGAUUAGAGAGACCAACCAACCAUUGCAGGUUAUCAACUUGAAGAUCGGACAGCGGCCCAAAUUCUGCGCCAACACUUAAAGUGCGUAAACUUGAUAGGUUUCCAAGCUGAUAGGGAACCGUUCCUUGAAAUCCAGCUCCAGAUAAAUUCAGGUACCUUAGACUUCUGAGAGACCCAAAAAAACUGGGAAUUGGAAUUCCACUGAAAUCAUUUAGACUUAGAUCAAGGUAACGCAAGUGAGUCAAAUUUUGUAACGAAUGACUGAUUUUACCGCUUAAUGGUGAUGUUUCCUCAUCACCAAAAUCAUCAAUUUCAGGAUCAGGACUCUGAAGGUGAAGUUGAAUCACGCGGCCACUUCGGUUGCUACAAACAACUCCUUCCCAUUCGCAGCAAUCAACGUCGUGAAUCCAAGACGAGAGUCUACCAGAGGGAUCUUUCAAGUCUUUCUUGAAGUCCAUAAGAGCUUGUUUCUCACUUGCAUAGCAAGUUGCAUUUACAGUUUUGCUGGAAGAACAGAGUAAAAUUAUUGCGACGAGUAAGAAAACAGAGAAAUGGGUUGAUCCACCCAUGGUCAUGUGAAAUGUCGGCAGAUAUACAUUGCAGUACUUCGGCUAUGUUGCAGGUAGAUAUAUAGAGCUGGCUGGCAGUGGUCGUCAAAUUAUGGUGGAAGAAAUGCACAGUUGAUAUAAAGCUUCACUGUUGACGUGGCUGUCCAUAUCAGGCUUGGAAAGCAUAUUUCACUUUUGCUGCGUUUACAUUGACAAGUCAACAAUGGAAGACUCAGGAAUCCUGAUUUCGAAAAGAAUUUAUUUAAAAUUCUCCCUAUAAUUUUAGUUGUUAUCCCCCUAAACAAAAUUAUUUUUUUCGUUACUUUGUUUAAUUUCUUUUGAUAAAGUGUCAUAUAUCAAACUAACAAUUAGUUUCCUUAUAAAAGUAUACCAUUCAUAUCUACAUUACUAUACAGUUAGUAUUAUUUUUGAAUAAAAAUUAUAAAAAUAUAAAGUUUUCUUUUCUCCGAGUUUCUUAUGACAAACCAACUCUUAGUCUCUUUGAUAACUACAAUUUUACAAUAGAAACUAAGGUAAUACUGUAUAUGUUACAUAGGAAAUCAAAGACAAAGAAAAGAAAAAAAAAAUAUUCUAGCUAUCAUACAGAUUAAAGAAGUUUCAACUGUGAUUUUGAAUACCUUACACUGACAGUAAAUAGAAUGGUAGAGAGUUUAAUUUUCACAUUUUUCUUUAUACAUUGUUUUUAUUUCAUUUUUUUAAAUUUCUUGCUUCUAAUUAUAAUCUAUUGUGCUUUCAUUUUGUUUUUGAUAUGCUUUAUUUGCUAUAAUAUCAUUGAUGAUUCGUUCCCACUAAAGUAAAAGCUCGAAUUCGUCACUGAUGCUUAUGCAUAUUUUUAAGGGUAAAUACAUCAACAUAACCUACAUAUGAAGACGAUUAAACAUAAGAAAUUUAAUAAUUCUGUUGAUUUAAAUCUACAUAUAAGAUUGUUAUACAAGUCAUUGAAAAUAGUUUAUUGAAACUUUUUAGUAUAGAUGAAAGCCGUCAAAGGUUAUCAAAUAUAUAUGUGUCUUUAAAAAAAAAUACAAAGAAGAAGGCGUCAGGGAAACACCUACAUGCUAGUGAAGAAAAUCAUAUUAAAAUUGUUUUAAAGAAGCCAAAAAUACACUAGAAAUAAGUGGUACUCUUACACAUUGGCGGCUGACGGGAUGCUGUCUCGUCUUUCAAGCAAAGACAUAAUACUUCACCGAAGUAAAGAAAUAUCUGAUUGAAGCCUCAGAGAGACUUUGAAAAGAAUCUUUGGAAAGAGUAAUUCACUUUUGCUCGGUUACAUUGACAAGUCAACAAUGAAAACCAUUGAAAACUCAAGUUUGAUUUCUCAUUUAUGAUUUUAGGCCAUGAUGUAAUAGGUCUAGGCAUUAAUUCGAGUGGAAUUUGAUUGGAAUCUGAUUAGGAUAAGAAUGUAUUCAUUUUUGGCCUGAGUAGCGACAAAUAAAAAGUCGUAUGACUUUUAACUAGUCUCAGUCUGAUUUUAAUAUGUAUAUUUAAUGUAAGAAGAAAUCUUCUUGUUCUCAUGCACCGCAGUAAGAACAGUAUCAGAUUGAAACUAAUGUUUCAUGGUUCGCACUUCAAAUUUUCUCCAAUAAUUGUUCCUUUUUUAUUAUGUGGUUUAGAGCUAGAAAUUGGCCCCAGAGGUUAAAAUCACUCUUUUUAAGCUCAUAUGCUAGGAUUUAACUCUUAUUGCUAUCACUAAAGCACUCAUUCAGUAAAAUUAGUAAAGCCAGAAAAUAUGAAAAAAAAAAGAAACAUUAAAGUUGCUUUGAUUAUUCCAUUUUUGUAAUUAUUCUUUAAUACAAGUUGUAAUACCAAAACAAUUUAACAGAAUCUCAUCACUUAAGCAUAGACUUUAAGCCUCUUGCCAAAAAUUCAAAAACCACCCGUUGAGAUAUUUACUCAUAUAUAUAUGCACACUGUUUUUUUCCCUCAGAAUAUUAUUUUUUAUUAUUGCAAGUAUUGCGAUUUACUUUUAUGAGAAAAUUCCGAUUUGGAUACCCAAUGUUCGAGGGAUGGAGACCAAAAUGGUCUCUUUUGCAUACACGUUAAACAAAACAAAUUUAGCAAUCAAAGUUUGGAAGGUGAAAAAAUUUGAUUCAAAUAAUAAUUCUUUUUCUUAAGGAAAUUAAAAAAAAAGGAAAUUUCUGUCUGCACAAUGUUUUCUAAGAAUCAUAGUAAUUUUUUUUUCUGCAAUGCAGAAACUUCCAUUUCAAGUUUAAAAUGGAAAAAAUACUGAAAUGGAAAAUAAAAUUGAAAGAAAUAGAUUUCAGUGCACACAAGCACAAAAGCAGUGGAAAGUGCUGAAAAUACUUGACUUUGGAAGCACAAAUAAUGCUGAUAUGUACCUUAGGCAUAAAUAUAUCAUCACAUCCUAUGUGCAAAGUAGAUUAAACAUAAGAAACAAAAUAUUUUUCUUUCUGAUCUACCUUACUUCUGCAAUUCGUAGAAUCCUUCAUAUACUUUUUUUUUUUUUUUGAAAUGUGAAGGUUUAUGAAUCUUUAAAACAUGGGCAUUUCAAUAUUAAGAAAAGAAUGAGUGCUUUUUUUUUUAAAAAAAAUAAAACUUUUAUUGAUGCAACCAACAAACGUACACAUAUCAGGUCCAACCCAUUCCUAGGAGUACAAACUUAAAAACCCUGACCAGUCCUAGCCACCCCCCACCGCUGGCGUCUUCGAAAACUUGGAAACCCGUACGCAUCCAAGGUAAUGUCCCCCCUCACCAACCUAGGCAAUGCACUAUAACCCUCAUAAAUUGUAGUACACCCAGCCUCCACUCCAACAUUAGACAACCUGUCCGUCGGCUUGUUUGCCUCCCGAAAGCAAUGAGAAACGGCUUCAAAAUACCGUCCAAAUUGCUGCAGCUCUAGUAGCUCCUUCUGCAACCGCCAAGGACACCGAACCUUCCCCUAAAUAAUACGGACCAACACCAUUGAGUUAGACUUCAGAUGCAACCUAAUUAAGCCACGGGAUACACCUCAUCGAACACCAAAGAGAAGCGCUUUCAGCUCCGCAUGAAGGCUCGUAGCCUCCCCAAAAGAACACGAGAAGCCAAGCAGGAACCUCCCAUCAGAAUCCCUGAACAAACCCCCACCACCACUCCUCCUCGGAUUACCCCUUGAACAACCAUCGGCAUUCAGUUUCACCAUCGACUGAGUCGGACAUCCCGAACGAACCUCCCGUAUGAUAACCUUGCUCCGCAACCUAGAUAUCAUCUCAAAAAAACCAAUCCGUGAAUUACAAGACAGAGAUAUCUCUCGAAACUGAAGACAGACGCAUUCUCUCAGCUCCAAGAAAAUCCGAUCACAAAUAUGCACUACCGAGUCUAGCUUACCAUAAAAAAUCCACAUAUUCCGCAUCUUCCACAAAUUCCAACAAAUUAACAAUGGCAAUGUGUGGAGAACAAAACCAAGGUAUGGAUUAAUACUAGGUUUAACCCACCAACUCAUCACCUUAUGUCUAAUCGUGAGAGCCUCACUAAACCCGCCAAUGAGACCCUCAAAGCAACCCCAAAUCUGCCUAGCCACCUCCCCUGUACAAAAAAUGUGGCUAAUAGUUUUUGGGGAUGGUCUCAGAGAACAACAAAAGCUCUUAGAAGGGCCCAGAAACCCAAACUUGUGUAACACAUCCAUCAGCGGCAACCUACCAUACAUCAAUCAUAGCAUGAAGAAGGAAAUCUUGGAUGGUAGGGCCUGAUGCCACAAGGAAGCAAACAGACUGGAAACGUUACCUCCUUGACGCACUAUCUGAUAUGCCGACGCAAUAAUAAACUCACCUGAAUUAGUGGGGGCCCAGAACAUUUCAUCUACCGCCACCGCUGUAGGGGGAGCCACCCCCAGCACCCGCGACACCCAUUCUGAUGGUAACACCCUACUUAAGCCUUGCAAAUUUCACCUGUCUUCCACGACAAAGUCUGCAACCGAGCGCUCCUGAAAUGAGUCCACCUGCCUACUUAAGCUUUUGGCAUCCUUCAUAUACUAAUAAAAGUAUUUUGACUAACUUUUCCUCAUUUCUUCAUAUUUUAUAAAUGUUCGUCCAAUGAAAAGUUUGAAGAUAAUUACGUUUAUUAUGAAAAUCUUUGAAUGAGGGGCUGAGUAAUUUUGUUAUUAUUCUAAAGUUGAACUAUUCAUUUGUUCAUUUAUUUGCAAAUGAGGAUGUAGGUUGCAAAGGCGCACAACUUAAUAUUUUUAGGCUAGACACAAGAAUCAGCGAUAUUUACGCUAUGUCCUUCCCCUAUUCAAAUUGACGGCUAAUAGGGUACUGUAUUGACAAAGGACCAAGACCUCAAAUUUUCUAGCAGACACAAAAGGACCAAGACCUCAAGAUCUCAAAUUUUCUAGUAAAUAAAGAGAGUUCACUAAACUGGAGAAAUAUUUGAUUUAAAUUCUUUACGUGUAGAAUGUGCAAAUUUUAUUAGUAGUCACAAUCAGAACUAUGCCAAAUAUGUCAAAUUAACAAAGUUGAUGGGAAUGCUUUGACUUUGUCAUAUAUAUAUAUAUUAAGGGAAGACGAGAUUUAAGGAGUGGGAAAGGAAAAAUUUGAGCACAAAAAUUCUAAAUCCCAAGAUCUUAUAAUUAUAUCUUAUGACUUCUUCAAAUUCAAAUUAAUUCAUCUCUUUUUGAGCUUCCUUCUCCUCACUUGUUUCCUCAAUGCGAUUCAUCAUGUGGUUGGUUUAUGGGAAUAAAAAUUAAUGAACUACUAUAAUUUGGAGAGCUAUUUUUGAAUCAAUUUUUACUAUAAUUUGACUUAAGAAGGGUAAUUUUCCUGUUUGGAUUGCAUUUUUCUGGAUUUUUUGUAGAAAAUUACUGUAGCGAUUUGAUAUAUGUGAGGUAAAAAAUUGAUAGGAAAAUGUGUUCACAAAAAAUGUGGUAAUUUUUCUGAGAAAAAUCGCAAUCCAAACGGGAGUAUUUUUACGAAAGAAUACUGUGCUAUUAAAAUUUGUCCUAUGGAAUAACUUCACUAGGUACUUAAACUUAUUACCAUUUUCCUGCAGCUAAAUGUUUUGUGCACUGAAAAAGUAUUAUACUAGAAAGUUGCCAGCAUUGUAUUGUUGUUUCCAAGGUUCGGGUUGUUGUCGUGCAAUAUACUAGCUAGGUAUUUAAGUAGGCUUAUGACUGUUGACCUUGAGUUCAUUUCUGUCAAGAGUAGGUUUUUCCAGUGUAGUCCUAAUUUUUAGGGUUCUCUACCGAUUAAAACUGAAGUAAAAUGUUCAUUCUUCUAAUGGAUAUGGAGUAAAAAUUGGUACCCAAUAUGUAUGUGCAUUUAGAAAUGUCAUAUUUUAGAGUUUUAAAUCUAUAACCUACCAUGAGAACUAAAAAAAAAACUGCAGUCCCAAUCCCAUCAUGGGAUUUCUGCCUUGCAUUUCCCCUUUUCCUUCUUUAUGUUUCUAUCUAUUUGUCAAUUAUCAUUGUGAACUAAAAUAUUAUGAACACCAUUGUGAGCAUUAUAUGUGUAUUUUCUAGCAAAGACAAAAGACUUAAUCGAAGUGGAGAAAUAUCUGACUGAAACUCUUUAAUGUGUAUUUUCUUCUUCUCUUGUCAAUAACUUUUUAUGUGUAGAAUGUGGAAAUUCAAAUACUAGUAAUGAUCAAGAAUAUGACUACAAGUGAAAAUUCAUUUGAUGUGGUCACAUCCUAAUUGGUUACUUUCUUAUUUGUCAUUAAAUUUUUGGAUAUCUAACACAAUGUUUGGAAAUGAUUAAAAGGAGUGAGUAAAUUAGUUUCUAAUUUUCUUUUUUGUUAAUCUUUUUUGUUCAAGGGAAAACUCCAAACCUUAUAAUGGGGAAAGGGGAAAAAGGAAGAAGUAUCAAAGGUGAAGAGGAAGGAUUUAAGAGUCAAAUAAGGAAUUUCAUAAACAACUGACUAAAUAUCCUAAAUUAGGUCUUGGGGACAAUUUUUGUUACCUUAACAAUAUCUAAAGCAUUACUUUCAAUUUAAACAUUUUUUUAUGACCUUUUAAACUUCAAUUCUUACUCCUUUGAUGGAGGAACAAAACUAAUUCCUGCCCAAAUUACUUAUGCAUAUGAUGUCAACAUAAACACAUAUAAGCAUUGUGAGUAAUUGCAAGUUAUAUCUAAGAAGAUAACUUUCAUUUCAUGAAGUAAAGGAAUAUCAUAAUUUUGCUUUAGUUUUGAAAAUUUUUUGUCCAAUAAAUUCAAAACCAAAAUUUACGUACUUCCAAAUUUAAUACCGCAUCAAGUAUUCUAUUUACACUAAUUAUCAUACGGUUACUUUUCGAUUCUGCGAACCCAUUGACAUCAUAAUCCUUCCCAUAUUACAUCGAGGGCUUAUUGGAUUUCGUACAGACUAAAGACCAAGAAGUCUAUUUCCCAGCAACCAGAUACCAAGAUUUCAAUUCUAUCGUUUCUGAAAAAAAAAAAGAUACCAAGAUUUCAAAUUUUGCAGCAAAGACGGAAGACUUUACGUGUGGAAUGUGCAAAUGCACAGGAUAGUGAUGAAUGCCUCUAGAAAACAAAUUCUCAGAAAGGUCUAUUGUUUUAAACAUAAGAAAAUUCAUAUUCUUUUAUAUUUUUUUCUCGGUCUCAGCAAUUCAUAGAAACAUUCAUACACUAACAGUAAGUUAUUUGACCUUAUUUUCUGUUCAAUUCAUAGAAACAUUCAUACACUAACGGUUUUUCUUAUUUCACCAAAUUCUUUACAUAUUUGUUCAAUGGAACGUCUGAAAAUAGUUACAUUCACUAUGAAAACCUUUUAAUAAGGGACUGAAUAAUUUUUGUUGUUAUUUUAAAGUUCAAGAAGUGUGAUUUAGUCGCAUAUUAGCAUUUAGGAAGCAAAGGUCCACAAGUUAAUACUCCAGUCUAAUGACGCCAAUGACUAAUGGGAUGCCGUGUAGACAACGGACCGAGACCUCAAAUUUUCCAGCAAAGCAAAGGACCACGACUCUCAAGACCUCAAAUUUUCCAGCAAAGAAAGGGACUUCACAAAAUUGGAGAAGUAUUUGGUUUAAAGUCUUUACGUGUGGAAUAUGUACAAAUUUUAUUCGUAGUCAUGAUCUAGACUAUGACAAAUAUGUGAAAUUAGACAAAGUUGAUGGGAAUGCUUUGACUUUUUCAUACAUAAUUAUAUCUUAUUAAAUCUUCUAUUUCUUAUUUCAUCUCUUUUGAAACUUUUCUUAUGCUAAACUUGUUUGGCUUUAGGUCUUAUAUUGCACUUUUUCAUGUUACAUUUUAGGGUAAAAUAUCAAAAAAUUUCUUGUGGUUUGUCAAAUAUACGGUGUAGGUUUCCAAAUUAGAGAGAGUUAAAUUGUACAUUUAACAAACUACAGGAAGUGUUUUGGUAUUUUACCCUACACUUUAUUAUACAACUUCUUAAAGUGACAUAUGUCCCAUGAAUGGGGAUAUUUUAAAUAACUUGGAUUGUUACUUAUUAUUACAUAGGACAUAUCAUUCUGAUGGAUAGUAUAACAAAAAUAUAACAGAAAAAGUUGUCAUAGAGGAUCUUGUGCUGCCCAAUAGGGCUUUCCUCUAAUGUAGGAUAGCAUAGAAUUAGUGCAGUUGCCAUUGAUUGAUAAAAGACUCAGUAGAGAAGAUUGUACUGCUUUGACUCAUUCAUUAUUGUUUUGUAAUUUUUUUUGGGACAGUGCUUCCGCAUCGAGAGUUACUAUCAAUGGCAGAGGGGAGCAACUAUCCUUUGGGGAUAUAUUCUUGGAGAUUCGAUCGGCGGAGCAACAGGUGGUAGAGGCCGAACUAGCCUAUGAUGGCAUCCCUUCCGCGGAAUUACUGAUACACCUACAUGAGGCACGAGCGCGGCUGCGCAAUGCUUUGGUAGUUGAAGAAGGGUUUUGGAAGUAGAAAGCUUGGGUCAAGUGGCUGGCGGACGGUGACCGGAAUACGGCUUUCUUCCAUUCUGUAGUGACGGAGAGGAGAAGAAAGUCGGUUAUUCAUCGAAUUCGGAGUACAAAUGGCGACUGGGUGGGCGACGAGGCAAGUAUUUGUAAUGAGGCCGUCGCUUUCUUCAGGGUUUGUUUACAGAGGAGGUAGGAAGUGUCCCCAGUGACAUGUUGGAGGUGAUUCCGAGGGUUAUUGAUGAUCAGGAUAAUAGCGGGCUGACGAAGCUCCCUUCUAUGGAUGAAGUGAAAGAGGUCGUGUUUUCGAUGGAUGGGGACAGUGCCGCAGGUCCGGAUGGACUUACAGGGAAGUUUUUCACGGCUGCUUGGGAGGUAGUUGCCGAGGAUGUUCACCGGGCUAUAGAGAGUUUCUUUUGUGGCGCGGAGUUGCCAAGAUUUGUAACUGCUACUGCCAUUGUGUUGUUGCCUAAGGUUCUCUGUCCACAGGAUUUUACACAAUUCAGACCGAUAAGUUUAUGCAACUUUGUCAAUAAGGCCAUAUCUAAGCUCUUAUCCGUCCGCCUGGCUAAGGUUCUUCCUCGGAGUAUCUCGCCGUAGCAGAGUGGUUUCGUGCCAGGACGACAAAUGCCGGACAACUUUCUGUUAGCUCAGGAGUUGUUGAGCGAUAUUAGGAAACCCAACCGGGGAGGGAAUGUUGUGCCCAAGUUGAAUAUGAUGAAGGCCUAUGACAGGGUAUCGUGGAUGUUUUUAAUACAAGUCUUUCGGCGGUUUGGGUUCAGCAAGCUGUGGAUUGAUAUGGUGUGGAGGCUGGUGUCAAAUGUGUGGUUUUCUGUCAUUGUGAACGGCUCGCCGCAGGGGUUCUUCAGGUCCACCCGAGGCUUGCGCUAGGGAGAUCCGAUAUCGCCGGCUUUGUUUGUCAUUGGAGCAGAGGUACUUUCCCGUUCUCUGAAUGCAUUGGCGGUGCAAAGGCAUUUCCACCCCUUCAAAGUUCCUAGUGGAUGCCUGGUAGUUACGCACUUGGCAUAUACAGACGAUGUGAUUAUUUUCACCAGCGGAGUCAAGGCUUCGGUGCAGUUAGUCAAGCAGGUAGUCGAUGGGUAUUGUUUUCUGUCGGGGCAGCGAGUUAAUUGUCAGAAGAGUUGCUUUUUGGUGCACCCUAGGGUGCCUCCGCAAAGACGAGCAAUGAUCAGGGCGGUUACGGGCUUCCCGCACAAGUUGUUUCCUAUCAAAUACCUUGGAUGUCCUUUGUUCAUUAGGAGGAGACGUGUGUAUUAUUUUUUCAGAUAUCUGCAGUGCGGUCACGGCUAGAAUUUUAUCAUGGAAAAAUCGGGUCCUGUCAUCUGGGGGCAAACUAGUUUUACUUAUGUAGGACCCAAAACAACCAAUGCAAAGAUCAUAAACGAAACAAUAAGUAAAUAAAAAGGAAAGGAUUGCAAACCAAUUAACUACCCAACUCCUCUUGAGCUUGUAGAUUAAUUGAAACAAGCUACUUCAAGUUGAUGAAUUACAAUCACUCUUGUGUACAAAGGAAGGUUCACCUCCUCCUUGCCCCAAGCAGCACUCGGUCAAGCCAGGACGUUUUACUAUCCCUCAGGACAACCCUCACAGAGUUACACUCAUGAAAGAUUCACUCACAAAUGAAAAGCUUACAAUGAACCUCACACCACUAAGACUACAAAUAUUCUUUUUGGAGUAUUUUCUCACUAAAAUCUCUCUAGAUCUUUUGUAUCUUUAGUGUGCCAAAGUUCUUUGAAGUAUCUGACCAACCACUAUUUAUAUAGGACCAAGAAAGAGCCUCAUUAAAGCUUCCAACGGAUAGAAAGUAGCUGAACAGUCAACUAGCCGUUGGUAGUGUCGGACGUCCGAUAGCACUGUUUUAUGCGUCCGACAGCAGGCAGUGAGUUUGAGAAAUUUUUUUCAAUUCUUUCGGACGUCCGAUAGGCUGGUUUUCUGCGUCCGAAGAUACUCAAUGGUUGUCGGACGUCCGAUGCAGUCUUUUUGAGCGUCCGACAACUUCAGCAUACUUUGUCUUCUUCCAAUUGCACUUGUUCAUGGAAUCAAAUAAUUUCAUAACUGAAAAUAUAUCUUGAAGAAAUAUUAGUAUCAUCCAUUUGUUUUGUAAACAUCAAAAGAUAGGGAUCAAGAUCAACAACUUAGAAGCGUCCUGUCCUCAAUACCGAUCCACUUGUUAGCGGCGGCAUCACCGCCGAAGGCAGUGUUUGUGUCCCUCGAGAAGGUGAUGGCAGCCUUUUUGUGGGGCUCAUCGGAGAUUGGUCCUAGGUUUUAGUGGAUAAAUUGGGCGGAGCUAUACAGGCCCCCGGAGACAGGUGGGGUCAGUUUGCGUAGUAUUGCUAAGGUGUAUGAUGCAUUCGCCAUUAAGCUUUGGUGGAAUUUUAGGCAGCAAAAGUCGUUAUGGGCGUAAUUCCUGUCUGCGAAAUAUUGUAAAGGAGGGCAUCCUUGUUUGGUAGAAGAGAUCGCUUCACAGUCCUAUACUUGGCGAAGAUUAAGGUCAAUCCAGGAUUUGGCGGAGGAGCAUAUCGACUGGGUCCUGGGUGAAGGUUCCAUGGAUUUCUGGCAUGAUAAUUGGAUGGGUAAAGGAGCGCUAUGCCAUCGGGUAGAUAUCUUUCAUGAGCAUAGGGUGGCAGAUCUCGUCUUUCAGUCACAAUGGAACUGGUGACUGCUUAGUCAGUUAUUGGCGCCGGAACUAGUGAGGCAAGUGAUGCAAGUAUCCCCUCCGGUCUCUAGAGGAGCAGAUAAGAUGGUCUGGGCUUUAACAGCUGAUGGGGCGUUCUCAGUAGCCUCGGCUUAUUCCGUUGUUACAAUGUCAGAUACUUGCUCUUGGGUAGCUUCACGUGUUUGGCUGCAGGGUUGCCCCCUCAAGAUUUCCUUCUUCAUGCUCCGGCUGUUGCGGUCGCGCCUUCCUCUGAUAGAUAUGAUACAGGGAUUUGGGGUCCAGGGGCCGUCUAGGUGUCAGUGUUGCGCUGAGCCGGGUGAGGAAGGGAUCCAGCACACCUUCUGCACGGGGGAGUUAGCAAAGGCUGUUUGGACUAGCUUUGAGGAAUAUCAGGGAGAGUUGGCUAGGGUUUCCACGGUGUGUCAUCUGGUCGUGCGAUGGUGGCUGCGCCGGGGACACAAUGAGUACCUCAAGUUCGUUUAUCGAUUACUCCCAAUGCUGAUCUGUUGGGAGUUGUGGAAAGCGAGAAACAAAGGGGUAUUUGAGAGGAGGAAAGCGGUGUGUUCGGCAGUGGUGCGUCAGGUAUUUCUACAAUUGAGUGCUUUAUUUCAUUGCCGCUUCCCAGAGAUAGAUGGCUCUUUUAGGUCAUGGGAGGCUUUUCACUUGACAUUGGUGGGUUUGAGACGAAGGGUUUCUAUUAUACAGGUGGCAUGGGUGGCUCCGACGGAAGGGUUUAAAUUGAAUUCUGAUGGAUGCUCUAGAGGGAAUCCGGGGAUUAGUGGAGGUGGAGGUGUGGUGCGUGAUAGGGAAGGGAGGUUCAUUUUCGAUUACUCUUGCUUCUUUGGGUCCUUGACGAGUGUGCAUGAGGAGCUCAGGGCAAUGCUGUUUGGGGUACGGUUAUGUGUCGCUAAGGGUUUACAUGGGUUGCAUAUCGAGUCCGACUCGCUCAGCUUGGUGCGGACUCUGCAAGGGAGUCAAAGUUGCUCGUGGCGACUCCAACAGGAGAUGUACGAGUUGCUCAGCUAUAAGCAGUACUUCACGGAGAUCACGCAUUGUUAUCGGGAGGCAAACAAGCCUGCUGAUUGCCUGGCUAACAUGGGAGCGGAGUCGGAGCAGGAGAAGGUCUUUACUAGCUUUUCCGCUUUGCCUUGUAAUGUUCGAGGGGAAUUGGCUUUGGAGCGCGUAGGGAUUCCUAAUUUUCGUAGGAGGUGGGCUCGUUGAGCGUUGUAUGCUAUCAUUUGCUUAUUAUCAAGUUCAAUAAAAAAAUAUAUAUAUAUUUUGUAUUGGACUAAAAAGCUUACUGUCAAUAUGGGUUAUUGAACAUAUUACCUUAUACAGGAUGAAUCUUUUUUUUUCCCUGAAACUGACGCUAUAUUUGAUUUAAAAUAUAUUCAAUACUUCCAUUGAAGUUAUUCAUUACAAAAAUUUUCUGUGGAAAAGAAAACUCUAUAAAAUUUAAAAAGAAAAUUUAGAUAGAGGAGUGAACAUUUUAAAAUUUUAAAGGGGAUAAUGUAGUUAUGGAAGGGAUUUUACAAAGUUGAGGAGAAGCAAAUAAGGGGCAAAACAAAAAAUAUUGUAAAAUAUAUUAUAAAGUGUAAGGGGCCUAUUAUAUAACUAGUUUUGUACCCGUUCAUUGAACGGGAAUCGUCGAAAAAUAAUAAACUAUUUAGUCAAUUUUAUAAAAAUGUCGAUAUAAAAUACAAACUUAAUGUAUAAUCUAUUAUAACCUGUCUUAAGUAUAAUAGUAUGUGCGCAUUGUAAUAUAAAGUAUUCUUAUAACCUGUCUUACUGUAUUGAAGAAAGAUGUACCUGAUAAUCAAGAGGAAUGAAAAACCCAAAAUCGAUACUUUAAUGUGCCAACUACUUGCAUUGGAAAUACCUAACCAUGAAUUUGAUGCUUGAAAUUCAUAUAGUAGAGGCUAUAUGAAGUAUAGGCAUAAGAAAUAAAAAUUGAUAAGGAUAUAAAGAAAUAUUGAUAAGAAUAUUAAAAGUAAUUUUAUCUUGAUUUAAGUUGCUUAAAGUACGUAAGCCACGUAGGAAAGAGAAAACAAAGGCAAAAGAAGAGAGAGAUGAAAUAGGGUAGGUCAUUUUAUAGAGCGUGUUGAAAUUAUUUGCCGUUAAGCCACGUAGGAAAGAGAAAACAUGAAACUAUAUAAAUUUGAGAAGGGAUUUUUAGUAACAAGUUUCCACACAUCUUUCCACUAUCAAUUCUAUUUUUCUAGCAUUUCACAUUUAAUUUAAUUUAUAAAAUAUAUUUCUCUUAACUUCCACAUCUACUCUUCACAUUUGAAAUUGUUGGUUACUUUUUAAAAUAAUUUCAUUUCAAAUUGUUGGUUAAUGUGCAUGUUAUCUUAUUUGAACUUCAACCUAUCACGUUUCCGAUUGUCUUGCGUUAUUUAUGAUUCUACUCCAAUUAAAACUUCUAUAAGACCAUAACAAGAGAUAACAAAUAUAACAUCCUUUCAUGCUUUCUUAUUAAUUUAAAUAAGUAAGAUUAUUUACACUAUAUUUUUGUUAUUCACACUUCAAUAAUCUUUUUGAUCAUAUAGUUUUCAUUAAUUAGACUAUAUGAUAAAACAAAUGGUGGAAUUGCAAAUAAUAAAAAAUGGAGUGCAAAUAACAUUUUUCUAAGUAAGGAGUGGCUUCCAUGUCUUUCUAAUUUAAAUAAGUAAGAUGUGCCUCCAUUUAUAUAGGAAUUUGGUUUGAAGUUUAUUAGUGGGAGGGUAAAUAAAGAGAAAACAUUGCCAAACUUGGUAAAAGUAAAAAUGUAAAUGAUAAUAUUUUAUCUUUUAACUUAGUAAUCCUAAGUAAAAGAGCAAAAUUAAAUAGAAAACGAAAAGAAAAUAAUGUUGUGGAUUUAAAAAAUCAAGAAUGGUACCAUUUAUGAAAUCUAAAUUAUGAAAUCACUAAAUAAAAAACAAAGUACUACUGGCAUUUUAACGUGCAAAAUUUUUUUUUUUGAUAAAUAUGAUAAUAACAAUACCAAUUCUACCAAAAAUUUUAAAAAAAGUAACAUUAUAGUUUAAGAGAAAAACAUUGCCAAACAUUCGACCCUAAAAUACUACUUAAUUUGUAUAUAUCUAGCCCAAAUUUGACCCUGAUUAGAUUUGAAUAGGAGUGUAAAACCCAAACACUAAAGAUAACUUUUGGUAUCAUUAAUUAUUUUAUGUAUUCUUAUUGCCGUCUUCAUAUGUAAAUAUGUAUUUGCUAAGUUAUAUAUAUAUAUAUUGUAGUACUUGAAGAUAUUAUAGAUAUUAUCAGUUUUUCAUUUCCAUUUUUAGAUACUAAUAAUUGCAACCAUUGUAAUCAAUUUUCAAUUUUAUAUUUUCAUUAUGAUAGGUAAAGUUAAAAAUAUUUUUUUUUAUAGAAAUAGGGGUUUAUUCAUCAAGAAAGCAAAACAAUCACAAGUUCUUCUUACAAACGCCUACUUCUCCAAAAUGCAUGGAUAUGAAUUUAGAAGUUGGGUAUGGGGGGAAAAGGGAGGGAAGAAAAUGGUGAGGAGUUGAAAAGUGACGAGAAAGGUUGAAGAAGAAAUGUGGGUUACAAGGAAGGGCGGAGUAGGGAGAGAAGAAGAAAGGGAAUUGCAGCAAUAUGACAGAAAUGACAAAAAAAAAUAGAGAGAAUGGUAUCAUGAUAGAAGAUACGAAAGUCGUAGGAGGCAUCUCAUGAUUAGCUGGCGGAUAAGAAAAGAGGGAAAUGAUGGUGAUUUUUAAUAAUUUUGAGAACUCUAAAAAUAUAUAUUACAGAGAUUUUUUUUAAAUAUACGUUAAAGUUUAUAAAAAAAUGCUAAUCUAAAUGCAGUCAACAAUUUUAGCGGUACAAGACAGGAGAAAGAUUUUUUUCUAAAACUGGAAGAAAAUAAAUUGAUUAUAAUUUAUUUUGUUAUAUUAUAAGUUUUGAUAUAUGGGUAUAACAGAAUAUGUUUCGUUCGAUACUGAUAAUUUGAUUUUUUUUUUAGAAAACUCUUCUCACCUUACCACUCAACCUAACCCUUUCCUUAAAUGCGUUAACAAUUUCUCUAUCAUGUAAAUCAUUAUAAAUUAAAAUUUUUUCAACAUGUUAAACAUACACUUCUUUAAAAUUUUUAGUCUAUAUAUAUAUAUUAUUCUGUACCACAAUAUAUAAAUAUAUACAAUAUUAUUUUAAUUUGAAAUAUAAUCCCGUGCAUAGCACGAGUCAAAAUACUAGUAUUGAUAAGAAUAUUAAAAGUAAUGUUAUCUUGAUUUAAGUUAUUUAAAGUAUGUAAGUCACGUAGGAAAGAGAAAACAAAGGCAAAAGAAGAGAGAGAUGGAAGAGGGUAGGUCAUUUUAUAGAGCGUGUUGAAACUAUUUGCCGUAUCGUUAAGCCACGUAGGAAAGAGAAAACAUGAAACGAUAAAAAUGAGAAUACGACUUUAUUAUAUAGAUAUAGGAUUAAUCUUUCCUAUACUGACAGUGUAUACACUAUCAGCAUUGGAUGAAUGAUAACUAUGCAAAAUUUGAAAUUGAAAUUCAACUUUUGUACACAUGUCAUGAAUCCAACGAUGAUAGUGUAUACACCGUCAGUGUAGGAAAUAUUUACUCAUAUAUAUAUAUAUAUAUAUAUAUAUGAUUCUUUAAAACUUGAAAGGAUGGGGCAAUUGCCCACCCUCAAGCAUCCAUGGCUCCGCCCUCGGUUACUGUGCCAAUAAUAGGCUGAUUGUAUUGCUUUGACUUGGUCAUAACUGCUUUGUACUAUUAUCUACUUUUUUUUAUCUCAAAAUGAUUUAUCUAUUUUUUUUGUUUGAGUUUUUAUGCUAUGUAAUAUUUGUUUCACAAAUCAAUAUAUUUUCAUUUUAUCAUGUAUCUAGUUGAGGGAAAAAAGUUAAAGGUUUAGCAGAAUUGGAGAAUGGUAAUAACCGAUUCACGAAAUAGACCACAGUAUAAUACAACAAGACUUAGUUUUAACCUUAUUUUCAGAAGUCAAAAUUGUGGAAGAUGUUUCAUUAAAUAUUGAUGCCAUUCUACUUCAUCAUUUUCAUAAAUAGAUCUUGAAUAACGCUUUGCCCCCCUUGACCUUUACGAUCUUGAAUUUCAAAAAUAUAUAUUCUACCCAUCUCCCCCCUCAAAUGAAUUAUGUUUAUACUUUUAAUUUUGUACAACCUAUGUGCAUAUUUUUCUUCGUAGAUUACCCCCAAUUUUCCUAGUUUCGCAACAGUCAACUUUUAAACUAUUGCAUUUUCUUCUUAUGUUUCCAUCAAAAUAUUUUUGUUAUUGUGUGCUAUGAUGUUAGAUAAAAACUCCCCCUACAUCAGCCUUUUCCCCAACCUAUCCCAGUUUCCUGGCAGUGCUCUUGUGGUGACCAUUAUUAUUAUUUAUUUGACCUAGUUUUUUGUUUAAAAAAUGUAUAUAUAACACCAAUAAAAAUCGCAAUUAUCAGUCUUUUGAAUUAGCCAAAAAUUCAAUGUUAAUUAUCACAUUUGAUACUAUGUGAAAUCUAAAUCAAUACCCAUUAUUCUUUUACAAAUAGUAUAUAACAUGUGACAAAUAAAAAUAUAAGUAAAUUAAUAUAACAAAAUCAUACUUUUAACACAAACAUAAUAAAUCUCCAAGAAAUGGUACAUUAUUUUAUCACAAUAAAAUAACAUAUUGUUUAUUUUAAAUUUGAAUAUUUACAGACAUAUUAGUACUACACUACAUUAUAUAUAAGGCAGGGGAUAGGGUAAGGAAUUUAGCCCAAUUUAAAUCGAUGCUAAGUUAUAUAUAAAUCUAUGUAAUAAGUUAAUUAAACUAUUGUCCAACAUCACACCAAACGAUAGUAAAAUGUUUUGAUGAAUAUAUAAUAAGAAAAUACAACAAGCUAAAAGUUGACCAUUGAGAAAAUAGGAAGGUUAGGAGUAAUUUGGAAAGAAAAAUAUGCAUAUCGAUUUGUCAAAGUUAAAAGUACAAAUAUAAUGCAUUUAAGAGGGCACAAUGUAUAUUUUUCAAGUUUAGGGUGGCAAAGUGUUAGGUUUUUGUUGGGGGGGGGGGUUGCAAAGUGUUAUUAACCCAUGUUAAAUAUUGUAACAUAAACCAACUUUGAACAUUUAUGCAUUUUUUACAUUUUGUAACAGUUCGCCACCAACUGCGGUUUCAAACAGGAAUAAAACGCCUUUUUCCCCACUUUUUCUGGCAAACCGUUGGGUAUGACGGACAAGGGGCUGGAGCGGUUGUCUGACAACCGCUUAUAAAUUUUUCAUGGCCAAGAUGUGGUGGGCCCAUCAUUAAAGGCCAAAAUGAAAUCGAACAAAAUGGAGAUGAGUGUAGAGGAUUGUUGCUUUAAUACAAGCUUAACUUUUAACUCCGUUUGGUCUGGCCGUUAAGGGUAUGAAAAAUUCAAAAUCAAAAUUUGAAAAUCAACUUUUGGUAUGAUCGCGCGGGAUUUAAAACUGUUUCAACUUAAAAGAUGUGGGAAGAAAAUGACAGUAAUGAAUUUUCUCUGAACACAAUACAUUGUCGUUGUAGCUCCUUUUGUUUUUCUCCUUUCAACAAGCUCCUUCUAUUCUUCUCCACUCAACAAAUUAUUUCGCAUAACAUAGACAUAAAUUUUUGUCUUCUUCUCUUCCAACUCUUAAAUAAACCUUAUCAAAACGGGCAUCUUUUCUGAGGUGUGCACAAGAUAAUUGUGAAGAUCCGCUGCAGCAACAAUACACGCUGAUUUAAGUAGUGGAUGACUGAGAUAGAUAUUCAUCGAGUAACAAAUGCAUAACCGAGACUUGUGAGCGACCCAUCUGAAAUUUACUGCAUGGUGAACUCUGUCCAAGGUAAACGCUAAUAUUAUAUGUAAUUCGGUUGUAAUAAAUGUGUUAUUUAGUGAAGCAUGAUUUAAAAAUUAUAAUAAGUAUGUCAUUAUCCUUUUAGAGAGAAUGGUUAACUUGUACAAUAAAGAUCCCGUACAGAAUUUCAAAAUAUAAAUGAGGAUGUGUACAAAUAAAAUAACAUAAGCGUAAAAAUAACUUAACAAUGUGACCAACUUAAAUAACUACAUAAACGGUAUAGAUGACAAUGUAUAGAUUUUGAGAAUUCUGUCAAACCUUAAGCUAUGUAAAAGUGUAUGAGGCAUACAUGCAUUUGUUAUGUUACAAGUUGAUAUAAAGGGUGUACACAUUGUUAUAAAGUGUGUACAUAUGAUUGUAAAAUAUGUAAAUACUGAUAUUAUGCACAAAUUGGUUAUAAUAUUUGUUUGAAAUGUAUAUAUUAUGUAGUGAAAUAUGCUAUGCAAAUUAUUAGAGUUAUGUGAUUACCUAUUACAAAGAAGAUACACAUCCAUAAAAAUUAUUUUACAAAAUGUUGUAAGGUGUGUACACGUCGUUAUAAAGUAUGUACAUAUGUGAAUACAAAUAAUUAAGUGCUUAUGAUGUGAAUAAAGAAAUAAAAAAUAAAUAUAAUUGUUUGUCCUGAAAAACAAUAGCAAAAAAUGCUUUUGUCGAAUACAGCACAAUGGAAGAAGCAUUGUGUCCUAAGAUCGGCAUGGAGUUUCAGUCAGAAGAUGAGGCAUACAACUUCUACAAUAGGUACGGAUUAGUUGUUGGGUUCAGUGUUCGGAAAGACUACUUGAACAAGGAUAAAGACGGUGUAGUUACAUCGAAAAGGUACACAUGUUGCAAAGAAGGUUUCAAACCACGGUACAAAGGAGAUGUAAAACCAAAGAGAACUCGGGCUGAAACAAAAACCGGAUGUGAAGCUAAAAUGGGGAUAAUUUUGAACAGAGAAACAAUGAAGUAUCAGGUUCGAGAUCAGGUAAUCGAGCAUAAUCACACACUACACAUUUCAGAAUGUGCUCAUAUGAUGCGUUCGCAAAGAAAAGUAAGUAUUUCUCAAGGAACCCAAGCUGAGAUUGCAAAUGAUGCAGGAAUAUCCUUGAAACAAUCCCAUGAACUCAUGGGAAAAGAGGCAGGUGGAUUAGGCAAUAUUGGCUACACUCAUGAUGACUUAAAACGCUAUCUACGAGCAAAAAGAGAGAGGGGAUUAAAGUAUGGUGAAGCUGGUGCAAUGCUACUAUACUUUGAAGAACAAAAAUUGGAAAUUCCGUCAUUCUUCCACGUAGAGCAGCUUGAUUGUGAAGAACAAAUUACAAAUAUAUUUUGGGCUGAUGCAUCAAUGCUGAUGGAUUAUACCUAUUUUGGGGAUGUGAUUACAUUUGACACCACAUAUAAAACUAACAAGGAGUACAGACCAUUGGGCGUAUUUGUGGGAUUCAAUCAAUUUAGACAAUUGGUUAUUUUUGGAGCAACUCUAUUGUAUGAUGAGACCAUUGAAUCAUUCAAGUGGGUGUUCAGUACAUUUGUAGAGACAGAUUGUGGAAGGCACCCAAAAACCAUCUUCACAGAUCAGGAUGCAGCCAUGGCCGCUGCAAUUUCAGCUGUUAUGCCUUCAACAUACCAUGGUCUGUGCACUUUUCAUAUUAUAGUCAAUUUCAUGAAACACCUUGGGAACUAUUACAAGGAUGGUAGUAAUCUCCCAUAUAGAUUUGUUGAAUGUAUGUAUGAGAUAGAAGAUGAAAAUGAGUUUAUCAUGGCCUGGGAUGCAAUGCUAAAAGAACACAAACUCGAAACAAAUGAAUGGUUGUGUGGCAUUUAUGCAUGUCGAAAGAAAUGGGCAAAAUGCUUCAUGAAAGGCGCCUGGACUGCAGGUAUGCGUAACACCCAGCUAAGUGAGAGUCUAAAUGCUUCAAUAAAAAAUUAUCUGAAACUUGAUCAUGAUCUGGUUCAAUUCUUCAAACAUUUUAACCGAGUUGUGGAUGAAAAAAGAUAUAAUGAACUAAGAAUUGAGUAUCACAGUCGACAGAAGCUGCCAAUGUUGGGAUUGCAACAGACUCCCGUACUGAUCCAGGCAGUUUCUAUAUACUCUCCAUGCAUGUUUGUUGCAUUCCAGAAUGAAUACGAUGAAUCCACUAUAAUGGUGAUCUUGGACCAAAAGCAUACUACAAUGCAUGUGGAAUACAGUGUCAGUCACUAUGAUGGAGGAAGGGAAAGAAGAGUGAUAUUGAAUCCAAUAACUAAAGACAUUACUUGUAGUUGUAAUCUUUUUGAGCAGGAAGGAAUCCUAUGCUCACAUGCUUUAAAGGUGUAUGAUAUGGUUGGAACAAAGUUUAUUCCUAAUCAAUAUGUGACAAAGAGGUGGACAAAGAAGGCAAGGUCCGGAGGCCGCAUCAAUUGCAAGGGUCGAGAAAUAUCAUUAGAUCCGUCUCUCUCUAUUUCCCAUCGAUAUAGGCUAUUAGCACCCGAAAUGGUAAGACUUGCUACCAGGGCUGCCAUGUCAGAAGCCGCUACAAAGUUAGUCAGUAGCGCAAUGUCUGAAUUGUCAAAGAGAGUCGAAAUGCUAUUUUGUGGAGAAAUAGAUGAAAUAACAUAGAAUAGUGCAUCAAUGGAUCUAUGUAAGGGAAUACAGGUGUAGAAUGCAGCUGGCCACUUUGUGACUCCAACGGGUUUGAAGAAACGAAGUGGCAGAAAAAUUAAGAAAGUAUUGCGUAGUUGGGUGGACAGGUUUCAUAGGCAAAAGAAAAACUCUAGAUUGUCUGAGGCAAGCACUCCUGAGAUGGUUAGUACCGAAUCUUAUUUUUGGACUUACAUAACUAUAUCAUUUCAAUUGACUCUACUAUCAUAAGCCGACUGAGUUGUUGUAUAUUCUUCUCUUGUCAGUCAUCAGAAUCCUAUCAACCUAUCCCAAGCCAAACAUCAAGCAAAUGUUUGUCAUCGAAUAAUUCUGUGGCAGUAAGUAGUUAUUUUUAUACUUUACAUAAUGUGCAUUAUAGUUCACUGUUAGUUAUUUAGGUGUUACAAAUUAAUAUUUUACUUGUACACAUUGGUUAUUAAGGUAUACAUAUUAGUGAUAGGAUGUUCAUCACAUGUUAUUUAUUUUUGACACAGUAAUAUCAUAUUUUGUACAUAUUAGUUGGUACACAUUACGACGAUCUCUUAAUUUAAUAGCAUUUACAUGUUGUUAUUUUAUGUGUACAAACUGAUAUAUAUGUUGUACGCAUUGAUUGAUACCAUGUACCACUGGUUAUUUUGUUUUGAAAUAUCGUUAUUACAUUUGGACACAUGAUUACACAUUUGGAUAAAGUUUUUUACAGAUUAUUAAUUUAUUUUCUCACAUUUAUUUUUUCAAUCGUACAAGUUACAAUUAUUUAUCACCCGUUGAUUAGUUUUGACAUCGUGUUAUUAUUCUGGUACACGAGUGUAUAUUAGUUGGUACACAGUACGGAGAUCUCUUGAUUUAAUAACAAUUACAUGUUGUUGUUUGAUGUGUACAAACUGAUAUAUAUGUUGUACGCAUUGAUUGAUACCAUGUACCACUGGUUACUUUGUUUUGAAAUAUGAAUAAUUCCAUUUGAACACAUGAUUACACAUUUGGAUAAAAUUUUUUACACGUUAUUAAUUUAUUUUCUCACAUUUAUUUUUUCAAUUACAAGUUACAAUUAUUUAUCACCCGUUCUUUAGUUUUGACAUCGUGUUAUUAUUCUAGUUCACGAUGUAUAUUAGUUGGUACACAGUACGGAGAUCUCUUGAUUUAAUAGCAUUUACAUAUUGUUGUUUUAUAUGUACAAAUUGAUAUAUAUGUUGUACGCAUUGAUUGAUAUCAUGUACUACUGGUUACUUUGUUUUGAAAUAUGAAUAAUUCCAUUUGGACACAUGAUUACACAUUUGGAUAAAAUUUUUUACACAUUAUUAAUUUAUUUGCUCACAUUUAUUUUUUCAAUCGUAGAAGUUACAAUUAUUUAUCACCCGUUAUUUAAUUUUGACAUCGUGUUAUUAUUCUGGUACAUGGUGUAUUUUAUCUUGUACAUUACAAACCAUAUCAUUUGAAAUCUAUUGCAUAGUUACUUCAAUCUAAUGCAUUGGUUAUGUGUUAUAUCCAUAGUAGCCCAUAAGUUUGUAGUAUAACUUUACAAUGUAUUCAUUUAUGGUCACGUAUGUACUGAAUUUUGAUUUUUGUUUAGAUUACUUUUGGUUGAUUUUUGUUUACACACGUUGUUAUAUAUUAUGUACACAUUUGCAUCAUAAUUUUCCUACGACCUAACAUCUUAAAUUUUGGACACAAUGUGUAUUUAAUUUUUACAAAUUAGUUAGUUUGUUGUUAUACACAGUGUUAGCAUGACUUUGCAACUAAUGUAAUAUGGUACUCGUGAUAACAGUUAUUCAGUGAAUCAAAUUUUGGAUCUUCCCCAGUUAUUCACUCAGAUAUGCAGUCUUGUAGGAUGGUAAGUCAGAUAUUGCAGUUGUAUGGAUAAUCAAGAUUUUGGAUAAAUUUAUAGGAUCUUAUUCAGUACAAUACUUAAUUGUAGCCCGGUGAAGCUUGAAUCACUCCUCAAAUACUGAGUGCUCAUAAUAUCCGUAUUAAAGAUCGUAACAAUCUCCCACUUUUGCUUCCCAACGAUCCUGUGAGCAAGACAAAGUACACAAGUUUCACCGAAUUCUUAAUGGUCAGUAAUUCUUUAAAAAGCUCAUUAUUUACAGUUAUUAUUUAAAACUAUUCUAACCUUGUUACAAGACUAUUGUAGGGCAUGCUUUUAUGAACACUGAACUUUUGAUUUAAAUAAUUUAUGCUUGUUUCAAUGAUUGCCAGACCCCCAAAGUGGCCUCUGUGGAAAGGUCAAAGAGCAGUACUCUCAUGCAAUUAAGCGACGAAGAAGUGCAACUACCUACGAUAUAAAUGGGUAGAAGCUAAUUGCCUUCCAUGAAUAUGUAUGCUAAGUUGAUGUAUCUUGUGACCCUUUUGGAACUGGAUUGGAACAAUGUAAUAUUAAAAUGAUUUUACUUUAAUAUUAGAUAGUAGUUUGAGAAUUGCAAUCAAUGCAGAAUAGUUUUACACCUUUUACUUCUAUUCAAUUGAUUACAAGAAGUUAUAUAUUCAUCGUGGUGUCCCAACCCUAUCUGCCGCAAACAAAAAUUGAAGCAUGUCCCAACAGUAUUGAACUUUGCUCCCAACACAAAAUUCUAUAUGUCCCACUAGUAGUAAAAACUUCAUAACUAAUGAACUUUGCUCCCAACAGUAAUCCCAAAAGGAGAUAAUUCUACACAAGUACAAAAUUCUACGCAACACAACUCAUAAAUUACUAAAUAUUUGUCAAUCAUUUAUUACAACUGGCUUUUUCAUCGGGGAGGGAUAUUUAACAACUCAAGGAUGGAUUCGGCCCAUUCGUUAUGCUCGGUUGCAACCAACAUAGACAUAUAUUGCACUCGAUACUUCCACAUGUUAUCCUAUCCAAGCAUUGAAAUAAUCAGCACCAUAUAUUAUACAUUAGUCAUCAUAAAAAUAAUUGCUACCAAAAAAUUUCUAUAAAUCAAAAUAAUAUAUAUACCUCUGUAAUGCGUAUGCCUAAUCUUCCAUUCCAGUGCUCCAGAAAUUUCAUUAUGAACACACCACAAUCAUAGCUAAAACACGAGGUAUACAUUGUCGUGACAACCAGAUUGUAGGACAUACAAGUUUUACCUUACCAUCCUAAUAAUAUAACUUAGUAUUUAGUUAUAUUUCAAGAUAGAAUAUAAAUAAACUCUUAUUUACAGGACAUAUACCUAUUGUGUGGAGACUGUUGAGGAACAUCUGCGACUUGCAAUACAAAUCCCUCGAAAUCCACCAAUUUAUCAAAUUGUUUUGCCAUUAUUAAGCCCAAGGUUCGCCUCUGCAAUAUAAAAAUAUAAUUUUCCUGAUUACACUUUCUCACUAGUUAUAUAAUAUAAAGCCAUGAAACAGAUGCAUUAAAAAUUCAAGGUAUAAAUAGUGUUUAGAUUUCACCAGUCAUCGUAAGAUGUUAGUCUGUCGAACCCGUGAUGAAUCAACUCGUGAGUCAAGGAGAUGAACAAUGCUUUGUGCAAUAUCAAAUGAGUAUACAAACCAGUGACUUUUGUUCACCACUGGAACCAGUAUCUGAAAAUAUAAUGUGUUAAACUUUACAAAUGCAACAUCUUUGAUAUAAAAUUAAAGGUAUUUGAUCUAGCAGUUAUAAGAGAUUGAUCACCAUAUCGGCAUUUGCUAGACUUGAUGCAUUAUCUGCUCUUAUUUUGAACCACUUGUUCAGUUUUGAAUAUAGGACAUCAUCAGACUUUUUCUCAAAUCGGUCUACACCUUGAAUGGUAGCCUACCCAACAAAUCAAUGAAAUUAGAUCGAAAGUCAUACGAUAGUUAGAAAUUGCACGAGCAAUUCAUACUAUUUAAUAAACAUUGAAAUCAAAUUUUCUAAUAAACUAACAAUAAGUGAAACUGUAUAUGCAUGAUGUUAGUUGGUGGUAAAAAAAAGUUGGUCAUUAUACUUACAACAACACAUGGCUCGACAAUGUACCGCUUAACCUUCAUUAGUCUUUUACUCACAUCAUUAUUCAAUAAUCUUGCAUACAUAUCAAUGACCUAAAAGAGGGGUGAGUAUAACAAUAAAAUAUUUUAGCAUUCCAAAAGGUGAGACUAUCUCCACAACUACAGCAGUUAACUUAGUCAAAUAAAAUAAUUUUUCUUUUUUUGUGGCUUACCCUAUCUGAUACCCAAUGCUUCUUCCGCAAGGAUUGCAUAUCUCUUCGGUUAAGGCUAAAUCCGAACAUAGACACUAAUAUCUCACUACAUUGAACAUUGAGUCAACAAUGUUAAGUUCAAUUAUAAAUGAAUAUGAAUAAAAAUAGCAUAUUACUCCGAAUAUUAUCGCAUGAAAAAAGAUUUUACCUCUCAUCUCUCGCGUCUUGCCAUGUGAAAUUCGCAAUCUUCCGGCUACAUUGUGUCAAAGUAGCUUGUAUUCGGAGCUGAUAAUCAGUAGACCUGAUGAGGGUGUUGUGCCUUGUUGUCCGCAAUGUCUUGUGCAUUCGGCCAUCUUCCGCAUCUAUAUUAAGUGAAGAAUAGCAAAUGUUUUUGUAAUGAUCAAUUUUUAUAUCAUUUACAAAGUGCAAUAACAAAUGAAAGCAGAAUUUUAGCUACAACAUAUAUAACUUGCCUUCACACUCUCUUUUUUUAUAUCUAGACCGACCCUUCCAUUGUGUUGCAGCACAUAGCGAAUGUUGCUCUACUGCAGCUCCUGAUAGGGAAGUUAGACCUGCAUCCAAGCAAUGAACUUCUGCAAUUGCCUUGGCAUCAUCUUUUCCUUCUUUAUCUUCGGGUUCACUUGCCUCAUUUUCACCAAAAUUCUCAUUCCUAUCCCCAGCACAUGUCUCGUCUUGGUUGUUUUCAUAUUCAAAUUUGUCCGUAUCAGAAUCUAUAACAACCUUUGCGUUCUCAUCAUCGAUCAUUCGCUUUUUUGUCCAUUUUCUUGUGGAUCUAACGGCUGCCUAGGAACAUGAUGGCAUGGCACUACGUUGCGAGCAAAGGAUACUGGAUAUAUUCAUUACACUUUGUUGACACUCGAUUGCUAUCCGCUCAGCAGUUGUCGCUUUUGUAUAUAGAGUGGUUAGAUGAAUUGAUAUAAAAAAAUAAAUGCAAUUAAUCCUCAUAUUCGUACAACUUCGGACAUAUUUGCAUUCGUAUUGCAUUUAAUUUGUUAUCUUACAGCAAUUUCUCCAUGUCCAUUAUUCACCAUCUGGCUAAUCACAUCCGAUGGAAGCUCAGUAGGUUCCUCUUGCUCAUUUUCUUCUCUGUUCGUUUUGUUUGAUCCCACCUUUGUGGACAAAAAAGUAUGUUGUAAGUUUCGCAAAGCAGUUAGCCGUAUAAUAUAAUGUCUUGCUAACUUAAAUUCCAAAAUAUCAUUGUUUCAAUAAUACUUACUAGCUUUCCUUUGCCAAAUUUUCCAAGACCACUCAAUUCUAGUGUUUCUCUUUCCAUUAUAUUGGCAUCAGUCCAUGCUUUUGCUAUAGGGCAGGUCCUACGAACACAAUGAUUGAGUAUACUUACUCGAUCAUAAUAAUGUAGCUGCAAAAUAAUAACAACUUAUCCUUGUUAGAUACAAUGAACAAAUAUAAGUUAAGAUCAUCCACUAGUUGAGAUUUCUUAACUUACCAGCAAAAAUAGGAUGCAACCUCCAACAUUUUUGUGGGCAUUGCUUUGCAUAUUCAACAAUUUUUUGUAUAAAUCAGCUCUGACGAACUCAGCCCAAUUGAAUUUUUCUAUUUGUGAAGUUGAUUGUAAACUCUCCCAUAAAUUGGCUUUAAUUUCAGCUCGUGUUGUUGGAGCAAGCAAGCACCCACAUGCAAAAAUAACAAAUAAUCUCUUGAAUUCAUCCCCGACCUCCAUGGAUAUUAGUUCAUCUUCUAUAUCAUGCCAAUUAUACUUCUUCUUCCUAGGAUAAUGUGGUUCGCUAUCAAUUCCAUCAUCUCCAGUAUCUUCAACCGGCACUAGCCCCUCACCUGGAAUUCCAAAAGCCUUUGCUAUAUCUUCUGACAUUACAGGCAGUACACGUCCACCUUCAAGUUGUAUGUAUGAGUGAGUUGGAUUGAAAUUUUUCACCAACCACAUGCAUAUCAUACUUGGAAGGUUGUGGCAUUGGAUCUCCAGCAAUCCACCAAAACCUAUUUCUUGGAUUGCAGCUAUUUUUUCCCCAUCAAUACGCCCCACAAACCUUAAAAAUUUAGCUGGUGUGCACCUAAACCUGUAUGCCUAUAAAAACAAUAUAACAAUGUUGAUAAAAUUUACCAAAUAACACUCCAAUACUUGCACUUGCGCUUUGAAACUUCUAAAUCAUUUAAUUUAAAAACAAUGAAAUUGUAUGCUAUGUCCUUACUUGUUUUGCUACAUCACUCUUUAUGCUUUCUCCCCUGUUAGCUAUAGACUCCUUGUAGCUUUUCAUCAGCUCCUUAUAUUUCUUCAUAUCUUUUUCAUUCUUCCAUACAAGCUUCUCCUCAUCACGCAAUUUGUUCCAUGCAUUUCUAGAGGCUAUGUUUAGCUCCUGCAUUGUUAAUGCCUUUCCCUUUGCUUUUUCCUUGCGUGCGAAGUCAAUCCUACCAACAUUUAAUAUGAUUAGAUCCUAUACAUUGACUUUUGAUUUUAUCAUGAGUUUUUUAACUAAUUCAAAGCCCCAAAUGUACACAAUAAUGCUUCUAUAAAGUCAUAUAUACCUGUAUGCAAUGAAAUCAGUUGGUGGCCUCAUCGGCUUUACUGGAUUCUUGUCAUGAAGUUCCUCAACCUGCUUGCCUUUAUCUUUUGUAACAUUCAUCUUCUUGGUUCCCCCAUGUCCCAUUUCAAACUGCACCAAAAUAAAUGACAUGAAAAAAACAUAAGAGAUAAUUUCGAUAUCCUAUCCCCUAAGGUUUCUUCACAGAAGUGUGUUAACUUCUGUUGUUACAAAUGUACAAGAGGUUUACAUAAAGUUACAAAAUGUUCAAAAUGAACUUCUUCAGAAAGAAGAAAGGUUAAGAAUUCCAAAAUAUUAUAAUACAUCUUUGCUGGAUAAAUAUUAAUUAAACAUUAUUUACACCAGGGUAACAUUAUGAAUUUCCUCUGCAGAAAGAAUAUAAAAUACACUACAUCUUUCCAAUUUCAAUCAUACAACUAAGGAGAGAUAAUGUAUUCCAAAAAUAAUUGUCUGAGUUUUGAUUUUUUCACAACACACUAAAUAGUCUGAAAAACAGCCUCCAAUGUUGACAAAAGUAAAAGCUGUUUUUAACUUAAUUAUGGCAUUUAAAUUUAUUCAGUUCAAAGACACGUAUAUGUAUAAAAAUAUAGUGUUAUUCUUCUUAGUUGAUAUUUCAUUACUAGGAAAUGAAAAUUCAAAACUCAAUAUGUAAUGCAACACUUAACUCCAAAAAAAUAAUAAAAUAAAAAUCAUACCUCAAAUUUUGGUAUGUUCCUCCUUGUUCCACCUUCAAAUGCAAGUACAGGCAAAAAUGCCAAGGUUGGUCCUUUAAUGUCCACAAGAAAGUUCUGCCAUGACAAUUAUGGUCAAAAACUAAGUGGUUAAAGCGGACAAGUAACAGUGAGGCCAUCAAAUGUAUACAUGCAUCUAAAGUUUGUAUACCUGUAUGAUUGUGUUUUAGUAGAUACAAGUUGUGGAAUCAUACCAUGUUAUAGAUAUACAAGCGUCACUAGUUAUAGUCUCAAGAAAUGAUAUGGACACGGCACCCUCUUAUUUAUCAGAUUGUUUCUCUAGAUGUUUGCAAAAGCAAAAUUUUUCUGAUUGUGAUCAUAAUGUGGCAGGAAACCAGGAGAAGAAUCUUUCAGGAAAGAGGAAAUAAACAGAAUUUCUUAGAUAAAGUCCACAACAUCAGCCUUUCUUAGCAAGCUCAUGUCUGAGAAAUUUAAGCACAAAAACUUACCCUUUUCUGCGAGCUUUCAACCCAAUACUUAUUUGGCUUUGAAAACCUUAGCACAGCAUCACCAUCCUAAAAAUGAUAGCAAUGCAGCUUAAGUUCUCAUUUUCAUUGUCUUUCCGCAUCUUCAGUUAUAAUUUUGGGCUCAAGCCACGACGGUUUUAGAUAGAGUUUAAGUUGAUUUAAUCUACUACUCAAAAAUUUUAAAAUUUAAUGAACAAGACAACAAUGGCAAAGGCAAAAGAAAUUUUUCGAGCUUCUGGAUACCUUAAAUUCAGUUUGCCCAUCAAUAGGCAAAAAAACCAAAUAUUUUAGCAUAUCAUGAUUGCCAAAAGAAAAAAAAAACUUGCAAUUAGGUUGAACAGAAUAUAAUGCAAAACUGAACAAAACAGGAUCAGAUUUUUUUUGACAAUUUCUCAUCAUUUCCUUUCGUUCUUCUAAUAUUGCGGGUUCUUUGGACUGAUUACUAGAUUUUCAAUAAUUACACAAUUAUAUAAAUUAAUUAAAAUCAAAAUUAAACCACAACAACUUAGGCAGCAAAAAAUUGACAUUAAAAAUUGAAAAAUUCAAUCAACAUAAUUGAGAGGGGCAAAGAAAAACCCUAGUGAAAACGGAGACAUUACAGGAGAAAUUACAGAGAAAUUACUAGUUUGUUACAAGAUAAAAAUAAAAAAUCAGGAAGAAGACAUUACAAACCUGUAAUUUCUAGUUAACAACGAAAUUAUUACUGAUUACGAACUAGUAACAAUGAAAUUACUAGUUCGUAAUCUAGUAACAAUGAAUUACGGACUAGUAACAACGAAAUUAUUAGUUCGUAAUCUAAUAACAAUGAAAAUACAAAGAAUUUUGACCCCAAUGAAUUAAAAAAAAUGUCAAAAAAAUGAAGAGUAUCAAAGUUGUCAGUACGUUACAAGGGCAACAUAGGAGCAGAGAGUGUAAAAGAUUCCAUCUUACCUUGGAUUAUGCAGUUUCUCCUCCUCCAAAAAACACCGUGGGUCUUCUUUAGGAUGAAUUCAGGCAGUUGUUUUGGAAAUUAGCAGACAACGGGGAGUGAAAUGGGAGUGAUUUUGUGGAGUGAAAUGGAAGUUCUUUUGUGGAGUGAUUUUUUGCAUUAGCAGACAACGGGAAAAGGGUUUGGGAAAUGGGGAAAGUGAAAUGGGGAUUUCCGAUAAAAAGGAACUUUUCAUUAAUUAUUUGGGAGGGAUAAAUUUGACGCCAUUUGACGAUGAUGCUUCAUCCGUUUCUACAAUUUUCAUUUUUUUAUUUGCCACUCAAUAAAACGACGCCGUCUUCUUCAGCUCAUAUAACUUUGUGACGUGGCUUCGUUUUGGCCGUUGAUGAUGGUCCACCACAUCUUGGCCAUGAAAAGUUUAUGAGCGGUUGUCCAUCUUGGCCAUGAAAAGUUUAUGAGCGGUUGUCUGACAACCGCUCCAGCCCCUUGUCCUGGGUACGACAACUCAUUAUGUUGAAGCCUCGGAGACAACCGUGCUAGAGACCUUGGCCCUUUUUGUUUUUUGGGCCAGAGAGACUUUGACUUUGACUAAUUCAUUUUUUAUCUGUAACAUUGACAGAGUAAACGAUGGAAAAAAAAUGGAAAGCUAUUGAAAACCCAGGUCUUGCUUCUCAUUUAUUAUUUGAGGUCACGAUGUAACAGGUCCAUGCAUUUGAGUGGAAUGCACAUUGGAAUUUGAUUUGGAUAAGAAUUUAUUCAUUUCUAGCUUGAUUAGUGACAAAUAAAAAUUCAUAUGACUUUUAAUCACUCUUGGUCUGAUUUCAAUAAGUAUAUUUAAUGUACAAAUUAAAGAGCAACAAAUAAGAAUAAGAAAAAAUCAUCUUGUUCCGUUCACCUUUUCAGGUUCAUAUUUUUUAAACAGGUUCAUAAUUGUUUCAUGAUUCGUGUUUCAGAUUUACAGUGAAAUGAUUUGAAACAACUUAGGAGGGAAAUUACAUAAACAUAAAAUUGACAAGUUAAAGAGAUACUUGGGAUUGAGGUGGAGGAAGGUUCUUUUUCGUCGUUUAAAGAGAUAAAAUUUUUUGGGUACAAUUUCUUGAGUGCAAUGAUCACGUCUCUAUAUCUAGUUCAAUAUUUCUGCCUUUUUGCGAUUGAUAAAUUAAAACCACACCAGAAAUGUCAAAGUGCAUAGGCUUGUUAUCAAAUACUUAGAAGUCCCAAAAAUAUAUUCCACUGUGUUGUUGUAAUCCCAAUUAUGCUGGCUUUUAACAUAUUGUUAAUUAAUCAAUUGUGCUCUUUUUUUUAAAAAAAAAUUUGUUAGCUAUAAUUGCGUUAGAAGACUCAAAUUAAAAAGAGAUAUAUAUAUAUAUGUUCUUAAUGCCUUUUCCAAGUGAAUACUAAUUAAUCACGUACAACAUGUACGACACCUGACUUGAGGAACAAUCUGAUGGCUACAAUGAAGUAACCGAAGAGCAGAAUAUGAAAUAUUUCUUACUAUUUCUUACCAGAAUUUGUUCGAGAUUGUGAAUUUUGUGCAUCAGUUUCGAAGCCUAGGAGAAAAUUUUGAAGAAAAGUUUGUUCCUAUAUUUUUUAUUCACACACACAAGAAUGCAAAUACGAGUCAAGUUCAGGUUUAUCCUCUAUUGUGCGUGAGACCAUCGAAGGAAAUUAUAUCUGAGUUUAUAUUUCAACGAUCGGGCUUUAGGUCCUGGACAGGGCUUAGCAGGAGACAUAAUGGCUGGGAAAAGUUUGUCCCAUCAUGUGCAUGGUUGAACGGGUCUGGUAAACAAAUCGAAUCGGAUCAAAAAUGUUAACCGCCUGGCGUGAUUUGAAAUUUCAAAUUUAAACUCGAGUUCUAUUCAAUUUAACAGUUAAUAUUCUCAUGUUUAACUUGAAUUUUUAUUCAAAUUUUUAGUAAUCAUAUAAAUAAUACAUAUAUAAUAUUAAUAUAAUAAAAUAAUGUGUAAUUUUAUAUGAAAUAUCAAUAAAUAUAUUAUAUAAAAAGUUAAUCAAGCCUAAUCAAACCUUGAUCAGCGAAUAUAUACAAGUUCAAAUUCGAUUUGAUACUCAACUUAAUCAAAUCCUAUUCUCGUUUAAAUUUGAGUUUACGUUCGUUAAAAAUUGAAAUUAAGCCGAACCCUUGAUGAAUCAAUCGAGUUAAAAUUGUUCGCUAAAAAUUCAAUUUGUUUACAGCCUUAUGUUGAUGGUCUAAAUCAUGGCUGUACUGUGCAAUUCACGGUCUAAUCAAGCCAAAUGCUAAUUGUUCGAUUUGGACUACUCAUAUAAAGAUGAUUAAGCAUAAGAAACUUCAUAUUGUUUUUCCUCUGUCCCUACAAUUCAUAGAAACAUUCAUACACUUACAAGACCUUAUUUAACCUUAUUUUCAUCUUAAGUUUUUCUUUCUUCAAAUUCUUUAUGUUCGUUUAAUGGAUACGUUUUCAUUAUAAAAACCUUUUAAUGAUUAGGGACCAAGUAAUUUUUUGUUGUUGUUUUAUAGUUUAAGAAGUGAUUUAGUUGCAAAUUAGCAUUUAGGAUGCAAAGGUGCACAGCUUAAUGAAUAAAACCUUUUGUUGUUCGUUUGAUAUUUCUAUUAUACCCCUAGAGUUGGCUAAAAAUUUUGAAGGCAAAAUGAGUAAAGAAAAACAAUAUUAGGGGACAAACUGUAAAUUAACUAGCUAUAUCUCACGGGGAGAUUUUGUAAUUAAUUCUAAUUUUAAUUAACAUUCCUAGAGAUAUUUGAAAUCUGUCCAUGAAGUUGAUUAUGGGAAAAAAAAUUUAAGAGCAAGAGUUGGAUUGAUAAAUUCUAAAAGGAAGGUGAUAUGGCACGUAAAUUUUCAGUGAAGGAAAAUUCCAAAGAGUAAAAUGCUUUCUGUCACAGAACCCACGUAAGAAUCCGAGACUCAAGUAAUGCACUUAUAAAAUAUGGCUAAAAUCGAUCACAAGUUAAUUUUGUAGAAGAAUGUUUCAUCAAAUUCUGAUGCAACUCCAUUUGAUGAUUAAAAUUUAAAUAUUGUAACAUAAACUAACAAUCAAUAUUAUGGAUUUUUCUUUUAUUUUGUAACUGUAAUUCAAAUUUCAAACUUCCAGAAUUUAUACAUGAAUAAAUUAAUUGUACAAGUUGUUUGAGAAAGGAAAUUUUUUGAGUUGCCAUAUAAACGGCAGACUUGCUAUCAAUACUUGAGAAACGAAGCUUUUCUCUUGAUUUCUCAAAACACUUGAUUUCCCCUUACAGAUUUGAAGCAUAGUUAUUAAACUCAGAUCAGCCGAUGGUCGAUUAAUGCCAGCAAUUUAAUCGAAUUAGACUGGAAUCCGACCGAUUUUGUCAACGAACCGGAUUUUAUGGAAAAGAUGUUAGUAAGCUCUUAUCAAGAUUUGAACUUAGGACUUUAAGCAUAAAUGUAUAGUAUACUCACCACCAUACCACUUGACAUAUGUAAGUUGAAUAGCAUUCUUAUGCUAUAUGAAUGUUUUGUCAAUUCUAUCUUUGUUCUUUUUUAUUUUUCCAAAACAAAUUUAUUUGAAAUCUUUUAAUAAAAAUUUAUGACCCCCCUCCCCAAACAUUAUAAGUUAUAAAAUGGAUUUUAAAAAUAUUAUAUUACAUAAUCUAUUUUAAAGACAAUUAUUGUUUUAAAUAAUUAUUUGCACUUAAGAUUUGUAAAUAAACUCGAUAAUUACACUAAAUACGAUAAAAUUUUAUGCUUGAAGUUUGGUGAAUUAUUAAUUAAAUUUAUGUUUUGUUGAUUCUUAUAUGAAUUAAUUAUUCUACAAUGAAUUAAAUUAAAUAAGCAUUUACUAUGGCAUUUUUUAUUAUAGUUUAUAACAUAUAUCUCAUAUCAAAAAUUAUGAGACAUAAUAUUUAAUUAUAUUUAGUGACCCACUAGUUCAACCAUUCAUCAACUGGUUGAACCAGUGACUCGUUGACCCACCUCCUUCAUCAGAUUCCUUUGUGGGCCGGGUUUAAUAACUAUGAUUUGAAAAGUUAUUUUUGUGUUUUAGAAAAUGGAUAAUAAUAAUUACAAGUAUCAGAGUUGGGAUGGCCCAACAUUUGAGUUCAAAUGCGCCAUAGCAUCCAGAGAGCUAUUGUUAAAUCUGGAAACAUUUCAGACUUCAAAACACGUAGUUUGGGCCGCCAACGUCCACUUGCACAGAUUUGUGUAGGUUUUCUAAACGACUCAACAAUCCCCCACUAAUUUGCAAAACAUGUGUAUCCUAAACCAUGAACUCUUCAAUAGUUCAACUUUAAUGGAUGAAUCUUAAGCAUAAUCAGAAGUAUCUCUUGAUAAUUUCAAAAAAAAAAAAAAAGAAGUUUCCCUUGAUUUAAACUUCUAACUGGUAUAGAUGAUUUAAAUUUUUAAUGUAGUUGUUAGUGUUCUUAAAUUAGGGAAGUUCUACAGUCUCUUUAGAGCACUGUGCCGAUGAAAUUAAAUUUAUUGUUGGAUAUAAAAUAGGAAUUAUCAAUCUUUAGAUUAUUUUAAGAGUUUAAAUUACUAAAUGAUAUGAUAAGAUAUGAGUAGAUUAAAAUUAUAGAUACCGUACCCAAAAAGGACUGUAGCAUUUUUCAUUAAAUUAAACUAUAUCUCUUAAAUGUCAAAGCACAGCACAAUUAAUGAUAUAUACUUUUCUCGAGGUUAAUAUUAGCUUUACAGCUAUUUUACCCACGUGUUAAUCCUAAUUUCACAGUCAUCUACAAAAGUAUGCUCAAACUCUUGUUGAAGUGGCAUCACUUCAAUACUUAUAUAGGUGAGAUUGUGCUUGUAAGAGUUCAAAUUGAAGGAACUUGAAGGGACGUUUUGUUGCUAAAAAGGAGGCUCUAGAAUCAUCUUUUGGACUCCUUUUUCUCUACAUAUAUAUCAUUUGAGCAAAAAUCAAGAGCUAGGAAAAGGAGAGUGAAACAAAUACCACACAAGAUGUAAAACUUAGUUAGUUUCUUAGUUCUUUAGCUUAGUAUAGGUUAGGUAGUUUUAUUGCAAACUUGUAUCUUAACUUGGAUGAACAUCAAGAUUGAAGAAGAAGAGAGGGAGGCCCACAUGUGACAAGGGGUUUUUUCUUUUCCAACCCUUUAAUUCUUGUAUUAGAUUCCAAUGUUUAGCCAUAAUAUAAGUUUAUUAUUUACUUUUAUUUUCUUCAUGUUUUGUUAAGUUUAUAUCUAGAGUUAUAGAUGAAUUUUCUAUAUCUUGUUUGUGAGGUUUGCUUGCGUAUUUGAUACUGUUAUUUUAAGCAACUUAUUUAACACUUUUGCUUAUCUAAUCAUGAUUAACUGAUCAUUAAUUGUAAUAAUUUCAUGGUGUUAAAUUUGCGAUGAGAAUUGAAAUUUAACAUUAGUUCAAGAAAGUGCUAAAUAUAUGGAGUAACUCACAAAAAUAGAGGUGCACUUUUGUGACUUUCGUGACUUAUUCCAUUUAAUUUCAUAGAAUUUAAUGAACUUGUAGUCAAUUUUAUAAUUAUGAGAGUAACUGUGGAUUAGUUAUAGGUAUGUUCGGUAUACUGGUUAUAGGUAUGUUCGGUAUAAUUAUGAGAGUAGAUAUUGCAUACAUUAGGAAAUUACAUCAUAACUAGUUAAGGUAGUAAUAUUCAAUUAACUGGUAGAUUCAUUUGCAAGAGUAGUUAUGAAUUCUAUGACUCUAGGAGCUUUUUAUUGUUGUUUUUACUUCCAUUUAUUACACAUUUGUAGUGCAUAUAAAAUUUCUCGUACUUGUGAUCAUCUAGAAAGGACCGUGUAUUCCAUUGAUGAGUUGAAUAACCCAGAGGAAAUAUUAUCUAAAAUUCCAGUGAGGCAAUUAUUGCCCAAGUCUAAAUGCUCCAGAUAUUCCAAAUUACCAGUGACUUGGAAAGCUUCCAAUGAAGUUAUUGCCGUUGAAAUUGAUGUAUCCAUGGGUGGGUAAUUCAUCCAACAAUUAGGAAUUUCUCUUGAUAGAAAAUUUGCUUGAAAAUUUAGACAUGUAAGAUAUGGUUUUCCAUUUUUCACUUCACACAAAAAGUGAGAAACAGCUCCUGAAAACAAAUAGUUGGAAAGGUCUAGAUAUGAGGUAAAUGAGAAAUUAAUUGUGGCAGUGGGCCGUUGGAUCUAUAUGACUAUAGUGUACAUGUGUACAUGUAAACCUCUAACAAUUUCAGAGAUAUUUGAACGCUUAUUAUGAAGUUGAUUGUGAGAAAGGUUCAUGUAAUUCGUAGAUGAGUUGAAUAACCAAGGAGGAAUAGUACUUGAAAUUCUCAUAGAGGACAAAUCCAAAUAACAAAGUUUCUUUUAUGACUUGAGCCAUGUAGGAAAUUAAGAACCUAGCUUCCACGGACCCAAUCCAAGUCCUUUAAAGGCAUAAGGAUUCCAACUUGCCCUUACUUUUAAGGUCAAGAGUUUUAGAUGCAUAAAAAUGUUUAAAAACUUGUCAUAUUGUUAAGUAGAUUGUCACUCACAAAGCCUUCUAUGAAAUUAUCGUUAAUAAAAAGGUAUUCAAGUUUGGAAAACUGCCCAAGACUUUCAGGAAGGAUUCCAGUGAGUUUGUCUGUACUUAUAAACAAGUGCUCUAAGGAUGACAGAUUUCCAAAAUUUGAUGGAAUUGAACUAGCAGAGCAUUGUCACAAAGCAAAAGAUAUUUUAGAUUGGUGUGGUUGCCAACAGUGCUUGGAAUUGGAUCACUCAAGUAAUUACUACUUGUAUCAAAUGUAAUAAAGUCCUUUCGAUGUGAAUAACUCACUUGGUAAAGAGAAGCUAAGGUUGUUAUGAGAUAGAUCAAGAUAUUGAAGGCUGGAAAUGUUAGCAAUAGAGCUUGCCAUAUAACCUUGAAAGUCAUUGGAGCCAAGAUCAAGUGAAAUUAGGACAGUUAAAAGUGGAUAAUACGCUUGAGAGAGAGGCAGAGAAGGUAUUAUUGUACAGAUCCAAAAAUGUAAGGGAUCUCCAAUUCCAAGUUCCAUCAGGGAAUGUAACUUCAAAUUGAUUUGACGCAAGGUUGAGAGAAACGAGGUUAUUACUGAAAUUGUUUUGACUUAGAUCAAGGUAAAGCAAUUGAGUAAAAUUUUGUAAUGCAUGACUGAUAUCACCACUUAUAGUGAUUUCAAAUUACGCUCUAUUGCAUUGACGUGAAAGUAGUACGGAUGAAUAUUGAACAUAGGAACAAGAUAUUGAAGACGAAUAUUACUAGUCAAUUUGUUCGAACUGAGGUCGAGAUUUUGAAGCUUCCCAUUAGUCCCUAGCCUUUAUGGGAUGCUUUCAGUGAAACUGUUCUGCCAUAACUGCAACACUUCGAGCUCCGGCUAGUCUCCAAUGAAGUCCGGUAUCGACCCUUGAAGUUGGGUUCGGAAAAGAUUCAAGAGAGUCAAAAUUUUCAGCUUGGCAAACGAGGAAGGUAUUUCGCCGGUGAACAUGUUGCUGGACAGAUCCAUAUAUUUCAAGCUUUUCAAUUACCCUAGCUCCGGCUUCAACGGCCCAGAAAACGCAUUCACUUGAGGAAAGAGAGUAUCCGAGUUCUGCAACUUCCCAAGCUCCGGCAGAAUCUCGCAAGAGAGGCCAUAGUUGGCUGCAUCUGCGAUAAGUUGCCAAUUUCUGGUGGGAUCCCACCGGAGAAAGUGUUGAAGUAGCCAAUGUAAAGUUGUUGAAGUUUGGUCAAGUUUACUAACUCUGGUGGGAUCUUACCCGAGUUCAUUGCCAGAAACGGCGAGGUAUUCGAGAUUUGGAAAUGUACAAUACGCCAUGGGAAUGCUUUCGGUGAAGAAGUUACCGCCCAAAUGGAGAUGCAUGAGGUAUGUUAACUGAUAAACGUCCACCGAACAUGUUAUUAUUGUCGAAAUCAAGCACCUCAAGAUUAUUUAGGCGAAUGAGCUCCUGGGGAAAGGUGAGGUUAAAGAUAUUGUUGGACAGGUUUAGGUAGCGGAGGGUGGAGAUUUCAGGAGGGACGGGACAACAGAACUGGUUGGCCGCGAGGGAGAGGUUAAGGAAUAAGCGGAGAUGGCCAACAUCAGGGGAAAGGGUCUGGUGAGAUUAAUCCCGGAAAUGUCAAGAGCAGCCACGUGAUGGCAACCGGAACAAGUGCUUCAUAUUCAAAUCAUUUGUUCGGGAUUUUGUGUGCCCUGUCUAUUUCAUCUUUAUUUUAACUGCCAUGAGUAUUACGACAUGUAUGUAUUGUGCUAUGUACUUAUCCUCCAAUAAAAUUAUAAGAUUUAUUAAUUGUUCAAUUUAUUUACAAUAAAAUUGUAAGACUUGUUAAUCAAUACACGUGAUAGUGAAAUAGAGGCAGGAUCGAGACAAAAUUCGGGACAGAUGAUUUUAAACAUAGGCCAUGAGCAAUGACUCGUGGAGGGCAAUGUUUAAAAGGCAAUCACUCAUCUUGAGUGUAAAUUUCAGAAAUUUUGAUUUUUUAAAUAUAUAAAAAAUAAAAUAUACAAUAAUACAACAAAAUUACAAUAUUCAUACAUAUAUGUGUAUAUAUACUAAUAAACAUAAAUUUGAAAAAAAUUAAGAAAAUUACAAAAAUAUUAUUAUUGUCUAACAAAUAAAAUCGCAACAUAACUCUAACUCAUAUAUUAGUUAUUUACCUAGAAUCAUGCUAAUAAAAAAUAGUUAUAUUUUGGGAUAAAAAAUGAAAAACUAUUAGAAAAGUCUUGAAUGCUUUUAUUUUGUAUUUUUCCUAAACUAUUUUCAAAGAGAAAAUAAAUAGAGUCAUUCUUCAAAAUUAUUAAACAAUAAUCAGGACAGGAAACAGAGAUAAGGAAGAUAAAAUAGUAAAAUCAAAGUUCAAAAUAAUGAAAAGAAAAAUAUACAAAAAUGCCAUGAAUGCCCAAAUGCCCAAUGCCUUAAACACUCAUAUGUUCGCCCCAUUCAAACAUUCUAGGGCAUUUGGGGCUCAUCUCGCCCCGGGGUUUGCCCCGAAACUCGCCCCAAAAAUGCUUUUUAAAUUAAUGGUGGAGGCAUUCCAGGAUGAUAAAGAAGAUUAUGGGUCGUCGGUAAUGGCGGAUUUUAUGGAGAGUAAUGCCUUGUACACCGGCAUUCAGGGUGUUGUUGCCGCAAAGGCAGAAUGGAGUAAGAAGAACUAAAAAAGAGGAGGAGAGCAAAACUGUUGUGGUACAGAACCUAAGAUCCAGCUGGGAAUGGAAAAUAAUGCUGAAGUAAUCGAACUUUUAAUUGACGCUCAAAUGAAUUGCAAACUCAAUUGAAUGAACCACUAAUUUAUUGAUGAACUUCAAAUUGGAUACAGAAACAGAUUUGGCGGGAAAAGGAAGAAGGGGAAAAAGAAUGCAGGAAACUUGAGGGAAAAGACAGAGGGAAUAUUUCCUCUCUGAUUACAGAACAAAUCUAGACAAAAAGCUCCCUAUCUAUUACACGAUCAAUUCAUUUAUAGGAAAUUAUCCUAACUAACUUAUUUCCGUAGCUAAUAAACAAAUGACACGUGUGGUAGGAAUCUCAGGUUGUUUGGAUUCCAGUUCUCGUACAGAAAGCAUGAACCCAGAAUGGGCGUGCUUCCUUGGUCGCGCCUUUGUUGCUUCUCCCGCGCCUUCCCCUUUGUUGACUUCGCGCCUUCACUCUUUUGCUCCCAUCCACUUGUUGUUAUUUGUUGGUUCGCGCCUUUCCUUGCCUGUCCUUGCUAUCCCCACGCCUUUCCCUUUGUACUCCCCACGCCUUCUUACCUCCAGCUACCUACUUCAUUACAAUGCUUCCCCCUUGAGAACAAAUCUUGUCCUCAAGAUUGGAAAGUAGGGAACUGUUGUUUGAUUCCUUCGGCGUCCUCCCAGGUGGCCUCUGCAGGAUCAGUGCCCCACCAGUGGAUCAGCCACUGUGUUGCUGCAGCAUUUCUUCUCUUCACCAUCCUCCUAUCCAACACUGCUACUGGUUCUACCCUCCAGUGUCCUCUCUCAUCCGUGUCUGGCAAUUGAAGUGUAGGGGAGACUUUGUUCCCCACCUUUUUCUUGAGCAGGGACACAUGGAAAACAGGGUGGACUUUUGAGUGAGCUGGUAGGUUCAGUCUGUAGGCCACAUUUCCUAUCCUUUCUUCCACUUUGUAAGGACCAAAAUACUUGGCUGAGAGUUUGGUGUUCCCUCUCAAGGCUACUGAAGACUGUCUGUAUGGUUGUAGCCUCAGAUACACCCAAUCUCCUGUAUUGAAUUCCCUCUCACUUCUCCUCUCAUCAGCAUACUUCUUCAUCCUUUCUUGAGCCUGUUUCAAGUUCUGCUUCAGUAAGCUGUCAAUCUGUUGUCUUUCCUUGAUAUACUCUUCUACUGUAGCUACUCUGGGCUGCUGAUAAGGUCCCAGAGCUAGUUGGGGAGGGGGAAUGCCAUAUAGUGCUUCAAAAGGGGUCAUCUGAAUAGCAGUGUGAUAGGAGGUGUUGUACCACCAUUCUGCCAUAGUUAACCAUUGGUUCCAUUUUCUAGGUUCUGUAUGAGUCAGGCAUCUGAGGUACAUUUCCAGCACCUGAUUUACUCUUUCUGUCUGGCCAUCAGUUUGUGGAUGAUAGGCCGUGCUGUAGUUCAGCUUGGCCCCCAGCAUACUGAACAGUUCCCCCCAGAAUUGACUAACAAAUAUCCUAUCUCUAUCUGAAAGCAUGCACUGAGGAAUCCCAUGAAGUUUACUAACAUGAUCAAUGAAGAGCCUGGCUACCUUUGGGGCAUCAAAAGGAUGAGUGAGACUGAUGAAGUGAGCAUAUUUUGUGAAUCUAUCUACUAUCACCAUUAUGGUAUUCUUUCCUUCUGACUGAGGCAAUCCUUCAAUGAAAUCCAUGGUGACAUGGCUCCACGAAUGUUGAGGUGUAGGCAGGGGCUGUAGCAGGCCUGGAUAAGCUACAUGUUCAUCCUUACACUUCCUGCAUGUGUCACAUUCCAGAACUUUCUCCCUGAUAGCUUGGUACAUUCCUGGCCAAUAGAACAGUAGCUUGGCUCUCUGGUAGCUAGCCUGGACUCCUGAGUGUCCCCCUAUUUGAGAGUUGUGUAGAGCAGUGAUGAUCUUUUCCCUGAUGUCUCCCUGUCCUCCUACUACCAGCCUUUUCUUGUAUCUGAGUAUAUCAUCUUGGUAGGAGUAAUCUGGCACCUGUGUGGGGGUCAGGAGCACCUGUGAUAUGGUUUCCUUGAUCCAAUUGUCUCCCUUAUAGCUCUCCUGCACUUCUCUGAUCCAGGUAGGUACUGCACAAGAUAUGGCUGAGCAUUCUUCUCUGCCUUGCCUAGAAAGUGCAUCAGCAGCCACAUUGUCUUUCCCUUUCUUGUAGUGAAUCUCAUAUCUCAGUCCUAGUAACUUGGUGAGCCACUUCUGCUGGAGGGGGGUGGUAAUCCUUUGUUCCAGCAAAUACUUCAAACUCUGGUGGUCAGUGUUUAUGAUGAAGUGGUGUCCCUCCAAAUAAUGCCUCCACUUGGAUACAGCAGUCACUAGUGCCAGCAAUUCCUUCUCAUAGAUGGAUAGUCCCAUAUUCUUUUGUCCCAGGGAUUGGCUGAGGUAGGAGAUGGGUCUCCUGUCCUGCAUUAGUACUGCACCUAUGCCAUGGUAGCAGGCAUCGGUUUCAAUGAGGAAUGGUUGAGUGAAAUCAGGUAUGGCUAGGACAGGGGUGCUGCACAUGGCCUCCUUUAACUCCUGAAAGGCUUUCUCUGAAUCCUCACUCCAGUGGAAGUUGUCCUUCUUCAACAGGUUGGUCAAAGGCCUUGCUAUGGCCCCAUAUCCCUUGACAAAUCUCCUGUAGUAGCCUGUCAACCCCAGAAAUCCCCUCAACUGCUUAAUAUUUGUUGGUUUUGGCCAGUUCUUCAUGCACUCGAUCUUCCCUAGGUCAGCCUGCACCCCUUCUGCUAAAAUUAUGUGUCCCAAAUACUCCACCUGCAGUUGUGCAAAGGAGCAUUUACUCCUCUUGGCAUAUAGCUGGUGCUGCCUCAGGAUGUCCAAGACCUCAGUUACUUGCUGAACGUGUGCCUCCAUGGUUGGACUGUAGACCAGUAUAUCAUCAAAAAACACCAGUACAUGUUUUCUCAUCUGCUCCUGGAAGACUUGGUUCAUCAAGCUCUGGAAGGUUGCAGGGGCAUUGGUCAAGCCAAAUGGCAUGACCUUGAACUCAUAGAGUCCUUGAUGUGUCCUGAAGGUUGUCUUUGGAAUGUCCUCCACCUUGACCCUGAUUUGGAAGUAACCUGCCCUUAAGUCAAUCUUAGUGAAGUACCUGGCCCCAUGCAGCUCAUCAAUCAGCUCUUCAAUCAAGGGCAUAGGGAACUUGUUCUUAAUUGUCAGCUCAUUCAGUUGACUAUAGUCCACACAGAAUCGUCAUGAUCCAUCCUUCUUCUUGACUAGCAACACUGGAGAGGCAAAGGGGCUGCUGCUAGGCUGUAUGAUGCCUAUUUCUAGCAUUUCCUUCACUAAUUUUUCAAUUUCUGUUUUCUGUACGUAGGGGCAUCUGUAGGGCCUUACUUGAAAAGGCUUGGCUCCUUCCUUCAGAUUAAUCUGGUGAUCAUGGCUUCUGGUAGGUGGCAUCCCCUUAGGCUCUUCAAAAACAUCUUGGUACUGGUCCAGAACUUGACUGAUUUCAGCAGGUGUUUGCUUUGGAUCAGCUGCCUCCACCACUGCUGCCAAUUGUGCUACUACCCCAUAAGGUUGCUUCCUCAGCCACCUCUUCAGCCUGUUCCCCUUGAGUCCUCUCAGCUUGACACUGCUAUCCUCCCCUCUUAGCACUACCUUAUGUUUUCCUUGGUGGAUCCUCAUACUGAGGUCCUUGAAAUUGAACUCUAUGGGACUAUGCUUUGCCAAUCAGUCUACUCCUAGAAUCAUGUCACAGCCUCCCAACUUAAGAGUGUUGAAGGUGUGCUGGAAUUGGUGUCCCUGCAUUUCCCACUGCAGGGGUUUGUCCAAUCCCUUUGAAUCCACCUUUUCACCAUUUGCCACAUUGACCAACAAGCUAGGCCCCUGAGUACCAAGCCUCAGUUCUAUUGCUAGUUGUUCAUCAAUAAAGCAGUGGGUGCUGCCACUGUCUAUUAAGGCAGUGACCUGUCUUCCUUUGGUCAAACCUUUAAGUUUUAUGGUCCUGUGUCCUGCACCUCCAGCCAAGGCGUGCACAGACACCUCUAUAUGUUCAUCAGCCAGCUCUCCAUUAAUACAGUCACAGUACACCUCAUCCCCCUGUUCUUCACUCCCUCCUGUAGCCCCCUCCUCUUCAGCCAAUAGAUAGUGAACAUGGGACUGUUUGCAUACAUGUCCCAUGGUAUAAGGUUCUGCACAUUUAUAGCACAAUCCCUUCUCCCUUCUCAGGUUAAACUCUUCAGGAGAAAUCCUUUUGAAUUGAUUUUGGUUGAGGGAAUUUUGGUUAUAGGUUCUAGGAGUGUGUUUGGGGUUAUCCUGGUUCCAUUUGGGAUGAGUAAGUGCCUUUAAUGGCCCUUUCUGGCUAUGGAAACUAGCAGGAGCAGGUUUGUGUAUCUUUUGUAUGGCCUUAAGGUUCCUUUCUUGCAGUUUAGCUAUUUCAAUGGCAUCAGCAAGAGAUUCAGGUUUAGAUAUCUUAACCAUAUUAACAAUUUCCUCUUUCAGUCCACUCAUAAAACAUGCUUUAUAGUAGGAAUCAGACAAAUGUGGUAGGGAUGGCAUUACCAGGGCUUUAAGCAUCUCGAAUUUCUCCAGAUAAUCAGCUACUGAUCCAGCUUGUGUCAGCUUGUUAAACUCCUCGAUGGCCUCUUCAGGUUUCCCUUCUCCAAACCUGACACACAGAGCAGUAGUCAGCUCCUCCCAGGGUAUGAUCUCCCUUCCAUGGAACCAAAUGUCUGCCCUAUCCCUGAAGUAGAGCUCAGCCACAUCAGAUUUCAUAUCGUCUUCUACUCCAUGUAUCUUGAAGUAUUUGUUGGCCUUCCUGAUCCACUCUCUAGGAUUGUCCCCAGUGAAAACUGGUAGGUCCAUCUUAGGUAUCUUGUGGUCAUUCCUGAACUCUCUCCUUCCAGACGAUUCUCUCCGUGGAUCCAAUUUAGAUCCUUCUGGUUGAGUUACCUCCUUAGAACUGCUGCUUCCUUCCUGGUCUUUGCCUCGAUCAUUCACCUUAGACAUAAGUUGAGCCAUCAUGUUCAUCAUUCCCUCAUAUUUCUGAUCAAUCCCCUUCAAUAGCUUUUCAGUAGCAUCUUGCCUGAAUUCCAUUGAUCUGAUAGCCUGCUCCAUUCCCUCAUUUUUGUUAGUGAAGGUCCUGACCACACUGCCGAGCUCCACUAUCUCCCUCCUCAGAGUCUCAUCCUGAUUUUUCGUCAUCCCUAUGGCUUGUUACCUCAGCUCUGAUACCACUGUUGUGGUACAGAACCUAAGAUCCAGCUGGGAAUGGAAAAUAAUGCUGAAGUAAUCGAACUUUUAAUUGACGCUCAAAUGAAUUGCAAACUCAAUUGAAUGAACCACUAAUUUAUUGAUGAACUUCAAAUUGGAUACAGAAACAGAUUUGGCGGGAAAAGGAAGAAGGGGAAAAAGAAUGCAGGAAACUUGAGGGAAAAGACAGAGGGAAUAUUUCCUCUCUGAUUGUAGAACAAAUCUAGACAAAAAGCUCCCUAUCUAUUACACGAUCAAUUCAUUUAUAGGAAAUUAUCCUAACUAACUUAUUUCCGUAGCUAAUAAACAAAUGACACGUGUGGUAGGAAUCUCAGGUUGUUUGGAUUCCAGUUCUCGUACAGAAAGCAUGAACCCAGAAUGGGCGUGCUUCCUUGGUCGCGCCUUUGUUGCUUCUCCCGCACCUUCCCCUUUGCUGACUUCGCGCCUUCACUCUUUUGCUCCCAUCCACUUGUCGUUAUUUGUUGGUUCGCGCCUUUCCUUGCCUGUCCUUGCUAUCCCCACGCCUUUCCCUUUGUACUCCCCACGCCUUCUUACCUCCAGCUACCUACUUCAUUACAAAAACGCAUUUUCAGUUUGCGUAUUGGGGUAUUUUGUGUGCAUGGGAUGUGUGGGCUGGGGAAGCGUAGAACAAGAAGAGUUUGAUAUGUUGACAAAGGAAACGAUUGAAAACUCGAGUUUUGUUUCUUAUUUAUGAUUUGAGGUCAUGAUGCAAUAGGUCUAGGCAUUUGAGUGGAAUUUACUUUGAAAUUUCAUUUGGAUGACACUAUAUAUUCAUUUCUUGGUUCAUUUGUGACAAAAAAAAACUCGUACCAUUUGAUAAGUAUACUAGUUUUGGGCAUAAGCUUAAAUUAGUUAUUUGUUUCAUUUGAAGAACCACAUAAUUCUGCUUUCUAGAGCUGAUUGGACAAAAAUUUUACCAUACAACUCCAUAAAUUUUCCACAAAAAAAAAGUCAUCUUCACAUAAUGAAAAUGAAGAUAGGUACAUUUGUCAACUCAAUUGCCAGUGAAGUAUUUAUAAAGGAAAUUUUAAUCUACUUUUUCAUUUCUUUUGCCUUGAUUCUUUUUUGUUUCAAACUUUACAUGUAUGUGUGCAAUAGUCCCCACCGCAGUUUCCUCCUUCCUCUACUCUUCUCCUCUUCUUUAGUCGCAAUAGCAAGCUUCCUCUGUUUUUUGAGCUCCAUAAUCUUCCGAAGAGGAUAGGAUUAAAUUUUUGUCUGAACCUCAUAUUGUAACCAAUUCCAACUAUCAACAGGAAAGAAACAGUAAAUAUUUACUAUUAUCCAAACAUUAAAUGAAGGCAGAACUAACAAGAAAGCACAAAGGAGAUUUUAAGCAUAAAGUGUGUGUGAUUACCAAAUUCCCAAUUCCCAUGAUACUCACCUGCAUAUGCACAAAAUGUUCAAAUGCAGUUUGAAAUUCCCAGUUCCCGUGAGAAAUGGUUGAUACAUGUCUGUAUAUGCACAAAAAGGUUCAAACGCAGUUCAAACGCAGCAAGAUAAAGGAUCAUUCUCCUUGUCUACAAGUAUGAUCUUUUCUCUGCAAUGUGAGUAGGGAAGGCCUGCAACGUGCUUAGUCCCUUCAAUAUAUCAUAUUUGCAAUAGCUGCACAAAGUCAAUCAAGAGCUUGAAUCUCACACUGCAAAUCCCAUCACUAAAUUUUUUCUUUUGACUAGGAAAUUACAUUUGAAAGUUUCUUAUCCUCUAAUCAUGACUAUAUUAAAUUCCAAUUCAACACAUCAUCUUUUAGCUACUAAUUAGAAUCCACCACAGAAAAAGAGGAAGUAACAAAACUUCCAACAAAUUAAUGUAAAAUUCCUCUAUUUCAUUAACAUUCUUUUCCAAAUUUCCCAAAAAAAAUUUGAGAAAAAACCAUAGAAAAUCUCUCCAUACAACCUGGAUAAGCAAGUAAGAGGAAACCUGCUGUGCAGUUAUAAAAAAUUCUCAAAAAAGGCCCAGUUUGUAUUUGAAACAGUGGUUGUAGAGCAUUGAAUCAUCUCUAAUGUCCUAAAUGACUUCUUUCUGAAAUCCAAACAAUAUCAAAAGUUCAUCACCUUUUCUCUUCUAAGCUGACUACUGAGCCAAAAGCUAAAAAUAAUAUGCAAACCUAGUUGGUUCAAUGAUUUUUUUUUUCCAAAUUUGCAAUAACUUGAACUGAAUAUAUCAUAUUUCUUCAACAAUAUAGAGGGUAUAUCAUUAUAAAGCUGGGCAGUCAUAAAAUAUACAAUAGCAGAUGGAUAUUGCUAUGUACUUUCCAAUCUUGCUAGCACAGAUGCUUUCCUCAAUGCAAAGGCCAUGUUUUUUCUACUUUUGUUUUUAUUCAGAUAUGAAAGCUCUCAACUUACACAAUGCCCAUGCUUUUUCAACUCUUAAUACCAUAAAAAACAGAAGAGGAAAAGAGAAUGCAGAGCUAUCCUAAGUGAUAACUUAAAAAACUCCAGCAACAUUAUAACAACAGAAAAGCCAAAAUGUGCCUAAAUAAAUCCGAAAUUGCUGUAAUUUAAAACAAUUAUAAAGCUGCGACUGAGCUCAUGUUGGUACUGAACUUGACUGGUAUAAGUUCACUUAAUUUUCAUCGAUGGGAAAUUGCAUGAGAAGUAUAGCAGUCGACUCUAAUGAAAUCAUAUGACCCUUUAACCAAUUGUUCUAUUCAUGCAUGAAUCUUGGAAGCACAGCUCUCACAAAAGCCGCAAUGAUGAACUGAUAGUCACCAAUAAUUUUGCAAUCCUAUUAUUUAUAUUAAAAAACAGAGUGAAUUUAAUAAUGGAAAAAUCCUACAAUUAAACCACACCUUCCCUAAAAAUCACGAAUACUGAUUUCUAGUUGCUGGACAAAAACCAAUAACAGCAUCCAUUACAACCAACCCAAAGAAAGAAGUUGAUCAUAGCUAAACUUCCGGUAAAUAGCAUUUUUGUGGAUAUAUAACCCCAAGCGCAUCAUUGGGAAGGGCUAUCCGAAAUAAUCUAAUGUAGAAAAUUGCAAGAAAAAGCAAUACCUAUUAUGUGAUGUCAAGGCCCAACAUUGAAUAUCACCACAGUAUUAGAUUUAGAAAUUAAUUUUGAUGCCCAGUAUCCUAUACCGCCUUUGAUUUUUAAACUUUAUCAAAAUACCAAAGUAAAGUUGGGAACUUAGCAAAAUCAUGCGUGAAAAGGCUCAGUAUUCAAUGCCAAGAGGGAGGAAUAGUGCCAUGGCUGCAACCCAGUUGCGUGCAAGCGAGGGGAACUAUUAAAUUUGUUCCCAUCUCAGAUCUGCCAUUCGAGUUGCCCUGCCAUGGAAUGGGUCCAUAACCUCCAUGCCGAAUUCAUAAACCACUACAAAAAUAACAUCAUAGCCGGCAUUAUGAAUUUUGCUAUAACAGAUUCCAUUGGAGGCAGUUUGGAUAUAGAAUUUAGGUUGGAUUAGGAGGGUGAAAGGGAAGAAGGAAAUUUCUCAAAGGGAUAAGCUCAUUAAGAGGAUAGAAGGACAGAGUACAGGAGAUGGUGAAAGCAAGGGGUGGGCGCUCGACGGGGCGAAUUACUCAGAUUAUAGCCGAACAAAAAAAAAAUCGCACAUGUACCGAUUUGACAAUGUUAUUGUACAAAUUUAUGGGUACCGGGCUGACACGGCCCGGCACCCAAGUUUCAUCAAAAUUUUUUCUUUUAUAUCUGGCACCGCCCGGCAGCGGGAAAAUUUUUUUUAAAAGAAAAAACUGUCUACUACCGGGCUGACAAUGCCCAGUAACCAACCAAGGCUGAAAAAGAAAGCUGGCUGCCGGGCUCUCUCUGCCCGGCAGCCAGUCAAAUUGAAAAAAAAAAUUGCAAAGCGCCUGACUUGCAAGAGAACCGUUUGAAACCAAGGGCUUUGCAAACAUGCAAUCUUCCUAUUUGGGCUUUGCAAGGGCUUUCCAAUUGCUAAAUUGGAAAGAGUGAGCAACAUUCGUUGGGAAUCUAAGAGCUGGGAAUGUGCGAAAAAAAAAUUCUAGGUUAUUCCCAACCUUUUUUUUUAACUAACUUAGAUUCCCAAAUAAAUUAACAAAUUCUAUUUUUCUUGUCAUGUCAUGCAAGAGUUUAAACUUAUUGUUUGAAUAUUUCAAAUUUUACAUGAAACGUUAUCAAUACUUAUUCCUUUCUUAUUUUUCAAAAAUAGUUUGAUUGUGAUAUCACUCCAGAUACUCAUUGGAAAAAGGCCAACUCUACUAUGUGGAGACGGACGAAGAAGUAUAUUCGGGCACCGGAGAAAGUGAAUUAUGCAUGCAUCAAAAAUAUUAUAUAUUUUAAAAUCACAAUAAAAGUUCUCUUAAAAAUUUAUUCAUCAUCUAAUGUCCAAUACUUAUAUUCGAUAAAUUAAAAUAGUUAAUUAAAUAUUCUAUUAUAAUAUAAGUAACUAUAUAUUAUUGAGUCGAAUGAAUAAUAUUUGCUUUUUUCUUUUUGUGGUAUUUCAACUAGUUGUCUAUUAAGUUUCAAUUGGAAUAAGGAUUUUAUAAUUAUUUAAAUUAUUCAAUAAAAUUAUCAAUUUAAGAUGAACAUAAAUAUAAAUACAUUAAAUUGUAUUACUGAAAUAUUUAAUUUAAUAUGAAGGAAAGACAAGAUGAAAUAGCAAGAAAUUUUUUAAAAAUUCAUAUAAGUACUUUAUAUUAGUAAUCACAUUUAUUUGUUAUUAUAAUUAUAACACCUGAUCAUAAUUGAUUGAAACUCAUAUCCUAAUAUUAUUUACAACUAAAGUUACUAUAUACUGAAAUUAAAAUUUUCUUUUUUGCACUAAAUUUUCUUUUAUAUUUACGCCUCAAUUAUUUAAAAUAUGAAAUUCAAUUAAAAAAUAAAAUGUACCACAAUAUUUGUUUUGACAUAUACAAAAUUCACUAAAUAAUGUUAAAAAUUUCAAAUAUGAUCCAAUACAACAAUUUCGCCCUUAUUUUUUUUGUCCACUUAUCUGCUACGUACUAACUUUCUUUUUUCGUUCAGCUUUUUUGCUUCACGGGAGCUGCCAGCCUUCUUCCUUUUUUGUCCACAACCAUGCUUUGCAAUUUUGGUUCACUAACUUCCCUUUUUUGGUUCAGCUUUUUCUUUCUUUCCGCUUUGCAAUUUUUUUUUUAAAUAACUUGACUGGCUGCCGGGCAGAGAGAGCCCGGCAGCCAAUAGCUUUUAAAAAAAAAAAAAAAUUCCCGCUACCGGGCUGUGUCGGCAUAGAAGUAAAAAAAAAAAAAAAUUUUAUUCAAGCUUGGGUACCGGGCCGUGUCAGCCCGGUACCCAUAAAUCUGUCCCAAACCAUUGUCAGAUUGGUAUAUGUGCGAAUUUUUUUUGUUCGGCCAUAAUCUGAGUAAUUGGCCGCUUGACGGAGAAUGCAAAGAAUAUAGGGUCUGUUUGGUUGGAAGUAAAAUGUUUUCCUUGGAAAAAUAUUUUCCGUGGAAGUAAUUUUUCAUGAAAAUCAUUUCCCUCUCAUCAUUUUCAGGUGUUUGAUUAGUUUAUUGAAAAUAUUUUCUUACUUCAUUUUUCUGGUGUUUGUUUAACUUUUAAAAUAUUUUUACUUUUAUCUCUAUCUUUACUUUCUACACAUUAUAACUACAUACUUCUUCCCAUGCAAAAUAAGAAAAUUUAUCUCAUUGUUUAACUUUUAAAAAUCUUGGAGAAAUGUAUAUAUGAAUAAAAAAUAUCUCCUUAAGCAAUAAACAAAUUGCUGGCCAUUUAGUGUCAAAUAUCAAUCAUAUGCAAUGCUUAUUGUGACAUAUAUCUUGCACUGUCACCGCUAAAAGUUCUCUAGACAAGAAUGUCCCUAUUAUACAUAAUUAAUUACUAGCAUAGGAUGAGCAGGAUGAAAUUUUUUUUUAUUUUGAAUAUACUAGGGGGAGGGUUGGGUGGUAUGGGAAAGGGAGUGUAAGGAAGAGGUCUUGGGUUCGAAUCCUCCUGUUUACACUAAAAAAAAAAAGAACAUACAACAAGAUGUUUUCAGUAAGUUUGGAACAUAUUACAGGCGGGAUGCAUGCAUUUCGAAAAACAACUUCAAUAAGUUUGGAAGGGAAGUUGUUUUCCAUAAGAUGAGUGAAAAUAUUUUACAUAGGAAAAUAUUUUCAGUAACUUUUGUGCAACCAAACACGGGAAAUUAGGAAAAUAUUUUCCUGGAAAACAUUUUCACUCAAAACAAACGGACCCAUAAUCGCUGCCAUCAGGUACUGUAUCUGAAAAGCGCGAAAAAACACGUGGCAUCUCAGCCCAUGACAGCAAGAAUGAAAUGGCAAUAUCAAAGCAAAUUUCUUUCCCGUGAUCGUGAGGCAUUAGUUUCUGGGUUUAAGGUCCAUGAGUGGCCGGUUCUAUUACCAAUUGGCUGAACGUGGUUGCUUUGUGGGUCCCAUCUUAGAUUGCUCGUUUGGGCUAUUCUUUGAUGUUCUCCGAGUAUUUAAUCUAAUUGUGUACGUGGAUUCUUGAUCAUUUGUGAGAAAAAAACCACUUGUGUGGCGAGGUUGUGCUCGGGGGGAUAGGGGCAUCCCGUCCCACAUCGAAAGAUCGUGGGGCAUUAGUCUCUGGGUUCAAGAUCCAUGAGUGGCCGGUUCUGUCACCAAUUGGCUGAACCAGGUUGUUUUGUGGAUCCCAUCUUAAAUUGCUCGUUUGGCCCGUUCUGCGUGGAUUCUUGAUCAUUUGUGAGAAAAAAAAAAGGCAAAUUUCUUUCUGUUGACCAAAAGACGCUCAAUUAAUGGAGCAGAAAAUCGAGAACGCCCUUUAAAGACCACGGAAUCACGUUGAAACCAGACGAAAUUAUUGCCCCUCAUAAAGUCAAUAUUUACGUUGAAAUCGGACGAAAGUCACUUUUCAAAAGAAGCAUUGACGCUUUAUUUGUAUGUUAUGAUUUAAGGAAUAUGCGAAAGCGCCCCAAGCCAGUGGCCAUUUGGUCCACUAGUCAUCACCAUCUUUGGUGAUGCUGGAGAUCAAGGUUCAACCCCUACCUCCCACAAAAAAACUUGUCACUUUGGGUCUGUUUGGUUGGAAGUAAAAUAUUUUCCUUCGAAGUAAUUUUCAUGAAAAAUUACUUCCCUUUCAUGAAAAUUUUCCGUUGAAGUAAUUUUCCAUGAAAAUCAUUUCCCUUUCAUCAUUUUCAGGUGUUUGAUUAGCUUAUUGAAAAUAUUUUCUUACUUCAUUUUUCUGGUGUUUGUUUAACUUUUGAAAUAUUUUCACUUUUAUCUCUAUCUUUACUUUCUACAUAUUAUAACUCAUACUUCUUCCCAUGCAAAAUAAGAAAAUUUAUCUCAUUGUUUAACUUUAAAAAAUCUUGGAGAAAUGUAUAUAUGAAUAAAAAAUAUCUCCUUAAGCAAUAAACAAAUUGCUGGCCAUUUAGUGUCAAAUAUCAAUCACAUGCAAUGCUUAUUGUGACAUAUAUCUUGCACUCUCACUGCUGAAAGUUUCUCUAGAAAAGAAUGUCCCUAUUAUACAUAAUUAAUUACUAGCAUAGGAUUAGCAGGAUGAGAUUUUUUUUUAUUUUGAAUAUACUAGGGGGAGGGUUGGGUUGGGUUGGGUGGUACGGGGAAGGGAGUGUAAGGAAGAGGUCUUGGGUUCAAAUCUUCCUGUUUACACUAAAAAAGAAAAAAAAAAGAACAUACUACAAGAUGUUUUCAGUAAGUUUGGAACAUACUACAGGCGGGAUGCAUGCAUUUCGGAAAACAAUUUCAGUAAGUUUGGAAGGGAAGUUGUUUUCCAUAAGUUGAGUGAAAAUAUUUUACAUAGGAAAAUGUUUUCAGUAACUUUUGUGCAACCAAACACGGAAAAUUAAGAAAAUAUUUUCCUGGAAAAUAUUUUCACCCAAAACAAACGGACCCUUUAUGUGGCUGGUCUUCUGCCCCCACGGGAUAGCUCGAACGGUCCGCUCCCCCUCCUUAGGGUAUGGCGACCUUCCUGACUUGUCCAGGGUUCGAAUCCCGUUGUUAACGUGCUCGGAGUGGAGUGGGGCCUCCUCUCCCGGGUCGCAGGGGAUUAGUCGGACCCCGUAAGGAUUGACCCGGACACCCUUGUGUUGACAAAAAAAAAAAAAAGGGAAAGCGCCCCAAAAAAAAAAAAAUCUUGUUCUCUUACACUUUUUCAAGUUCAUAUUUUUAGGUAGUAUCCCACUGAGAAAACUAAAUUUUCAUCAUUCAAAAGUCAGAUUUUCUCCCAUAACUAUUGACAAUUUUUAAUUUGUUUCAGCCCGGGGACUGAUUUCAGACAAUUUAGGAAUAAAAGUACAUAAGCAUGAAUUUCACAAAUUAAACUGAGUAUUGGGAUUGAGGGAGAGGCAAGUUCUUUUGUGUCCUUUUUUUUGUGUAUAUUAUGUUGUUUAGUUUAGUGCCAAAUAUUGGUCCAAGAUGUUAAAGCCACUCUUUCUAAGCAAAGAUGCUAGGAUUUAACUUUUAUGUUGUCUUUGAAGCACUCAUGUAGUAAGAUUUUGUAGUAACAUUGUACUAAAAUUAGUAAAGCCAGAAAAUAAGAAGGAAACAUAAGAGUUGUUUUAUUUAUUCUGUUUUCAUAAAUAUAAAUAAUAGCACUAAAAUAGUUUAAGAGAAAUUGAUUUUUUAGAGUUUGAACGUCUUGCCUUAAAACCACCCAUUGAGAAAUUAGUCACAUAUAUGCACACCUUUGUUUCCUCAAAAUAAUCUUUUGUUUCUUCAUUGCAAGUGUGGCAGUCCUGUUUGGAUUGCUAUUUUUAUGAUUUUUAUAUAAAAAAAUAUAUUAUAGUAACUUGAUAUAUGUGAGGCAAAAAUGUGGUUGAAAAAUGUGUUUAAAAAAUUUUUUUGAUAGAAAACCAUAAUCUAAGCACUUUUACAAAACAAUUACAAAUUUGAUACCAAUGUAUGUUGGAGGGGUGGGCAAAAUGGUCCCUUUUAGUGUGUAUUUUAUGCAAAAAAAAAAAAUGUAGUUCCAAAGUUUGAAAGAUGAACCAAUCUGGACCCUUAUAUUUGGACACAAUUAAUCUAGUUCCUGAUUUUCCCCAAAUUUAAUCAUGGGUAGAUUUCUAUAUGCUCCCAUUGUGGUUUCACAUUAUACCACUUAUUCCCUUUUGUUCAAUAGUAUUAUUCAAUUUCUCUAUAUUUUAUAAAAAGUGAACAAAAAAAGACGUAAAAGCAAUUCCAAUUAUAUUAAGGGAUAAUUUUAGAAACAUUCCCUGAGGUUUCUAACGAUUUCACUGGUCUCUCAUGAGAUUUGUAAAAUUACACUUAUCUCCCUUAGUAGAAUGGUGGGCCCAAUUAUAUCACAUGGGAAAAAUUACUCAUAUACCCUAAGACAUUAUGUCUUAUAGAAACUAAUAUCUAAUGAUUGAGUAAUUAGAUCACUAAUUAACUAUAAGUAACUAAUUAAUGAAAAUAAUUGUUGAAAUUUUCUUUAAUGAUGAAUAGUGACUUGCAAUUGUAAGAUAAGGCCAAUUGAUAUACCAGAUGGUGCUAUUUUGUGAUUGAUAGAACUUGACAAUAAUUAAAAUCUAGUUAUACACAAUGUGAGAAGAAGAGCUUUGGUAAAAGGAAAAACAUAUGGCAAAAGAAGAUUGUUCAUGGAAAUUUUUUUUUUUAACUCUUAAAACUAUAAUAGUUAUAAAGUAAUUUCAUGGAAAUAAAGAAGAAAUAAGGGAAAAGAAAGGCGAAAUUUAAAAUUUUUUUCUGUUCAUAAUCACAAGAAUUAUAGUAAAACCUAAUGUUAAGAGUGAUGACCGGUCUAUUAUACUAAAUCUUAUGAUCAUUAGUAUAGUUUUAUUGUUUAUUUGUGUUGUCUAAUGUGUUGAAUGUGAACUUUUUGAAUAGUGAAAUGUAUGUAUUAAUUAUUUCUAACUUUUAAUUUUUUUAUGCUUUUACUAAUACAACUUAUAUACAUGUAUAAGGGGUAUUUAUGGGAUAAAAGUUUCAUUUUUCUCCUUAAAGUAUUUUUAAAUGUUACUUUUUGUGAUUUGGAUUAAUUUGUUACUAAAACAUUAAUCUCAAGGGAGGUUUGUGCAAUUUUACAAACCUCAAGGGAAGUAGUGAUAUUGUCAGAAACCUUAGGGGAGGUAGGGGAGGUUUCUGAAUUUAUCCCUCAUAUUAAUUGAUGCAAACAUGUUUCAAAAACGCGUGUGAGGCAUGAAAUAUAGAAUAUCCACCCAACCCCACAGUGAUUUCACAUUCGACCACAUGAUCUUCCUAUGAUUUUAGGUAAAGUGGUUAGGAUCUUGUUAUAUUUCAUAUUUAAAUAAGAACUUAAUUGAAAUUUUAACGAAUGCCGUUACUAGAUGUGCUUUUUUUUUGUUAUAUUACUAGAUGUGCUUCGAAUCAAUUUUACAUCUAAAACUACAGGGGAUAAGUAUAUGUUAAAACAUAACUAGUGGACUGAUUAUGUGGUCGAAGGCGAAACAAAUGGGGGGUAAAUAAUAAUUUACAAUUCAAUUAAUGUAACACAAACCAACCCAACAUGGUUGUAACUAGUGUUUAGCUAACUUGAUAACUAGCUCUCGAAUGGCACUUGUGAAUUCUUGAAAAGUUGCUUACACCAAGGCUAUUGAUUGAAUUAGGGACUAGAUCCCUCUUUAUUGUGUUGGAGAGAACUUCUCUAUUACACUAAUAAAAUUAAUUUAGAACUUUUAUUUUUUAAAGUUAGCACCAUUUAUAAUGUACUUCAUCACUAGUAGUUAUAUACAAAAAUUGGUUUGAACAACAAAGAAUAGGUCAAAAUCCUAACAAAAUUUGUAAUGAUGAAUAAUAAGAGACUUAAUAUUUGAAACAAAAGUGAGAUUUUAGUCAAUUCUCCAAAGAUUAGGGACCAAACUCGCAAUUCUCCCUUGCUUUUAUAGUACUACAACUCCACAAGGGUUAGUGUUAAGCGAAGAGAAAUUGUACGCAAAUAAAAAGAUUGAUAAACGUCACAAUCUUAUCUGCACAAGGCAAAGCAAAGGUAAUAUUCAUCCACAAUUCAAUAAAAGAAACUCGAUAUUUAUAGUUUCAUAUGUAUUUUAAAUUUUUCCUGUCACUGUAAACUGCGUUUGUCCUUGACGGGUCACCAUUUUAUUCCACGUCAACAUGUCAUGGUUAAAAUCUGGAAACCUUCUAUAGCCUUUAUCCAUUAUCCAAAAAAAUAUAUAUAAUUAGUAAAAAACAAAAAAGUUUACAUUAACUAAAAUUUCCUUUAGUGAUUAACAAGAUAGAGAGUGAUUAAAAAAAAUGAAAAAGAUAGAGAGUGAUUAAAACUCUCACAAAGUUUUACAUAAAUUGAUCUCUCAUAAACAUCAAGGUCGAUUCUUAAAUCACUGAAAGGAUUCAACUCUCACAAAUUUUUAAUAUCACCCAAAUUGCUGAAAUUUCAACAACUGCUUGAAUCACAAUACAGACAUGCAUAAAAGCCUUCUAUUUGUUUCAUAGCAUGUGAUUGGGUAAUAGCAACAAAGUUAUUCCUCAAACACUUCCUGGGGCACUGCUUUAUUUUUCUUCAAGUUUUUCGAUAUUUAUUUCUUUUUAAAGGCAUUCUCCCAUGAUUUAGAGUCGAUCGGAUUUUAGAAUUUCUAAUAAGAAGAGAUUCAAAGGGAGUUGAAAGUUACGCUCACUAGACAAUUAGAUUGAAGGGGGUAAUAAAAAAAUUUUUAUCGUUGAAAGUGAUUAAUUGUUAUAAUGUUCAUGUAUGUAAAUAAUUUUAUCUCAAAAUCUAAAUAAUUUUAUAUAAUAUAUAUUUCAUUUCGAACUGGAUUGAUAAUCUGUUGAAAUGUACAAAGAAAAAAAAGAAAGAAAAUAUAUGUUAGCUUGUCAAUCUAAUUUACAUCUAAUAUAAUUGAGUGUUUAACAAUUAAUAUAUGUGAAAGAAAAGGAGAGAACUCAUGAUCAAAGAAACUAGUGGCAUUAUAAAACAAAGAAAAUAAAAAAAAGAAGUAAAAGAAAUUUAAACAGUAUUUGUAAUACACGUCUAAAAACAAUUUUGAUCUAAUUUAUUUAUCUUUUUAUUUAAAACUCUUAAUAAUAUUACUUAAAACUUAAGAAACUAUAACAAUUCAAACUCUAAAUAAAUGCAAAGUAAAACUGUUGGCUAAAGGUAAACUGAUUUUGACCAUGAGAAUUAUUGAAUUAUUGUCUAGUCAUAAAUUUGAUAAAAAAAAAGGAUAAAUUUUGGAGACCAAAUUUAUUUUGAUCAAAACAGUUGGGCCUAAUACUGGAUCAGAAAACUGAACUUCUCCAAGUAAAGAUGUUCAUUUCAAGUUUACAGUUUGAUAUGCAUUUUAGGUAAUAUUGACUUUUUCUUUGGUUCAUUUCAAGAGGACGGGGUGCAAAUGUCAUUUCCUAUUGUCGUCAAAUGUAUAAUAGAAACCAUUACGUGGAAUCUGACAAUCAUAGCUUCAAAACACUGGUGAAUCCAUUAACGACUGUUAAAAAUUACAACAUUUUCUAUAUAUGAAAGAUUUGGGAUUGCAGCUUGACCUGCAAUUACAUCACCACAACUCUGCCGGAGGGUUCCGAAUUCCAAACUUAUUUAUUCAAAGUCAAAGGUUAUCGGACCAGUGAGGCUGUUAUUACCCAAGUCUAAAUAGUCCAGACCUUCCAAAUGAUACAAUGACCUUGGAAUGCUUCCAGUGAAGUUAUUGCUGUUGAGGUUGAUGUGAUACAAGACUAGGUAAUUCAUCCAACAGUCAGGAAUUUCUCCUGAUAGAGAAUUCUCCCGAAGAUCCAGAUAUUGAAGAACUUGAUUUUCAUUCUUCACUUCACACAAAAUGUGAGAGAUGCCUCCUGAAAAUAAAUAGUUGGAAAUUAAGUUCUAAAUAUGUCAAUCAAUGAUAAAUUAAUUGGGUGUGUAGGCAAUUGAAUGUAGGAAAGGUCAAGGAGAUAUUUGAACUUCAAAGAUAUAAACCCUUAACAACUUCAGAGAUAUUUGAACUCUUACCAUGAAGUUGAUUGUGAGAAAGGUCUACGGUAUCCAAUGAUGAGUUGAAUAACCAAGGUGGAAUGGUAUCUAAAAUUCCCGUGAAUGACAAGUUCAAAUACUGAAGGAAUUUUUGUGAUCGGAUCCAUGUAGGAAAUUGGGGACCCAGCUUCCACGAGCCCAAUCCAAGUGUUUUAAAUUGGGUACGAGGAGUCCAACUUGCACUUACUUUUAAGGUCAAGGAGUUUCCAGAGGCAUUAAAAUCUAUGUUUUCAGACUCGGACCGGAUAUCGACUCGGCUGAGGUCAAGGGUCAGGGGUCAAUGGGUUCGACCGGGUUCAACCGGGGUUGAAUCGGAUGACGUCAUAAAUAUAUAUUAAUGAUAUAUAAUUAAAAUAAUAUAUAAAAAUUCCCUUUAAAUUGAUGGUUUAUAACUUUAUAUGCAUAUUUGAUGAGUUUGGAUUUAGUCCAAAAGAAAUGCACUUCAAAAUUAUAGGUAAAUUUGUAGUUUAAAAAAAUAUAAUGGGUGGAUUUUAUACUUCUUAAAAUAAUAUGGGGUCAAAUGAAAUUAUUAAAACAAUUUUGGAGCAAGCAUACCUAAUAUGAUGUUAGCCGCCGCCCCAAUUUGCUUUUGACUUUAUCCUGGCACCUUUUCGGCUUUUCUUUCUCUCAUUCACCGGAGCUCUUUUCUUGUACUUUAUCUCCACAAUAACUCCUUUCCUCCCAUUCCUUCUUCUUCCGCCCCAGUAAUACUCUUCCUAUUUCUUUGCCUUUUCCUCAAGUCUCCACGCUGCCUGCCGCUGCUUCAUUUAUCUUAUUGUCUUCCCAUCAUUGCCAAUCUUAUGUUUCUUUCAUCUUUUCGUUUUCCUGAUUUUUUUUUUACCUUUGCAAAUUUAAUUUGUUAAUUUUUUCUUUUUGAACUCAGAAAUCGUCUUUUCUUUUUUUUUUCUAAUUUCUCUUUUCUUUAUGUUUCUCCUUUCUACAAUUUUCUUUGUCUUUUUUUUCGUUUAUUGACAUGAGAUCUAUGAGAUCUUAUUUAAAAAUUAAUUAUAAAAGCUGGUUUUGAUUGAGUCCAUGCCAGCUGAUGAUAUGUGAGAAGAACAAGAAGGAAGCUAUGCUGCUGAGAACUAAACUCACAAGCGGGAAGAAAAAAGUUAGAAGGAAAGGAAAAAUGGAAAAGCCCGGUUUUAACGGUUCGUACCGGUUUCCGGUCGAACCCCGGUUUUGACCGGAUUUGACCGAGUUUUGGCCAACCGAGUUUUAAUGGCAACUCGGACCGGAUGCCUGACCGGUUCCCGGUUCAACCGGUCCAACCGGCCGGUCCGGUCCGAGUUUGAAAACAUGGAUUAAAAUGCCUUAAAGCUGUCAGAUUGUCGAAGUGACUAUCGCUCACAAUGCCUUCCAUUAAAUUGUCGUGAAUACGAAGCUCUUCAAGUUUGGGAAGCUGCCAAAGACUUUCAGGAAGAGUUCCAGUGAGUUUGUUGCGAGAUGCAUCCAAGAGCUCCAAGGAUGACAGUUUUCCUAAACUUGAUGGAAUUGAACCAGAUAGAGCAUUAUCAUUUAGCAAAAGUUCUUUGAGCUCGGUACAUCUUCCUAAAUUUGAUGGAAUUGAGCCAGAUAGAGCAUUAUCAUUUAGCCGAAGGUAUUCUAGCUUGGUAUAUCUUCCUAAAUUUGAUGGAAUUGAGCCAGAUAGAGCAUUACUAUUUAGCAAAAGGUAUUUUAGCUUGGUACAGUUGCCAACUGUACUUGGAAUUGGGCCGUUCAAGUGAUUAUCUGUUGCAUCAAGUCUAAUCAAGUCCUUCAAUGUGAAUACUUCACUUGGUAAAGAGGAGCUAAGAGUGUUAUUAGAUAGAUCAAGAUAUUGAAGGUUGGAAAUGUUGGCAAUAGAGCUUGGGAUAGAACCUCGAAACUGAUUGUUUGUAAGAUCAAGUGAAAUUAGGGCAGUUAAAGUCGAUAAUUGGCUUGGGAGGAAGGUAGCGAAGUUAUUAUCUGACAGAUCCAAAGAUGUAAGGGAGCUCCAAUUCCAAAUUCCUUCCAAGAAGCCGUCGAAAUCAUUCUCCCAAAGGUUGAGAGAAAUGAGAUUGUUAAGAUGAACAAGCUCGUUUGGUAGCGAACCAUUCAGAUGGUUCGUUGAAAGAUCCAAGUGCUGGAGGGAAGUCAAGUUCCAAGGACCUCUAGGCAAUGGACCUUCAAACAAGGUCAGACUUAAAUCAAGGGAAGCAAGGGUAGUAAGACCGAAAAUCCAUCUAGGGUAUCCAAGAAAAUUUCCAGAAAGAUCUAGGACAGUAAGAGAAGAAAAGUUGGCAUGGAAGACCAAUGUAUCUCUGCCAAGAUGAUGAGAAAUUAAAUGAAGCUGACAAUAGGACAGAUAUAUCUCUACCAAAGAAGGGAUCGUGUUAAUCACCUCUAGCCAAUUAGACGCUAGACUAAGGUUCACGCCACUCAUGUCUAGGUGCUCCAGAUUAGAGAGACCAGCCAACCAUUGCAGGUUAUCAACUUGAAGAUCGGACGGAUCUCCUCCUAUGCUUAAAGUGCGUAAACUUGACAGGUUUCCAAGCUGAUAGGGAACCAUUCCUUGAAAUCCAGCUCCAGAUAAAUUCAGGUACCUCAGACUUCUGAGAGACCCAAAAAAACUGGGAAUUGGA
rnacentral:lncRNA from 1 species